UGUCUGUUUCACUGGUUAGAGCUACUAUACUUUUAUGAGCAUAAGUUUUUUUGUACUCAUAAAUUUUCGGCCAUUAGAUAAAAAUAUAUGCGGUUAACAUGAUAGUAGUCCUCUAGGGUUGAGUCGGUGGUUGAUUGAAUAGUAUGAUUUAACGGGUGAAAAUGAUCAAAGGAACAUAUCGAAUGUCCGAAAACUUAUAAGUAUAAAAGGACUUAUAUUAUACUUAUAAAAAUAUAGUAGCCUGACUCGUGUUUCACGCGCAGGUUAAUAAUGCAGGAAUAAUCCGCAUGAAGUCAACAACAGAGCACACAGCAGAGGACUACUCUGUUACCAUGGCCACAAAUUUUGAAUCUGCUUUCCAUCUGAGCCAAUUAGCUCACCCCCUUCUUAAGGCAUCAGGGAAGGGCAAUAUUGUCUUUAUAUCCUCCAUUGCAGGGAUCAUAGGGUUCCCUUCUUUCUCCAUCUAUGCAGCAACUAAAGGUAGAUAGAUACAUGUGAAUUUGAAAAAAAAAAUUUUGUUUAACUAAAUUUUGAUAUGCUUGAUGUUUGGUUUUCCUCUGAUCAGGAGCGAUGAAUCAAGUCACAAAAAAUCUGGCUUGCGAAUGGGCAGGCGACAAUAUACGCGUAAAUUGCGUAGCUCCAGGACCAAUCAGAACUCAUAUCGUGCAAUCGGUGCUGCUCUGAUAUUAUUUUAAAUUUAUAUAAAAUAAUAAUUAUUUUUUAAUAUAUUUUUAACAUUUAUAUUCAACAGAUAUAUAACUCUUAUAAUUUUUAUUGGAUUGGAGAACAAACGAUUCUCCAAUUACUGAACAGUUCUACUAAUGUGCGAGUGAAUAUUAGCGAAUUAAUUGCUUCUCUUCUUGUUAAUUGUUAUCCUUCAAUAGCUACAUAGAAAUGAGGAGCUCAUGGCCAGAGAAUUUGUUCGGAUUCCGCUCGGGCGAAUCGGCGAGCCGGAGGAGGUGGCUUCGACGGUGGCUUUUCUUUGCAUGCCUGCCGCGUCGUACAUCACCGGCCAAGUCAUCUGCGUCGACGGCGGCCGCACAAUCAACGGUGCUUCCUAGUGUCCUCCCUAGCAGGUUUAUGAAGCUGCAGAAACUUUUAUUUAGGUGUUGAAACUUGGAACUAAGCUUCAGAUAUGUAGAAGCUCUAAGCAUAGUUAUGGAAUUGGAUGUGUUGCGUUUAGGUUCAUUUCAAAUGUGNUAACUAUAGGGGUGAGUCAACACAGGUCUCUGAGGGAUAAAAAAGUAUAUAUAUAUAUUUUUUAUAUUAACUUUUUAUGUGGGAUAAAUAAAAAAUUUUAAAAAUUUUAAAGGGCACGUAAGCAAUUGCCUCAUGAUUGUUUAUGUCAUAUAAUGGCUACAUAAAUAGUAAUAAUACAUAACAUGGGAUCGAUGUGACUACGUAUUAUUGUGUGAAAAAGUCAUAAAUAAAGUGAUUGUUGUGAUCAAAUCAGUCACUCAAAAACUGCCAAGGUAGAUUUUUCUCUCGCUGUCUUAGUAUGUAUUAUGUAGAAGUUUCAGCAUAACAUUUGACCAUCAUUAUCGACCGUUCCUAUCGUAAAUAGUAAAAAAUUUGAUAGUUGAUACUCGAGAUUUCGAGUACGAAUCCUAAUUGAUUUACAUUUUCAACUAAGUUUAUUUAUAAAUAAAUAUUUUCAACGAAAGGUGUUAACUACAUAUCUUUCUCAAAAAAAAAAAAAAACAUUUGACCAUCGUUAUUGCAUCAUCUAUGGAGAAGCAGGAUCGAUCGAUCUCCACCAUUGGAUCCAAUUAAUUUAUUUUUUCGCAUGACAUUCUUUCAUAUUUUAAUUUUUUUAAUAAAAAAUAGUAUAUUAUCUAUUAAUUUCAUUCAUUAAAUAAAUAAAUUUAUCUACAAAAUAUAGAGAUAGUUGAGGCCUCAAGAAGACUACGUACAUUCCACACCUAAGUGCCCAGGAAAAAAUAAAUAUUAAAUUACUAUUAACUUUGUUAAAUUUAAUAAUUUUAAUUACUUUAAUUGAAUAAAAUUAAAAUAACUAGAACUAGUAGUUAAUAGUAGCGUUAAAUUUAAUUAUAUUUCUAAUUUAUAAAAGUAUAACAACUUAAAUAGAAGAAAAGUUGUUGGUAUGCCGGCCGAAAAAUUAUAUAGUCAAGAGCCUAUUUUGGAACGGCAUAUAGUUUAAGGGUGUUCUCAGUGAAUUUGAAUUUGUUAACCUUAAUUAAAUAGAAAUUAAAUUUUGGAAAAAAAAAAAAACAAAAAAAAAAGAUUUGACAUUGCUGGUAGAGUUUUAACACCUUUCUUGUUGGAUUCGAACUUGAAAUCUUAGGUAAUCAUCAAAUUCUUUAUCACUUGCGCUAAGAAUAGUUGCUUACGUCUCUCUUGUUUUUUUUUUUUUUUUUGAGAGAUAGGUAGCAUGCUACCUGCUUCGUUUAUUUCAUUUAAAAAUAAACUUAGCCGAAAAUAUAAAUCAAUUAGGAUUCGAACUUGGGACCUCGAGUACCAACUACCAAGUCUUUUGUCACUUGCUCUAGAGACGGUCAGUUACGGCUCUCUUGUUUGUGUUUUUUUUUUUGAGAGAGAGAGAUAUGCUACAUGCUUCGUUUAUUUCAUUUAGAAAUAAACUUAGCUAGAAAUGUGAAUCAAUUAGGAUUCGAACUUGGGUCUCGGAUACCAAUCACCAAGCUCUUUGCCACUUGCUCUCGGGAUGGUCGGUGUUACGUUUCUCUUGUUCGUAUGUGUUUAUAGGAGAGUGGCUAGAGGAUAUGUGGCCGUCCAUUAAUUCGUCCUUUUUUAAGAAGCCCUGCUUUAUUGUGAGAAAAAGCGCUUUUCAAAAGAGAUAGAGCGACCUAGAGAGAGAGAGAGAGAGAGAGAGAGAGAGAGAGAGAGAGAGAGAGAGAGGAUGGAUUGUAGUAAUAGAGGAGAGAGAUGGUCUCUUGCUGGAGCAACGGCUCUGGUCACGGGAGGCACCAAAGGGAUUGGGUAUAAUACUACAAUUCACAUCAAUUCUCACUGUUCAUAUCUUUUCUUUUUUUUCGAAGUUCUAAACCAGCACUUAAUUAGAUCACAUAAGUAACUUUAUUUGUAUGCUAUAGGUUAAUUUACAUUUUGUUUAUUUGUUCUGAAUUGAAAAUUUUAUUCAGGCAUGCCGUCGUUGAAGAGUUAGCAGGAUUUGGCGUGACAGUACAUGUAUGUGCUAGAAAUGAAGUAGAUCUCCAAAAUUGCUUGAAGAGAUGGGAUGAGAUGAAACUAAAAGUUACUGGAUCAGUGUGUGAUGUCUCUUCGAGAAGCGAAAGAGAGAAGCUGAUGGAGAGGGUUCAAUCCAUUUUCCAUGGAAAGCUCAACAUACUUGUAAGCAAUAUAAAACUAUAUAUCUAUCUUAUUUGUAUGUUUUACGUACGUAAUAUUGAAAGACUAUAGAUUGAUUUAUGAAGAAGUUAAUUAAUGAUAUGUAGUUUCUAAUCAUUUCACCAAUUGCAUCUACUAAUAGACGUAUAAAUUUUACAGAACACUGAAAACAGAUAACAAUAAUAAUAUUGGUGGAAUUGGAAAUAAAAAAAAUUAUAAAUUAGAAGAAACUUAGAUUUAUAUUAGCCUUUUUCGCUUGCUUCUAAAACAACUUCUCUCGGUUUGAGAAGAAGAAGCAUCAAAUUUGAUGCUUGGAGUUUUUAGCGACACUAUUUGAGCCAUGCUAAUCUAGCUUCUAGGCUUCUCUCAGCUUGAUAGGUAAAAGCUAGCAAGUAGGUAGCUAGUCAAAAAUAGUUUCUAGGUUUUAAAAGAAGAAUCUCCUAUUUGAACUAUUUGAGCCACGCUGAUCUAGCUAUAAAUAUAAAGCAACAAGAAUUUCGGAUACCAGCCUUUGAGCCUUCCCUGUACUGGUUAUUCUAUACAAAAGUUAUUACGAGAAAAUUAAUGAAAGUGUUACGACGGGCGGAAAAAAUUAGGAAGCAAAGUGAAAAUGAGCCAUACGCUAGGGGCCUAUAUAAAGGUUUUUCGUCCAUCAAAAGUCCAUGUUCAACUAUAUAUAAGGAGAAAAAUGAUACAUAAAUCAAGACAUUUUACAACAACUGAUCAAUAGCUGUUAUUUGUCUUUGACGAAUAUUCUUCUAAUCUUUAAAACAGUUAUAGGAUCCCAUUGAUUCAAAUAUAUGUUUUUGUUCUCUUUUUUUAGGUUAACAACGCAGGGACAGCCUAUAAUAAGCCAACUACAGAGUACACAGCUGAGGACUACUCUUUUUUGAUGGCCACAAACUUUGAAUCUGCUUUCCAUUUAAGCCAAUUAGCCCACCCCCUCCUUAAGGCAUCAGGGAGGGGUAAUAUUGUCUUUGUAUCCGCCAUUGCAGGAAUUAUAGGCUUACCUAUUCUCACCAUUUACGCAGCCGCUAAAGGUACAAAUUUUGAAUUCAAAUUAUGUUUGAAUAAAUUAAUUUGAUAGUUCGAUAUUCGAAAUGUUAUUAACCGUCUCUUCCUGAUCAGGAGCAACGAAUCAAGUCGCGAAGAAUCUGGCCUGCGAGUGGGCGGGCGACAACAUACGCGUAAACUGCGUAGCUCCAGGGCCAAUCAAAACUCCACUUAUGAUACCAGUUACGUUUUCGGACCUUGUUCUUUUGUACAAAUUAAUAAUAGUAAUAACUUGCGCUGUUAUGUUACUCACUAAGAUAAUUCUCCUUUUUGUUAUUCUUCGAUAGAUGCUUGACAAUGAGGAGUUCACAGCAAGAGAAUUUGUUCGGAUUCCGCUCGCGCGAAUCGGCGAGCCGGAGGAGGUGGCUUCGACGGUGGCUUUUCUUUGCAUGCCGGCCGCGUCGUACAUCACCGGCCAAGUCAUCUGCGUCGACGGCGGCCGCACAAUCAACGGUGCUUCCUAGUGCCCUCCUUAGCAGGUUUAUGAAGCUGCAGAAACUUUUAUUUAGGUGUUGAAACUUGGAACUAAGCUUCAGAUAUAGAUAUGUAGAAACUCUAAGCAUAGUUAUGGAAUUGGAUGUGUUGCGUUUAGGUUCAUUUCAAAUGUGUGGUGUGCGUGUAUUUUACAAAGUGUUGUUACAUAUAUUGUUUGGUGCUUGGUCACAUUCUCGAAUAAAUUGCUAUUUGUGAUAUGAUGAUCCACUUAAACUUUCAUAGUGCGUUUUGAUUGAAUUUUUUUUUUUUUUUGAGAAAUAAUUUGAUUGAAUUUAUAAUAGUAAGUUCGCACAAGAUUUAACUAUCGAUUAAAUAAAUAUUGAAAUAAUUACUAAUAUAUUUUUCAAAACUUUUAAAAUAUCUUACAUAUUUUAUUUUUUUAAUUUUAAAUAUAUUGUUAGUAUAUUUUUCUGUUAUUUAAAAAUAAUCCUGCUAUUACUAUUCGUUAAGUCUUUUCGGAUUAAAUUAGGAUUAAAUUUCUACCAAAAAUAAAAAAAGUCAAAAUAUCUUUUUUGUCUGUAAGUCAAGAACAAAUACGAAAUAUUAGUGACGGUAGAAGAAUAUGUUUGAAAGAAUAAAAAAUUAAAAUAUUUUUUUUGUCCCUAACUUAAAAAUAAAUAAGAAAAGUUGAUAAUGACCAAAAAAAAAUAUAUUUGAAAGAGCAAAAUAGUAAUUUUAUAAAAAUAACGGCUGUUCUUAAUCGUUUACUAACAUAAUCUAAUUUUACAGAUAUAUUUGAAAGAACUUAAAAAGAUAAAAAAAAAUAAAUUUUGACGAAAUAGAUAACACGCGAGCCGCUUCAUUUAUUGAAAAAAUAAACUAAGCUAUAGGGGUGAGUCAACACAGAUCCCUAUGGGAUAAAAAAGUAUAUAUAUAUUUUUUAUAUUAACUUUUUAUAUGUGAUAAAUAAAAAAUUUUGAAAAUUUUAAAAGAUACGUAAGCAAUUGCCUCAUGAUCACAUAAAUAAUAAUAAAAUGUUACAUGGGAUGGAUGUGACUACGUAAUGUUGUGUGAAAAAGUCAUAAAUAAAGUGAUUGUCGUGAUCAAAUCAGUCACUCAAAAACUGUCAAAGUACAUUUUUCUCUUGCUGCCCUAGUAUGUACUAUGUUGAAGUUCAGCAUAACAUUUGACCAUCAUUACCGACCGUCUCAAAAACAAAUGACAAAAGAUGAGCUACGUAGUUGGCAUCUGAGAUUCAAGUUCAAAUCCUAGUUGAUUCAUAUUUCCAGCUAAGUUUAUUUUUAAAUAAAAUAAACGAAGCGGGUAGCAUGUUAUUUAUCUCUCUCAAAAAAAAAAAAACCAGUUAACCAUCAUUACGGACUGUCUCUAUUGCAAGUGGUAAAAGAUUUGAUAGUUGAUACCCGAGAUUUCGAGUACGAAUCCCAAUUAAUUCACAUUUUAAACUAAGUUUAUUUCUAAAUAAAAUAAACGAAACAAGUAGCAUACUAACUACCUAUCUCUCUAAAAAAAAAAAAAAACAUUUGACCAUCGUUAUUGCAUCAUCUAUGGAGAAGCAGGAUCGAUCUCCACCGUUGGAUCCAAUUAAUUUAUUUUUUCGCAUGACAUUCUUUCAUAUUUUAAUUUUUUUAAUAAAAAAUAGUAUAUUAUCUAUUAAUUUCAUUUAUUAAAUAAAUAAAUUUAACCUACAAAAUAUAUAUAGAGAUAGCUGAGGCCUCAAGAAGACUUCGUGCAUUCCACACAUAAGUGCCCAUGAAAAAUAAAUAUUAAAUUACUAUUAACUUUGUUAAAUUUAAUAAUUUUAAUUACUUUAAUUGAAUAAAAAUAAAAUAACUAGAACCAGUAGUUAAUAGUAGUGUUAAAUUUAAUUAUAUUUCUAAUUUAUAAAAGUAUAACAAUUUAAAUCGAAGAAAAGUUGUUCGUGUGCCGGCUAAAAAAUUAUAUAGUCAAGAGCCUAUUUUGAAACGGCACAUAGUUUAAGGGUGUUCGCAGUGAAUUUGAAUUUGUUAACCUUAAUUAAAUAGAAAUUAAAUUUUGGAAAAAAAAAAACAAAAAAAAGAUUUGAUAUUGCUGGUAGAGUUUUAACACCUUUUUUGUUGGAUUUGAACUUGAAAUGUCAAGUAUCAACCAUUAAAUUUUUUAUCACUUGCGCUAAGGAUAGUCGCUUACGUCUCUCUUGUUCUUUUUUUUUUUUUUUUGAGAGAUAGAUAGCAUGCUAUCUGCUUUGUUUAUUUUAUUUAGAAAUAAACUUAAUUAGCUAAAAAUAUGAAUCAAUUAGGAUUCGAACUUGAAACCUCGGAUACUAACUAUCAAAUCUUUUGCCACUUAUUUUAGAGACGGUCAGUUACGUCUCUCUUGUUCGUAUGUGUUUAUAAGAGAGCCGCGAGAGGAUAUGUGGCCGUCCAUUAAUUCGUGCUUUUCUAAGAAGCCCUGCUUUAUUGUGAGAAAAAGCGCUUUUCAAAAGAGAUAGAGCUACCUAGAGAGAAGAGAGAGAGAGAGAGAGAGAGGAUGGAUUGUAGUAAUAGAGGAGAGAGAUGGUCUCUUGCUGGAGCAACGGCUCUGGUCACGGGAGGCACCAAAGGGAUUGGGUAUAAUACUACAAUUCACAUCAAUUCUCACUGUUCAUAUCUUUUCUUUUCUUUUCUUUUUUUCUUUUGUAAAGUUCUGAAACAGGCACUUAAUUAGAUCACAUAAGUAACUUUAUUUGUCUGCUAUAGGUUAAUUUACAUUUUGUUUAUUUGUUCUGAAUUGAAAAUCUUAUUCAGGCAUGCUGUUGUUGAAGAGUUAGCAGGAUUUGGCGCGACAGUACAUGUAUGUGGUAGAAACGAAGUAGACCUCCAAAAUUGCUUGAAGAGAUGGGAUGAGAUGAAACUGAAAGUCACUGGAUCAGUGUGUGAUGUCUCUUCAAGAAGCGAAAGAGAGAAGCUGAUGGAGAGGGUUCAAUCCAUUUUCCAUGGAAAGCUCAACAUCCUUGUAAGCGAUAUAAAACUAUCUCAUGUGUAUAUUUUACGUAAUACUGAAAGACUAUAGAUUGAUUUAUGAAGAAGUUAAUUAAUGAUAUGUAGUUUCUAAUCAUUUCACCAAUUGCAUCUACUAAUAGACGUAUAAAUUUUACAGAACACUGAAAACAGAUAACAAUAAUAAUAUUGGUGGAAUUGGAAAUAAAAAAAAUUAUAAAUUAGAAGAAACUUAGAUUUAUAUUAGCCUUUUUCGCUUGCUUCUAAAACAACUUCUCUCGGUUUGAGAAGAAGAAGCAUCAAAUUUGAUGCUUGGAGUUUUUAGCGACACUAUUUGAGCCGUGCUAAUCUAGCUUUUAGGCUUCUCUCAGCUUGAUAGGUAAAAGCUAGCAAGUAGGUAGCUAGUCAAAAAUAGCUUUUAGGCUUCAAAAGCAGAGUCUCCUAUUUGAACUAUUUGAGCCAUGCUGAUCUAGCUGUAAAUAUAAAACAACAAGAUCUCGAACUUAGGAUUUCGAAUACCAGUCUUCAUGUCUUCUCUGUACUGGUUAUUCUAUACAAAAGUUAUUACGAGAAAAUUAAUGAAAAUGUUACUACGGGCGGAAAACAUUAGGAAGCAAAGUGAAAUCGAGCCAUACACUAGGGACCUAUACAAAGGUUUUCUUCCAUCAAAAGUCCAUGUUCAACUAUAUAUAUAAGGAGAAAUAUGAUACAUAAAUCAAGACAUUUUCAACAACUCAAUAGCUGUUAUUUGUCUUCAAAUACCCUUCUAAUUUUUAACAAUUAUAGGAUCCCAUUAAUUCAAAUUUGUUUUGGUUCUUUUUUUUAGGUUAACAACGCAGGGACAGGCUAUACUAAGCCAACUACAGAGUACACAGCUGAGGACUACUCUUUUUUGAUGGCCACAAACUUUGAAUCUGCUUUCCAUUUAAGCCAAUUAGCCCACCCCCUCCUUAAGGCAUCAGGGAGGGGUAAUAUUGUCUUUGUAUCCUCCAUUGCAGGAGUUAUAGGGUUCCCUGCUCUCACCAUUUACGCCGCCACAAAAGGUACAAAUUUUGAAUUCAAAUCAUGUUUAAAUAAAUUUUGAUAGUUUGAUAUUCGAAAUGUUGUUAUUGUCUCUGUGCUUUUCCUUCCCGAUCAGGUGCCAUGAAUCAAGUCACGAAGAAUCUGGCCUGCGAGUGGGCGGGCGACGACAUACGCGUAAACUGCGUCGCUCCAGGGCCAAUCAAAACUCCACUCAUGAAACCAGUUACGUUUUCGGACCUUGUUCUUUUAUACAAAUUAACAAUAGUAAUAACUUACGUGUUAUGUCACUCACUAAGAUGAUUCUCCUUUUUGUUAUGCUUCGACAGCUGCUUGACAAUGAGGAGCUCACAGCAAGAGAAGCUGCUCGGGCUCCGCUCGCACGAAUCGGCGAGCCGGAGGAGGUGGCUGCAAUGGUGGCUUUUCUUUGCAUGCCGGCCGCGUCGUACAUCACCGGCCAAGUCAUUUGCGUCGACGGCGGCCGCACCAUCAAUGGUGCUUCGUAGCGUCCUCCCUAGCAGGUUUGUAGAAGCUGCAGAAACUUAAUUUAAGGUGUUGAAACUUGGAACUAAGCUUCAGAUAUGUAGAAGCUCUAAGCAUAGUUAUGGAAUUGGAUGUGUUGCGUUUAGGUUCAUUUCAAAUGUGUGGUGUGCUUGUAUUUUACAGAGUGUUNAUAUAUAUAUAUUUGAAAGGGUAAAAUAGUAAUUUUAUAAAAAUAACGAUUGUUCCUAAUCGUUCACUAACAUAAUCUAAUUUUACAGAUGCAUUUGAAAGAACUUAAAAAGAUAAAAAAAUAAUAAUAAUAAUUUUGAGAAGUAUAUAGCUCGCCAGCAACUUUAUUUAUUGAAAAGAUAACCUUAACUAUAGGGGUGAGUCAACACAGGUCUCUGAGGGAUAAAAAAGUAUAUAUAUAUAUUUUUUAUAUUAACUUUUUAUGUGGGAUAAAUAAAAAAUUUUAAAAAUUUUAAAGGGCACGUAAGCAAUUGCCUCAUGAUUGUUUAUGUCAUAUAAUGGCUACAUAAAUAGUAAUAAUACAUAACAUGGGAUCGAUGUGACUACGUAUUAUUGUGUGAAAAAGUCAUAAAUAAAGUGAUUGUUGUGAUCAAAUCAGUCACUCAAAAACUGCCAAGGUAGAUUUUUCUCUCGCUGUCUUAGUAUGUAUUAUGUAGAAGUUUCAGCAUAACAUUUGACCAUCAUUAUCGACCGUUCCUAUCGUAAAUAGUAAAAAAUUUGAUAGUUGAUACUCGAGAUUUCGAGUACGAAUCCUAAUUGAUUUACAUUUUCAACUAAGUUUAUUUAUAAAUAAAUAUUUUCAACGAAAGGUGUUAACUACAUAUCUUUCUCAAAAAAAAAAAAAAACAUUUGACCAUCGUUAUUGCAUCAUCUAUGGAGAAGCAGGAUCGAUCGAUCUCCACCAUUGGAUCCAAUUAAUUUAUUUUUUCGCAUGACAUUCUUUCAUAUUUUAAUUUUUUUAAUAAAAAAUAGUAUAUUAUCUAUUAAUUUCAUUCAUUAAAUAAAUAAAUUUAUCUACAAAAUAUAGAGAUAGUUGAGGCCUCAAGAAGACUACGUACAUUCCACACCUAAGUGCCCAGGAAAAAAUAAAUAUUAAAUUACUAUUAACUUUGUUAAAUUUAAUAAUUUUAAUUACUUUAAUUGAAUAAAAUUAAAAUAACUAGAACUAGUAGUUAAUAGUAGCGUUAAAUUUAAUUAUAUUUCUAAUUUAUAAAAGUAUAACAACUUAAAUAGAAGAAAAGUUGUUGGUAUGCCGGCCGAAAAAUUAUAUAGUCAAGAGCCUAUUUUGGAACGGCAUAUAGUUUAAGGGUGUUCUCAGUGAAUUUGAAUUUGUUAACCUUAAUUAAAUAGAAAUUAAAUUUUGGAAAAAAAAAAAAACAAAAAAAAAAGAUUUGACAUUGCUGGUAGAGUUUUAACACCUUUCUUGUUGGAUUCGAACUUGAAAUCUUAGGUAAUCAUCAAAUUCUUUAUCACUUGCGCUAAGAAUAGUUGCUUACGUCUCUCUUGUUUUUUUUUUUUUUUUUGAGAGAUAGGUAGCAUGCUACCUGCUUCGUUUAUUUCAUUUAAAAAUAAACUUAGCCGAAAAUAUAAAUCAAUUAGGAUUCGAACUUGGGACCUCGAGUACCAACUACCAAGUCUUUUGUCACUUGCUCUAGAGACGGUCAGUUACGGCUCUCUUGUUUGUGUUUUUUUUUUUGAGAGAGAGAGAUAUGCUACAUGCUUCGUUUAUUUCAUUUAGAAAUAAACUUAGCUAGAAAUGUGAAUCAAUUAGGAUUCGAACUUGGGUCUCGGAUACCAAUCACCAAGCUCUUUGCCACUUGCUCUCGGGAUGGUCGGUGUUACGUUUCUCUUGUUCGUAUGUGUUUAUAGGAGAGUGGCUAGAGGAUAUGUGGCCGUCCAUUAAUUCGUCCUUUUUUAAGAAGCCCUGCUUUAUUGUGAGAAAAAGCGCUUUUCAAAAGAGAUAGAGCGACCUAGAGAGAGAGAGAGAGAGAGAGAGAGAGAGAGAGAGAGAGAGAGAGAGAGGAUGGAUUGUAGUAAUAGAGGAGAGAGAUGGUCUCUUGCUGGAGCAACGGCUCUGGUCACGGGAGGCACCAAAGGGAUUGGGUAUAAUACUACAAUUCACAUCAAUUCUCACUGUUCAUAUCUUUUCUUUUUUUUCGAAGUUCUAAACCAGCACUUAAUUAGAUCACAUAAGUAACUUUAUUUGUAUGCUAUAGGUUAAUUUACAUUUUGUUUAUUUGUUCUGAAUUGAAAAUUUUAUUCAGGCAUGCCGUCGUUGAAGAGUUAGCAGGAUUUGGCGUGACAGUACAUGUAUGUGCUAGAAAUGAAGUAGAUCUCCAAAAUUGCUUGAAGAGAUGGGAUGAGAUGAAACUAAAAGUUACUGGAUCAGUGUGUGAUGUCUCUUCGAGAAGCGAAAGAGAGAAGCUGAUGGAGAGGGUUCAAUCCAUUUUCCAUGGAAAGCUCAACAUACUUGUAAGCAAUAUAAAACUAUCUAUCUUAUUUGUAUAUUUUAUGUAAUAUUGAAAGACUGUAGAUUGAUUUAUGAAGAAGUUAAUUAAUGAUACGUAGUUUCUAAUUGUUGCAUCGAUUGCAUCUACUAAUAGACGUAUAAAUUUUACAGAACACUAGAAAUAGAUAAUAAUAAUAAUAUUGAUGGAAUUGAAGAUUAAAAAAAAAUUAUAAAUCAGAAGAAACUUAGAUUUAUAUUAGCCUUUUUCGCUUGCUUUUAAAAUAAUUUCUCUGAGUUUGAGGAGAAGAAGAAGCAUCAAAUUUAACGCUUGGAGCUUUUAACAAUACGAAGUAAAGCUAGCAAGUAGCCAGCUAGUCGAAAAUAGCUCCUAGGCUUCAAAAGCAGAAUCUCCUAUUUGAACUAUUUGAGCCACGCUGAUCUAGCUGUAAAUAUAAAGCAACAAGAUUUCGAAUUUAGGAUUUUAAAUACCUACCUUCAAGCCUUCUCUGUACCGGUUAUUCUAUACAAAAGUUAUUACGAGAAAAUUAAUGAAAAUGUUACUACGGGCGGAAAAAAUUAGGAAGCAAAGUGAAAUCGAGCCAUACACUAGGGACCUAUACAAAGGUUUUCUUCCAUCCAAAAGUCCAUGUUCAACUAUAUAUAUAAGGAGAAAAAUGAUACAUAAAUCAAGACAUUUUCAACAACUGAUCAAUAGCUGUUAUUUGUCUUUGACGAAUAUCCUUCUAAUCUUUAAAACAGUUAUAGGAUCCCAUUGAUUCAAAUAUAUGUUUUUGUUCUCUUUUUCUAGGUUAACAACGCAGGGACAGGCUAUCUUAAGCCAACUACAGAGUACACAGCUGAGGACUACUCUUUUUUGAUGGCCACAAACUUUGAAUCUGCUUUCCAUUUAAGCCAAUUAGCCCACCCCCUCCUUAAGGCAUCAGGGAGGGGUAAUAUUGUCUUUGUAUCCUCCAUUGCAGGAGUUAUAGGGUUCCCUGCUCUCACCAUUUACGCCGCCACAAAAGGUACAAAUUUUGAAUUCAAAUCAAUGUUUAAAUAAAUUUUGAUAGUUUGAUAUUCGAAAUGUUGUUAUUGUCUCUGUGCUUUUCCUUCCCGAUCAGGUGCCAUGAAUCAAGUCACGAAGAAUCUGGCCUGCGAGUGGGCGGGCGACGACAUACGCGUAAACUGCGUAGCUCCAGGGGGAAUCAAAACCCCACUCAUCAAACCAGUUACGUUUUCCGACCUUGUUCUUUUUUAUACAAAUUAAUAAUAGUAAUAACUUAACCUGUUAUGUUACUCACUAAGAUGAUUCUCCUUUUUGUUAUGCUUCAACAGCUGCUUGACAAUGCGGAGCUCACAGCAAAAGAAGCUGCUCGGGUUCCGCUCGCGCGAAUCGGCGAGCCGGAGGAGGUGGCUUCAAUGGUGGCUUUUCUUUGCAUGCCGGCCGCGUCGUACAUCACCGGCCAAGUCAUUUGUGUUGACGGCGGCCGCACCAUCAACGGUGCUUCGUAGCGUCCUCCCUAGCAGGUUUACAGAAGCUGCAGGAACUUAAUUUAAGGUGUUGAAACUUGGAAUAAAGCUUCAUCAGAUAUGUAGAAGCUCUAAUGCAAGUAUAGUUAUGGUUGGGUGUGUUAUAUUUAGUUUCAUUUCAAAUGUGUAGUGUGCUUGUAUUUUACAAAGUGUUAUUAUUCGAAACUGGGGAUGAACUGCUGCAGGAGUGAAGUUUGGUGCUUGGUUACUUUCUCUAAUAAAUUGCUAUUUGCAAGAUGAUGAGCCAUUUAAAUUCUAUAGUACAUACUGAUAGAAUUUAUUGUUGGCUUAAAGGGACCAACAUUUUACUCUGCGACGGGAGGUUAGAUUGGAACGAGUCAUAUUCGAAAUGAUAGAAGGCCGGAUUGGACUGAGUAAUGUUCGAAGUGGGGUGAGAUUAGUUGGGCCUAGUCACAGCCGAGGAAAUGGCAGGAGGCUGAAAUGGGCAGAAUCACGUUCAAAAUAGCAUGAGACUGAUUGGCCGGGUCAUAAUUGAGAUCUGUGUAUGUUGUUUUUAACGGCUCGAUCUUUUGAGAUUAAUGGUUAGUAUCAACGAACCGAUAUUUCAUAAGAGCAAGUUUACAUAAGAUUUAACUAUAGUUAAAUAAAUAAAUUAUUCAUGCCUUAAGUAACGCAUGAAACAGUGCUAAAAAUAUUGGUUGUUAAGAUCAAAGCAACCACUCAGAAACUGCUGCAGAGUGUAAAAUUUCCAAAGCCCUAGUAUGCAGAAAUUUUCAGCACGACAUUUUGCUCUGUCGGAAAUGAUCUCCACCGUUGGAUUCAGUUCUCAAAAUUAUCCCUCAAACUUUAUUCAUUUUGUUUGACAUUCUUUCUAAUCUUUUUUUUGAACAUCACUAUUUUUGGUCAAUCAUAUUAAAAUUUUAAUUAAGUUACUAUUAAUUAGUUUUGUUAAAAUUAAUAGUUCUAAUUACUUUCAAUAGAUAAAUUUGUAGUAAUUAAGAACCAAAUAUUAAUAGGACUAUCAAAUUUAGUAAUAUCUUUAACUUAAAUAAGUAUAACAAUUUAAAUUAAAAAAACGAAAUAGUUGAGUAAGUGUGGGACGAAAAAUUAUAUACUCAAAAAGUCUAUUUCAAAUUUCAGAAUGGCCUAUAGUUGAGGGAGUUCUCACUUCUCAGUGAAUUUGAAUUUUUUUAACCAAAAUUAAAUAGAAAAUCCUUCCAAAUAGCCUAUGUUGCUGGUUAUGAACUUCUAAUUUGAAAUAGACUUUUUGAGUAUAUAAUUUUUCGUCCCACACUUACUCACUUCUCAGUGAAUUUGAAUUUUUUUAACCAAAAUUAAAUAGAAAAUCCUUCCAAAUAGCCUAUGUUGCUGGUUAUGAACUUCUAAUUUGAUAAUUUAAUAAAAUAUUUUUAAACAACAAAAUAUUAAGCGACUUAAAAUUUGAAAAAAAAAAAAAAGGAUUUUUUUUAGAAAACGGUAGUAUGCUAUCUGCUUCGUUUAUUUCAUUAAGAAAUAAACUUAGCUGGAAAUGUGAAUCAACUAGGAUUCGAACUUAGAUCUCGGAUACCAAUCAUCAAGCCCUUGCGUUGGGACGGCCUGUAAAAAAGAAAGGGUUAUUUGAUGUGGCCGUAGUAUGUGUUUAUCUAAGAAAGGGUAGGGAAUUUGUAUGUGUCAAUGUGUGGUGCUUUUCUGAGAAGCCCCACUGUGUUAAAGUGUGAUAGAGAACUGUGAACUUCUUCCAGUCAUAAAUCAAAACCUAGCAAAGAAAAGGGAAAAAAAUAAAAAAAAUAAAUGAAAAGAAAUUAGAGGAGAAAUUAAGUGCAUGCAUUUUUAAAAGAGAGAGAUCUGCAGAGAGAGAGAGAGAGAGAGAGAGAGAGAGAGAGAGAGAGAGAGGAUGGAUUGUAGUAAGAGAGGAGAGAGAUGGUCUCUUGCUGGAGCAACGGCUCUGGUCACAGGAGGCACCAAAGGGAUUGGGUAUAUUAUAUUUAGUAUAAACUCAUAUAGAUUUUGAUGUUAAAUUUGUGUUGUCAUUGGCUUAUAUAUUUGCUUGUUUAUUCACUGGUCUCCUUUUGGAACUUUUGUGCGUUUCUUUAUCAAAACCUGCACUAGUUUUCCUCUUUAAUAAGAGAAGUAGGUAAAUAAAGGAGAAGUUGAUUUUAAGUUUUGUGAAGAACUAAGGAAUGAUUAAUAUAUGAAGGGGCAAAAAAUUCUGGACAACUUGGAGUUUAGUGUGAUUGUAAAUUGCACAAAAAGAAUUGAAAAAAAGGAAGUUUAGAAGGGUGAAAUUUAAAAUGCAAAUAGUGGAUUUGGUUCAAUUAACUAUCUUGCCUAAAUUUAUAUUAAAUUCUCUAAUCAUUUAUAUAUUUGCUUUGAAUUGAAAAUUUUAUCCAGGCAUGCUAUUGUUGAAGAGUUAGCAGUACUUGGUGCAACAGUGCAUACAUGUGCUAGAAAUGAAGUAGACCUCCAAAAUUGCUUGAGUAAAUGGGAAAAAAUGAACUUAAAAGUCACUGGAUCAGCUUGUGAUGUCUCUUCUAGAUGUGAAAGAGAGAAACUAAUGGAGAGGGUCCAAUCCAUUUUCAAAGGAAAGCUCAGCAUACUUGUAAGUAAUAUAAAACUAUAUAUCUUACAUGCAUAUUAUAUAUGUGCCGAAAGAUUAUGUAUUCAUCUAUGAACAAGUUCAUGAUUUUUUCUCUAUCAACAAAAAAAAAAAGUUCAUGAUUUAAGGGUGUUACUAUAUCUUUUUGAGCAUAUUUCCUAACAGAUUGAUCUUUAGAUAACAUAGUAUCAGAGUCGAUUCUAGAUUCUUUUAUUUUGUGAGGUCGUGGAUUCAAUUCUCACGUUCAACACUUAACGGGUUAAAGAUGUUAAUAUUUUGAACCCAUUUUUUACUAGAUUUAUUUUUUAGUUAACAAAGAAUAUAUAUAUAUAUAUAUAGAGAGAGAGAGAGAGAGAGAGAGAGAGAGAGAAAGAGAGAGAGAGUUGAGCUGGAAUACUAUUAAUAAUAUUUGAGUUUUUUUGCUUUCGACUUUGCCGUUUAAUCAAUUCCAUCCUUUACAUCAUACAAUUCAACCAACUGCCCACUCAACCCUGAAGGAACCACUAUUAUCAUCCUACAAAUUUUUAUUUAAAAAUUAAAAACUCGAUAGCAAAAGAGUCUGAAUACUAUUAAGCCCAAUUCUAUAUAUGUGUAUGUGUGUGGAAAGCAAGAAGUUGCGAAUCCAUGUUUCAAUUGCGUGUACAUAUAGAAAAUAACAAAUGGGAAAACUUAGGUCUGCAUUGAAGACAAUUAAGCAGUUUUUCGCUUGACUCUAAAGCAAAAUCCCUGUUAGAGCUGGUAGGUGGCCAACAUUAGCUUCUAUUAUAGGCUACGAAAGCAGAAGUUCUAAUCUGAAUCAUUGGAGCAACAACUACAAUGAAAAUAUCGCUGCAAGCGAAAAUAUCCUAGGUACCAAAGUGAAAUUGGACCAUAUCCUAGGGACUAUCUCCCUUGUUUUAAAAGAUUCUAUCUAAAGAGCUGUUAAUUUGUCUUUGAAUAUAUUACUAAAAUUAAUAAUAUAUGAUCCAAAUAAUCUAUAUUUUGGCUCUCUUCUAGGUUAACAAUGUAGGAACAGGGCAAUCUAAGCCAACUACAGAGUACACAGCAGAGGACUACUCUGUUACCAUGGCCACAAACUUUGACUCUGCUUUCCAUCUAAGCCAAUUAGCCCACCCCUUUCUUAAGGCAUCAGGGAGGGGUAAUAUUGUCUUUAUAUCCUCCCUUGCAGGAAUUACAGGGUUCCCUUCUUUCUCCAUCUAUGCAGCAACUAAAGGUAGAUAGAUAGAUACAUGUGAAUUCGAUUUUUUUUUUUUCGUUUUAACUAAAUUUUGAUAUAUAUGCUUGAUUUUCGAAAUCUUGUACUAGGAGCCAUGAAUCAAGUCACGAAGAAUCUGGCCUGCGAGUGGGCGGGUGAUAACAUACGCGCGAAUUGCGUAGCUCCCGGAUCAAUCAAAACUCCGCUCGCGAAAUGGGUAACAUUCGCAGAGUUUUAUUUUAGAAAAUACUUCAAAUAUCACUUUAGCACUCUGUUAUUUAAAGUGCAUCAAUUUAGUAUCCUGUAAUUUUAUUUUUUCUUUUUUCAUUAGUCCUUUCAUUAAUUUUUUAUUAAAUCAUAUACAAAAAACUUCAUACACCUCACAUGUAAUUUAUCGAAUAUUUAUUUUAGUAUCAUUUAAUUUUAACUUCAUCACUAAUUUAACAAAAAAAUUAGUGAAUAGAAUAACAAAAAGAAAAAAAAAUAAAACUACAGAAUACGAAAGUGAUAUAUUUUAAAUCAUAGGAUACUAAAGUGAGAAAGUGCGAAACCACAAAUAUGGUAUUUAAAGUUUUUUUUCAUUUUAUUUUAUAAAUUUGUUGUUACAGCAGUUGUUCCAUCUUGUUGUGCUUAAACAGCUACUUGACAAUGAGGAGCUCAUGGCGAGAGAAACUGCUCGGAUUCCGCUCGCGCGAAUCGGCGAGCCGGAGGAGGUGGCUUCGACGGUGGCUUUUCUCUGCAUGCCGGCGGCGUCGUACAUCACUGGCCAAGUCGUUUGCGUCGACGGCGGCCGCAGCAUCAACGGAGCUUCUUAGUGUCCUCCCUAGCUAGCAGGUUCAUGAAGCUUAUGUAGAAACUUAUACAGGUGUUGAAACUUUUGGAAGCGCUUCACAUAUAUAUAGAAGCUCCAAGUGCAUAUAUACAUAUAAUAUAGUUAUGUUGGAUGUGUAACUUGUGUUACUCUUCAAAGUGUAUCUAGUUUGCUUGUAUAUGUAACAUUUUUUUUAUUGGAACCAUCCUUUUCGUGCUUCAAUCUUUAUCAUCAGCUUGUUUUAGUUUUUAUAUCAUGGUAGAAGGAAAAAAAAAAAAAAAAGAAAAAGAAGGAAAAAUGGACAUCUAAGAAGUUUGAAAAUGGUGUAAAAUUAUCUGAAUAAUAAUAUAUUUCUAUUGAACAUCUCUAGAUAUAGGUCUAGAGCUUUAGUGUGCAGAAAUUUUCCAAAGCUCUAGUGUGCAGAAAUUUUCAGCACGACAUUUUGCCCUGUCUGAAAUGAUCUCCACCGUUGGAUCCAGUUCUCGAAAUUAUCCCUCAAACUUUAUUCAUUUUGUUUGACAUUCUUUCUAAUCUUUUUUUUUUUUUUUUGAACGUCACUAUUUUUGGUCGAUCAUAUUAAAAUGUUAAUUAAGUUACUAUUGAUUAGUUUUGUUGAAAUUAAUAGUUUUAGUUACUUUCAAUAGAUAAAUUUGUAGUAAUUAAGAACCAAAAAUUAAUAGGAGUAUCAAAUUUAAUAAUAUCUUUAAUUUAACCGAUCGAGUAUAACAAUUUAAAUAAAAAAUAGUUGAGUAAGUGUGGGUCGAAAAAUUAUAUACUCAAAAAAGUCUAUUUCAAAAUGGCCUGUAGCUGAGGGAGUUCUCAGUGAAUUUGAAUUUUUUUGACCAAAAUUAAAUAGAAAAUCCUUCCAAAUAGCAUAUGUUGCUCCUUAUGAAUUUCUAACUUGAUAAAAUAUUUUAAAACAACAAAAUAUUAAGAGACUUAAAAUUUGAAAACGAAAGGGAUUGAUGCGGUCAUCGUAUGUGUUUAGCUAAGGGGGCAUUUGGUUUGGCGUAAAACGAAUUGAAAAAUUAACUUUGGUAUGAAAAAUACUUUUUCGCUUAUUUGGAUCGACGUAAGAAUAUUUUUUCGUAAAAAUAUUUUUAUAAAUUUGGAAAAAAAAAUUAAAGUUUUCAUCUUUUACUGUUUUUCGGCGGAAAAUAAAAGUUCAAACUGGAUAAAACUUUUUUCAUUCAUUUUUUUUCUAUCGAACCAAAUAAACAUAAAUUUUUUUUCUUUUCAAUCAAACAAAUAUCGACGAAGAACUAUUUUUUUUCCUACAAACUAAAUAAAUACUAUAAAACAUAAUUUUUUUUCCAUUUUUUUUUUCUACGAAAAAUUAUUUUUUUUAUGAUUUUACGUCCAACCAAACAAAUAAACCUAGUAACAGUGGCCUGAGAAUGCACACGCGGCCGUAGUAUGUGUUUAGCUGAGAAUGGGUAGGGAAUUAGGAAUAAAUAUGUGGCCGUAGCUGUAGCUAAUAAGUGUGGUGCUUUUCUAAGAAGGCCCACUGUGUUAAGUGUGACAGAGAACUGUGAACUUCUUCCAGUUAUUAUAAAUCAAAACCUAGCAAAGAAAAGGGAAAAAAAUAAAAAAAAUAAAUAAAAAGAAAUUGGAGGAAAAAUUAAGUGCAUGCAUUUUUAAGAGAGAGAGAGAGAGAGAGAGAGAGGAUGGAUUGUAGUAAGAGAGGAGAGAGAUGGACACUUGCUGGAGCAACGGCUCUGGUCACAGGAGGCACCAAAGGGAUUGGGUAUAUUAUAUUUAGUAUAAACUCAUAUAUAUUUUAAUGUUAAAUUUGUGUUGUCAUUGGCUUAUAUAUUUGCUUGUUUAUUCACUAGUCUCCUUUUGGAACUUUUGUGUGUUUCUUUAUCAAAACCUGCACUUGUUUUCCUCUUUAAUAAGAGAAGUAGAAAAAUAAAGGAGAAGUUGAUUUUAAGCUUUGUGAAGAACUAAGGAAUGAUUAAUAUAUGAAGGGGCAAAAAAUUCUGGACAACUUGGACUUUAGUGUGAUUGUAAAUUGCACAAAAAGAAUUGAAAAAAAGAAAGUUUAGAAGGGUGAAAUUUAAUAUGCAAAUAGUGGAUUUGGUUCAAUUAACUAUCUUGCCUAAAUUUAUAUAUAUUAAAUUCUCUAAUAAGUCCCAUCAGUAGUUAAUUUAUUGUCACAUAAUGAUGAAAGAUUUUUCAGGCUCUCACUUAAGUUAGAUUAUUGUUCACUGCAUGAAAUAUAAGCUUUGGAAUUAUUAAAAUAAUUUAAAAGUAUUUUUCUCAUCAUGUUUCUCUCAUGUACUUAAUUUUCUCUAACGAAAAAAGUUCUAAAUCUUCUUUUGGUAAAAGGGUUUGUCGUAUGUUACAGAAACUAAUACAAACAGGCAUUUAUUAAAGCCUAUAAUAAACCUUUUUUUUGUCUAUUCUUGCUUAAUUUCAAGGUGAGGAUAAUCUUAAAUUUGUGGGGAAUAAGGUAUAAUAUAUCGAUAGAGGGGCAAAAAGUCAUAGACCCACAUGAACUUUCAUGUGAUUGCAAAUCGCAAAAAGUAAAGAAAUAAAGAAAUAAAUAAAUAAAAAGUUGAGUUUCCUUGCAACAAAAGUUCCAGAUAUGCCUUUUUUUUUACUACUAUUUUGCAAAAAUACUUUGUUGCUGCUUCUUUUAAGUUAGAGAUAUGUUCCAAAAAUUGAUCCAAAUAGGCACCUUAAAAUCCGUAAUUAGCCUUAUUUGUCUAUUCUUGAUCAAUUUAAACUUAUAUUUAUUUAUUUUGAAUUGAAAAUUUUUAUGUAGGCGUGCCAUUGUUGAAGAGUUAGCAGGAUUUGGCGCGACAGUGCAUGCAUGUGCUCGAAAUGAAGCAGAUCUUCAAAAUUGCUUGAGGAAAUGGGAGACGAUGGACUUAAUAAAAGUCACCAGGCAAUCGGUGUGUGAUGAAGUUCCUCUAAGAAACGAAGAGAGAACUAAAUAGGAAAGUGUUCAAUCCAUUUUCCAGGGAAAGACUCAGCAUACUUGUAAGCAAUAUAAGAAGUCUUACCUAAUUCAUGAUCUAACGCCCCUGCUUUUCAUCCUCCUCUAGAGGAUCAUCUGAUUGUAUCACUCCAUGUAGCUAAGUUUAUCUUCUAAAUGGAAUGACGGGUCAUAAAGAAGCGAAUGCUAUAUUUUUAUCAUCAAAAAAAAAAAAAAUCUACCUAAUUUAGUAUGCUUAAAUAUGACAAGACAUUAUAUAUUUGAUCUAUGAAAGUUAAUCAAAAGUUAGAAAAUGCAUCGAAACGCAAGUCAUGUAAUUCGAUUGCAACUCUACUAAAAUAGAUAUUGAUAGCUGUUAGUUAUGGGCCCCUCUGAUAUCUUUAAUUAAAAAAAAAUAGACAAACUAGGGUCUACUAUUAAUUCAAACAAAAAGAUGGUUUGUUUUGGUUUCUCUUUUUCCUAGGUUAAACACGCAGGGACAGGCUAUAAAUCAAAGCCAACUAACAGACGUAAAACAGCCUGAGGACUACUCUUUAAUGAUGACGCCACCCAACUUUGAAUCUCUUCGUUUAAGCCAAUAGCCCACCCCCUUCAUUAAGGCGUCCGGAGAGGGGUAAUAUUGUACUUUAUAUAAUCCUCCAUUGGCAGGACUCGUUAAGGUUCCCAUAUUAUUCUCCGUUUAUAGCGCAACUAAAGGACUACGUAGAAGUUUGAAUUCACAUUCAUUGAUAUUAUGAGUAAAAUUUGAUUGUUUUAGAUAAUUUGAAAUGUUAUUAACUGUACCCUUCUAUGGAUUUUAUUGAUCAGGAGCAAUGAAAUCAAGUCACAAGAAACUUGGGCCUGCGAGUGGGCGAAGCGAAACACAUACGCGUUAAACCUGUGUAAGCUCAGGGCACAAUCAAAACUCCGGCUCGCAGCAAACAGGUUACGUUCUCAGAACUAUCGUUUUUAAGAAAAACGAUUUACAUUGUUCUGGUUUUACUCCGAAGGCUCUACUUAUGUUAGUGAAUUGUUGAGACAUGAUCCUCUUCUUAGUAUUCUCGACAGCUGCUUGAACAAUGAGGAGCUCACAGCAAGAGAAGCAUUCCCUGAUUACCCGCUCAGGCGAAUUGGCGAGCGGAGGAAGGUGGCUUCAAUGGUGGCUUAUCUUUGCAUGACGCUGCUUCGUAUAUCACGAGCCAAAGUCAUUACUGCGUUGACGGCGGUCGGAGCCAUCAACGGUGCUAUGACCCAAGUGUAGAACUUACAGGUGUAUGAAGCAUAGAAUUAGUUCAUUAUAAAUAAAUAUAAUAUAUAUAUAUAAUAAAUAACAUAAUAUAUAUACUAUACUAAUAUAUAUAUAUAAGUUAUAUAUAUAUAAAUAUAUGUAUGAAGCUAGAAUGCUAUUGAUCAGGCAAAACGAACUUUGUUUGUCCACCCCCAUCUUAUUUUCAGAUGAUGGACAGCCUCCAAAUCCGAUGAAUACCAGGUACCUACCAAAUUGAACAUGACGUACUACCACUUGAAGUGGUUCUAGAAAAUCUAAUUUCAUACAUUAUUCGAUAAUUAGUUCUCUUUCCUCGAGUGGACACAAAAAUAAACGAGCUGAAAUGCAAUAUUAUUUAAAAAAUGAUGAUACAGACGUCUUGUAAUCAAGAAUCAAAGUAUAAAUCUUAUUUUUAAAUAGUUUAAAUGUAUUUAUUUAACAAAAUCUAAUUUACAUUUGUGAUAUCUUUACGCCAUUAAAAUGAUGAAACGUCUAACCUAUAUCGACCCAUCUAACAAUUAAUAUAAAUUUUUCCGAACACCUUCUUAAUCAAUUAAACCACCUUACGACAAAACAACACAAAAAUUAAUGUCGCAAUUCUGAAAUUCCAUCAAUUUCUAAACCUAUCAAGUGUAAUAGAGAUCACUGCUUCCCCAUAGCUCGCGAUCGAUCCGCCCUUCUAGAUGCCCUCCUCCACAUCGAUCCGGAAAACAACAUGGAACUGCAGCACCACAGAGCUGUUUCUCCCUCGCCUCAUUUCUAGCUCAAAUGUAUCUCAUAGUACCCACCCUACAUAAACCCUCCCUACUCACCCUCACCCACUCCACAAAUACUAUACACAUAAUCACCGUAUCCUUAUAUACUAUAUAGAAAGCUCAAAAGAUAAUAGUAUGUGGUUGGAUGUGUUUUCUUAUUCACUUUAGAUGUAUUUCAAAUAUGCAGCGUGCUUGUAGUUAAGAAAGUGUCGUUAUUCAAAACCGGGGUUGAACUGCAGCAGGAGUGAAGUUUGGUGCUUGUUUACAUUCUCUAAUAAAUUAUUAUUUGUAAGAUGAUGAUCGACUUAAAUUUUAGUGCAUAUUGAUAGAAUUUAAGAGUAAGUUUGCAUAAGAUUUGACUUAAUAGUUAAAUAAAUAAAUUAUUCAUGCCUUAAGUAGCGCAUGAAGAAGUCUUAAAAAUAUUGGUUGUUAAGAUCAAAGCAACCACUCAGAAACUGCUUAAUACUACAGGGCGUAAAUUUUCUCAAGCACUAGUACGCAGAAAUUUUCAGCACGACAUUUUACCCUGUCAUCGUUAUAGCUACAAUUGGAGAAAUAAUUGUUUAUGCCAAACGAACAAACGUAAGUAAUAUAAAACAUGGGUUGAACAAGCAUGCAAAAAAGUCCUAAAACUAAUGGUUGUUAUGAUCAAAGCAGCCAUACAGAAACUGCCCAACAUUGUGGGGUGCAGAUUUUCCGCUGCCCCAGCAUGCAGAAAUUUUCAGCACAACAUUUGACCCUGUCAUUACAUCAUCUACUGAGAAGUGGGAUCAUUCUCCACCAACAGAUGCAGUUUUUGCCGAAGCUUAUAACAACAUGACCGCCGCGUGGUACGAAAAGAAAUGUGAGACCGUCAUUUCAACUUCAACCAAAUUACAGAUCUCCUAAUCUUUUAACUACAGUGCUAUCAGAACACUCAAAAAUAUUUAAUUUCGUCAUAGCCGCAUGCCAAUGAAAGGAUGGUUGAUUGAAAUAAAUAAUUGUCCAUCCAGUAGAUUUUAAGUUUUGAAUAGAAAAGUUGAAGAAUAUAAGCCAAAAGACAGAUCAGUUGGUGAAUUGGAUUGCCGACGGGAAAUACAUUCAUCAUGCAGGCGAAAUAAGCAAACAAAACCUCACCUCCUUUCUAGGUUGCCAAUCAAGACAAAUUUUUAUGCCUAUUCUUUCAUUAUCAAAACAAAGGAACAUCAGGCACAUUUAAAACCAAAAUCCAAAUGCCCUCAGAAGUGCUUUUGAGAUGUGAGAAAGCUAGUAGGUACCUUCUUCAAGAAUUUACAGUUGCUUCAUUUCUUCCCCCAGGGCCUUUAGCUUACGGUAACCUUUGUCGGUGCCAAAUAGCCUGUUAUAGAGACCAAGGAAAUAAUGAAAACAGUUAUAAAUUGGAAAAAGAAAUAAAAAAUACCUAUAUCUUGCCUCUUGGUUUUUUCACAGGCAGUGCAGAGGAUUUUAGCUUUUGCAGGACAUAGAGCAUUAUGUUGGUUAACGUAAAUCAUUUACAAUGAAUUAGGUAUACUUUCCAACUAUGCCAUUGCAACAUGAAGCAACCAACUUUGCUUGGCUUCUAGAACACAAACUGAAGCAGCAAUUCAACGUGUGAAUAAUAUGUGUGGAACUUUGUUGGCAAGCUUUUCAGCCACAAGAUUAAAAGCUCCAAUUUAAAGCUUCUCCCGCUGCAACAGGAAGCUUUUUUUAAAAAAAUAUGGUUACUUGGUAUAUAGUUGGUGAUAUACUUUUGGACAAAUUUCAAAUGUGUCAUUCACAAGCUCGACAGUGUCAUAUGUAUGUCCCUCAACAGUUUUUAUUAAUACAAAGGCAAUUAUGAUAUUUUAAGCUUUGUAUGGCACCUAGUUAUAUAAAUUAUGGGUGCUAGUGGGUACAAAUGAAAAUUUUUCUAAUUGUUUAGAUCUGGACUGAUAGUUCUAAGACAAUAAUCAAGGCUGCAAUUCAUCCAAUGAGCUGGGCCUUUGCUUAAUUCUUACCAAUUUCAAAAUUUGUUCAACUGGGACCAGAUUGAUGACUUCAACUACAUCAGUUAUCUUACAUGUACAUAUUAGAAAACUGAUACUCACCAGUCCAUGUAGAUAAAAGUAGACGCGUAGUUUCCAGAUUUUGUAUAAAGCACGCGAUGGUGGUAGUCAUGAAAGUCGGCACUGUAAAAGCAAUCGUCAAGUGUGAGUGAUGAGAAGUACAAGAACAAAUGGACAAGAGGCUUCUACAUAUAUAUAUCCCCGUAAAAUCUGAAUUUUCAAACUCACCUGUUCAUUUUUCUUACAAAAAAUGCUAUUUUCUUCCAAUUCAUGGGGAAGAGGCUUUGUAAUUCCGUAAGUACAAUAACGUAUAUUUAAGAAUUAAGAUUUUAAGAGUCCCGGUGAAAACUCAAAUUUUGCAGGGAUGUAUGUAAAUACAUAACUUUACUGGGGAAUAUAAGUCAUUGGUAACAUGAAAAGAGAAAAAAAUGAUUUAGUUUGGCCUCACCCUCCAUACAACGGCAAGAAAUUUGAUGGGCUCCAUGGAAAGUGGUACCCGCUGUGAGCUUCAACUGUUUCCAAUACUCUCAACACCAUCCAUAGCCACAAAGUUAAUAGGUGAGGGCCGGUGAGAGCAGGCCCUAUAACGGUAGCAAAGCCAAGGAACAGUAUUUCAGCAGGAUGGGCAUACUCUGAGGUCAAUCCAAAAGGCGUAGCAUAUCUGCAUGUAAUUUGUCAAUUAGUAAUAAAGAAGAGAGGGCCUUAAUAUCUAUAUCCCUGUGCAAAUAUAUAUUACAUAUAUCCUGCGAAAGUUGAAUUUGGUUGUCCCUCAAAUGUGGGGAAGUUGGUUUUGUAUUAAAAAAUGUUUCUAAAAGGGGGUCAUUUGCAAUUACAAUGGUAGGAUAUUCAAUUUUCAGGGAUUUAUAUAAACAGAUAAUAUCCCACAGUGCAUAUGUAUAUAUCUCAAUAAGAAAUAAAGGAAUCAUCUAUGAGGCAAAUAUUACUUACUCAUGAUGAACACUGUGAACAUGCUUGUACAGCCAUUUUGUGUGUAACACUCUGUGGCCCCAGUAAAAUACAAAAUCCUCCAAGAUGAAGUAGAAAAGAAUUUGAGAAAGGAUAACAGUCCUACAGGAACAGAUGAUUUACAUAGUUUUAAAAUGUCAGCAAGCAUUUACAUAUACCGAAUCUCAUAGUUUAGAUAUUUAGAUAUAUAUGUACCCCUACAAAAUAUUUAUGUGUAAAUAUAGACAUAAUCUGAUUCUUCAUUUACUCCCAUCAAAAACUUAGUUUCUUUUCUUUUUCUUUUUUUUUCUUUAUAAAAACUUAGUUUCUUGCACAUGCCUUAUUAGAAAUGCCUCUCUGCAAAAACAUUUUCACAAUACAAAAUAAAAGAAGAAAUGAUACAUCUAAGGGCGUGUUUGGUUCGAAGUCGGAGUCGAAAUCGGAAUCGGAAUCAAAAUAAGCUGGAAUCGGAAUCGGAAUGACUCAUUACCUAAUUCUGUUUGGUUUAUCACCUGAAUAGGAAUCGGAAUAAAUCAUUCCCAUUAUCAGUGUUUGGUUCAGGUGGAUAUAAAAAACGUAAUCAAAUUAAUAUACUAACAUUAUCUUUAUAAUAUAUUAAUUUAAAUUCAAAUUAAAAAUUAAAUAUUAAAAAUUUACAUCAAAAUUUUGAAAUAAUGUCAAAAUUUUAAAUCUAUUUUUUUUUAAAAAAAAUUAAACUUUGAAGUUGAGUGGAUAAUUCAAAAUAUGAAACUAAAUUUUGAUUUAUUCAAAUUCAAACUUAAAAUUACAAUUUAAAUUUUAAUUUGAAUCCAUAAAUUUAAUUUAAGUUUGAAAUAAAAUUUGAAUAAAACUUUAUAUAAAUUAAAAUUUAAUUUAAAUUCAAAUUCAUAAGUUAGAUUUGAAAUACUUGAUUAAAUUUUAAUUUUUAAUUUAGGUUUAAAUUAAAAUUUAAAAUUAUAUAUUUAAUUUUUAAAUUUUAACUCAUAUUUUAAUUAAAAAAAUUGAAAAAAUAAAUUUAAUCCGAAUAAAUAUCCAUUCCGUCCGGAUUCAACUUUCAAUCCGGCCUCCUAGACCGGAUUGAAAAAGAGGUGAUUGGGGGAUUCCCAUUCCACUCGGGAAUCGGAAUCGGAAUGGGACUCCUGCGUACCAAACACCCACAAACGGAUUUACCCAUUCCGAUUCCGAUUCCAGGGUGAAAAAAAUGCGAACCAAACACGCCCUAAGAGUAUGAACAAAAUUUCAGAUUUACAUGGGUAUAAAUGAGCAUAGAAUAACUUUGCAAAGAUAAACCAGUAAAAUCCCCUUCACUCAUAUUUAUUUACAUUUUGAUUUCAUGUAUACAAUUAUAAGCAAUUUUUUUUUCUUUGAAAUUUCUUUUGUUAAAGGGCAGAUUUAUAUGAAACGAGGGAAUUUUCAUAUGAAUAUUGAAUUGAGAGUUGAGAGUUUCUGAAAAGUAAGCUGGGAGUACCAAUGAGGCAAUGGGAGACUGCUUUUAAGGCCCAUGAAUCUGAAGGUGGGAUAGGAAACAAUCAUAACUGGCAAGUUCACGCAUACGUGGUACAGAAUUAGCAGCAGAACACAUCUAUCUUGUGAAGCAGGAGCAUUGCUCUUUUUCUGCAAACAAAACACAUGUUUCUCUUAAAAUGUAAAGAUGAAAGCCAGAAUUUUGUGCAAGAAAAUGCUAGCUACUGAAAAAAAAAAAAACAACAAGAGCCACUUUCAGCAGUUCAUCUAAGCAAACCUGAAUUUUGUAUUUGCUGAAAAGCCCAGAUCUCUCGAAGUAUAAAGAUGGAAGGCCCGAUAAGAAGAAGACACUUUCAUGUAUUAUGAAAGUUACCACAGUAGCCAAUUGAAAUUCACUGAAAUGAGUUAUCAGAUACUGCAACACCAAAUUUAAAAAGGGUAUUAUGUCUAAUUCAUAGCAGCUAGCAGGUAAUAAAGUAGCAGUAUAUACAAAAUCAUACAACUGCAGAAAAUUAUCAUUUUUUGAGGAAAGUAAUUUAUUAGACAUUUUAUCAAUUUUCUCUGAGAUGUUUCCGUAUUACUUUUUCAGUAUAUUCUAGUGCUAUUUUCUUGCUUUGAAGUUUAAAUCAUGUCUUAAAAAACAGCCAUGUCCUGAAAAUCAUCAUAAAUGCAAUAAGUAAUUAUAUAUCAAACCAAGUCCAGUAACAUACCUGAAAUAUCAGACCUAUCUAUUUCAUUAAGCCAAAAAUGUUCCAACUGUUUGCUCCAUCUUACUAUUUGAUAGGUCUAGCUGGUUUAGUCAACUCGAACUAAUAGAUUUUUCAUUCUUUACAUGAGAGAUCAGUAAUCUAAAUAAACUGAUGGCAGCAUUAGGACCCAUUGCAGGUAUCAUAUCAGAGAUCGUCAAACCUCUUGAAGACACUCCAACUAUCAAAAAGCUAUUAUACGAAAGCACCGAAAUCUAAGACUAACAGAACAGGAAACCGUCAAACAACUCAAAAUCACAAACUCACCAUCCAUUUUCACUUUUCAAGUUCUUGACCACCACAGAGAUAUCUCAAUAUAACUUUAAUAAAAUAUUUAGUUCUAAGGAAUCAAUAUAAGAAGCUACUUUACUAAAUCCUUCUCAUCAAGAAGAACUCCAAAAUCACAUCUCUCAGUAAGAGAAGCAAGUAUCAAUCAAUGUGCCCAAAAUGCAUACAAAUCUUUUUACAAACGAACACAGAUAAAACAGAGAGAGGAGUAUAUCAUAGCAUAAUUGUAGAUCUGACCAUGUUCCUGUGAUUCAGGUUCUAAUCUCUGUAGCACUACAAACCUGCAUUGGAAUUCAGCGAAUGGAGUAGAUCAACAAGUAGCUUCUCGCUUACCAAUUUCUCAAUUAUAGACUAAACACACCAAUUUAACUUCUAGACAGCCCUAAACACCAUUAUUACGAUCUAGAUACUUCUAACAACAAAUUUAAGGGACCUACUGAACACAAAGAGCUCCAUAACCACAGUUAUUGAAGGAUAUGAAUCCAUCUAAUGAUCUUACAAACAGCAGAUGAAUCCAACUGCAAAAAACACAAAAUAACAUUCAUAGGAGUCUCCAGUAUCACCCAAAAACCAUCAAACAACUCAGAAUCACAAGCUCAGAAUCCAUUUGUGCCAGAGUACCUUCAUUGUUACAUUACCCGCACCAAUAUAACAACUAAAAGCCCAAAACACCAUUAAUACGGUCUAACUACGAACGAAACCUACAUUAUUGAAUCCCAAUGAACAAGAAGAGCUCCACAAUCACACUUCUGAAGGAGAGAAGACUCCAUCUAAUAAUCCAAAAUGCAUGCAAAUAUAAACGCAAAGAACACGAAUCAAACAGCUAGAGCAUCCAUUUUCGCCCACAAACCACCAAAAUAAAUUUUCCUCAAAAAAAAACAAAACUCCAAAAUAAAUUAAACCGCAAGGUCAAUCUAUUUUUGCCUUCUGAUUCAUUGAUUGUUACACUGCACGCACCAAUCUAAACAAAUAGAAGACCCGAGAAAACUACGAACACGAUCUAAAUCCUUCCAAUGGAUCAGUAUAAGAAGCUACAUUACUGAAACCCAAUCAACAAAACGAGCUCCAAAAAUCACAGCUAGCUAUUAAGUCCGAUCAGGAAGAACACAAAUCAAGCACCUAAAAGAGCAUCUCAGUCCGCCCAAAAACCAUCAAACGAAUCUAAAUCCCAAGCUCAAUCCAUUUUUGCCUUCCCAUUCCUCGAUCCUUACACUACACGCACCAAUCUAACAACUACAGAGCCCAUAAACACCGAAGACGAUCUAAAUCCUUCCAAUGGAUCAAUAUGAGAAGCUACAUUACUAAAGACUAAUCAACAAAAACUGCUCCAAAAUCACACCACUCGGAGAAGAGUAGAAUCCACCAAAUCUACAAAAAUGCGCACGGAUUCGAUCGGAAAAGAGCACGAAUCGAAGAGCGAGAGGAGUCGAUCGUUACCAGCCACCCGGAUUCGAGGAGAGACGCCAUGGAUUUCGCGGGAGAGGGGAGGUGAAGGCCACGAGAGCCCGACCGAGGCGAUCUCACCGAUAUUUAGAGGCGAGAUUUAGGGAGGAGAGAGAGAGAGAGAGAGAGAGAGAGAGAGAGAGACGAAGAGACAUGAGAGGUGGUGAUCUGUGCUGCAGGUAAUUUGAAUACGACGGGUACGCAUAAGCCGUCGCCAGGCUGUCGUUGGAAAAUUCAUUUUGUGGACAAUGUCUGCCACGUCGUCACAUCGACCACUUAACAUCAAGUCUUUACUUUUCUCCUGGUUUUUGUUCAAACGUUUCCUUCAAGUCCCGGUCACUUUCUAACUAAAAUUUUAAUGUAAUCGAAAGCGAAGUCUCCUAUUGAAAGUUUGCUAUGAUCAGAACCUAGUACUAGAGUCCACAAUAUCUGCUAGUUUUUAAUUCUAGUGGUUAAAAUUUAGAAAAAACUUCAAAUAUCUUUUUUUUUUUUUUUUNAUCUUUUUAUUAUUGAUUUUAUUAAUUUUUUUGUUAAAUCAGUAACAAAGUUAAAGCUAAAAGGUACUAAAGUGAAUAUUCAAUAAAUCUAUAUCGGGUAUCUGAAAUUUUUUGUAUAUAAUUUAACGAAAUAUUAACAAAAAAACAAAUAAAAAGAUAAAAAUAAAACUAUAGGACACUAACUUGAUACACUUUAAACCAUAUGGUACUAAAGUGAAAAAAGUGCGAAAUCACAGCCACACGGAUGGUAUAUGAAGUUUACCCUAAAAAUUAUAGUUAGAUAAACUAUUGCAUGGAGUUCAAUGCUAUUUUAGCAAAUAAUAGAGUUUUACAUGUUCUGCCAAAACAAAGAUCCACAUAGGUUCUUAUCUUUUGACAAAAUAUAUGCUAACUCUACUUAUUUUAUAAUUUUAUUUAGAUAGUAUGCACUCGCAUCUUAGAGAGCGAAAUUCAAGAUUCUAAUGCAGCUACGAAAUAUGGGGCAAUGGGUUGCAUAAUAGAUAAAAGGGGCAAUUUCAUGACUACCCUUGUAAAAUUUAAAAAUAUCAUAAAUAUUCUUUAAAAUUUUAAAUUUUCAUUAAUAUCCUCUCAAACCUCAUAAACUAUCAUAAAUUCCUUAUUAUCAUUCUCUAUUUGCUUUUGUUAAUUUUAUAAGGUAAAAUGACAUUUUUAUCCCUAAUUGUUGGUGAGUAAAAGUGUAUGGAGACCCCUCACCUAUAGGUAUAUUAUAAAAUAGAGCCCUUCAACAUUUUUUUUUUUAUUAAGGCCUCUUAAGCUUUUAGUUUUUUUAUUAGGUUUUUGCACGUAGUAAAAUUUCUUAAUCAAGAAAUCUCAUUUAUUGAUUUACUAUUUUUUUUUAAAAAUUUGCUUAAUAAAAAUCACUCAAUUGUAAAAAGAAAAUAAAAUUAAGGAGGUGUAAAUAAAAAAAAUUAAAAUUAAAAGUCGUUCAAAUGGCCUAUUGGUGAAAAAAACUUUGCGAACUUUCAUUUUAUUAUAGAAAAUGAAUUUUAUAUGAAUGACACAUAAAAAAUACUUUACUAUCAAAAAUUUUGACUAUCUAUUUUUUUUGUGUAAUGUAUGUAAAUUAUUAUACUUAAAUAGAAUUAAAAAUAAUUAACUCUUAAGGUAAUAUUGAAUACUAAUAUUGACAGUUAUAUAUCAUAAUAAACUAUAUAAUUUCAUAGCCAAAAAUUAAAAAGGAGCAUUUUAUAUUUAGUAAACCAUAAAUAUUUUAUUAAAAGUUUUAAAAAGUAAAAUUUAGUUAGUAUGUACAGUUCAAAAUUUAUAACCAAUCAUUUAAAUAACUUUAAAUUUUUUUACUGUUAAAUUGAUAUUAGGGGGAAAUUUGGUAUUUAAAAAUUAAUGGAUAAUGCUUUUUCUGGACUUUAACCUGAAUUGAUAUUUAGAAGGAUAUUAGUGAUAUUUUAAUUUUAGAGGAGCAUUUGUGAUAUAAUGGCCUCUAAGAGGGGCACUGGUGAAAUUUUCCUUAGAUAAAAGUAGAGGGAUUGUCGAGAAAUUUGACCAAAAUCAGUGGGCAACAAAGUUGAUUUGACCUGUGCGGUCUAUAGACCGGGUUCAGGCAAUGACAUUCGUUAGUUGGUGUACGGUCCAGGGAGUCCUCGUGGAUCGGGCUCGUUUUAACUGUAUCGUGUGAAGCUCGCACGUGUCUCUCUUUGUCCCCAUUCGUUCCGGCGCAUAUGCGAUUCUGUUGCCAAGUGGAGAAGGACCGAGUUGGGGCCCACGCGCAAUAUUCCUACACUAUAGCUUUUAAUAAUAAUAAUAUAAUAAUAAUAAUAUUUAUUAUUACUAUUGUUAUAUUUUAUAUACAUUUAAAAGUAAACAAGUCAUUUAUUUAUUUAUUUUAUUGCUGUUUUUGCGAUAACAAUAAAUUGACACCUUUACGUAUAGUCUAAUCUGUUUAAUUUUUUAAAAUAUUAUUUAUCUAAAAAAUAAUGUGAAUUUGAUGUCAUAAAUCAUAAAUUUUAGUUUCUAUAAAUUUCAAAUACAUUUCAUUAUAUUUAACAAUGGCGACCCACAAUUAAACUAACUUACGAUUAAUAAAAAUACGAAAGUAAAUAAUUCUUUUUACUUCUAUAAAUAUUUUAAUUUAGUUUUUAGUUUAGCUUUAUUUUAAGAUUACUAUAUCAGUCAGGCGAGAAUAUACUUGAAAGUGAACUGUCUUAUUUACUUGUGCAUCAUUUUCCGCAGGAGUCAUUCAAUUUAGCGAUCGGCGAAAAAACUUAAUCUACGCUAUUUGAACUUCUUAGAUUUGAAAAUUUGAGAUUUUAUGACAUUAUUCGUUAGUAUUUAAAUUGUCUCAAAAUUAAUAAAUUUUUAAAGCUAUUUAAGUUUUAAAUUAAAUAAAUAAUAUCAAAAAGUUAUAAAAUAUGAUUUUUAGAAUGUUCAAAUAGUCUAUAUUUAACUGUAAUGAUUGAGCCACGCCAGAUAAACACUUCUAAAUUAUAUGUACAUAUUAAAAUCCAUUCAUUUAAAGGCUCUCACUUUCUAUUUGUCUUAUCAUUUUUUUUCUUUUUUGACUAGAACUCAAAUUAAAGUUUUUGUGAAUUCUAAGAAAAAAAAUUAAAAUUUAUAUAUAGGUGCAUAUUUGUUCCAAAUAGAUAUGUCAUAGUUUCUUACUUUGACAGAAUGCAAAUAUCUAAAUUCACCCCUAACAUUUUUCAUAAUUAUACAAAACUUUAUGGUAGCUCUUUAAUGAUGCUUCAUCGGAGAGUUUUCGAUCUGCCGCUAUGUAUUAAUAUUGCCUUUAUUCAAAAAUUCAUAAGCUAUUUUUUAAUACAAUUUUUUUAAAAAAAUUAAAAAAUAAAUAAAGAUAAAAUUAACCGAUGGUAGCCAAUGGGAGCUCCAUAUGUGAUGUUUUUCCCGCCCUUCGUACAUGUGGGCUGAGUGGCCAAUAGAAAGAAAAUUUAAAAUGCAGUAGUCAUAUUAAUGAUGUGGUAUUUCCAACCAAUCAAAUUACUUUUUUAAAAUUCUUCUAUUUUUAUCAUAAAUUUUAAAAAAUUUUAUUAUAUUUUUUUAAAAAAUAUGAUUGAUUGGAUAUAAAUAAUGUAAUAUAGCUGUUACGUAAUAGACUUCUAUGGCCGGUAGGGUCCACGCCCACUAGAGUACGAAAAAAUUUAUAACGCACCAGUUAUAUAGUGAUUAAGUGAUGUAGCGUUCUCAAUCAAUUAAAUAAUUUAUUUAGAUUUAUCUAUUUCAUCAUGAUUAAAAAAAAAUAUUUUUAUUAUAUAUUUUUUUAAAAACAUGAUUGAUUUGUUUUUUAUGAAUGGACAUUCAAAGACCAACAUGUUAAUGAACCCAUUCAAAUAAAAUCACCUGAGGUUACAGCUCUUGGAUAUUUUAAUAUAUUUUUUGUUCUUAAUAUAUUUUAAUAAUGUACUGAUGAGAAUAUUUAUCUCUAAUGUCGUGCAUAUUAGUCCUCUAAUAAUAAUAAUAAUAUAUUUUUUUCCCUGCAAUGGCAAGUCAAAAGAAUACAUUAAUCUUGAAAGCAAAAGCUUCAAUUAAAAAAAUAAUAUUAUUAAUUUUGAGAGUUGUACCACGCAGCGCGGUGGGUAAUAUUCUUUGUAAAGGUGUAUACUGUAGUUAUUGUCAAAAGUUUUUUUUUUUCUUUUGUAUUUAUCCUACAGGGUUAAUUUUAUACAGAUCUAUAUAAAUAUAGUGAAUGAUAAAUAUAUUAUUACAAAAUUUAACUUUCAUGUAUUGGCUUUAUAAAAAAUUUGAUAUUUUUAAAUAUAUUUCUCUACUUUGUUACCGUUAGAAAAUCGUUUAUAUUUUCAAUUUUAACAUCACAAAUAUAUUCCUUUAAAAAUCAUAUCAGCAUAAUAUAAAAGAGUAAAAAUAUAAAAAAUUAAUCAGGAUUAAGUAUUUAAUUUAUGAUUAAUUAAAAUUUUCUAACGAAUUCUAACAACAGGGACAUAUUUGAAAAUAAUAAAACUUUUGUAAAAAUAAUAUAUAAAAGUUAAAAUUUGUAGUGAUAUAUUUGCUAUUUAUAUAGAGAUCUAUAUGAAAUUAACCCUAUACUAAAAAUAUUAUGUUGAUAAUUCUUAUCAUCUAACUUUUACUUGCGCAAAUGAGCAUAAUAUCACUUUCCUAAACAAAUAAGCUUUUUUUUCUCAGCAAAUGAGCACAAUAUCACUUCCCUAAACAAUAAAACUCAAAUGGCGUUUGCGUGUGAGUAUAAAAUCAAUCUUGCAAAUAUAAAUUUUGUGAGAUUAUUUAUAAAAAAAGUUUUUGAAAAAGCUAAAUGCAAAAGAAGCCCAAAAUAAAUUUUUUUUUUUAUGCCUUGCUUUGGCAAUGCAUAAUUUUUUAGCCUUUAAAUUAUUAGGAUGGAGGACCUAGAUUAACUCAUUUAAUGAUUACUAAUUUUUUGACAGGUAUUAUUGGAGCAAAAAAAACCUGCAUUUUUCGAGGCCAAUAAUUUCUCCCUAAUAAAUAAUUCCUGGACUUGGUCUAUCAUAUUAUUUGUAGACUAUAGAGUUAUAUCUCUAUAAAUAUUAUUUAUUUACUAGGCAAUAAUUUUACUCUGGAGGCAUGCAGUAAACAUGCGUGGAAACACCUCUAAACUAUAAAACAUUUUGAAAUAAAUGCAACUUUAAUUUUAUGUCAACGCUUCUUAAUUUAUAAUUUUUUUAAAAAAUUAUUUUGUGAGAUUGAUUAAACAUUAUGUAAAAUUAAAUACAUCUGUCAACUAUCAGAAUCCAACUAUUUUAAUUUAAUUUGCUAAAAAUAAUUAAAAUAUAUUUAUUUGAUAAAAUUAUCUGUAAAUUUAUUAAGAAUUCUACAGUUAUUUGAAUAAAAUUACUUAAAUUUGAAAAUUAAAAAUUAAGAGAGUAUAAGUAUGGAAGCACGAAGAUGAGGGGUCGAUCUCAAAAGAACACAUAGUCGAGGGGUCUUCCUACGUUUUUGUCAGUGAAUGUAAUGCCUAAUUUUAGUAGAAUAUUAAUUUUCUAUUUUAGAGUUGGAUGGUUAGACGUGUUUCUUUUUCUUCUACAUAAUAAAGUAUGAAAAUAAAUGCCUUAUUUUUUAUACCUUGCAGUGACAUUUAAAGAAUAAUUUUUUAAAAAUUUUGUUUUUCACUUAAAGUUUUUAUAUUAACCUUUUCUUAAAAAAAGAUUAUUCCGAUGGUCAUAAACUAAAAGUGAUUUAAUUCGUCGGCCCAAUGGGCUAUCCUAAAAAUAAAAAACAGCAAAAAUUUGCUAUGUACAUUUUGAGUAAAAAAUUAUAAAACUAGUAACGAGUAAAACAUAUUUUGCAAAUUAUAGUAGCUAUUAACAUCCAAAUAAAAUGUUAUAAAAUUUGUAAGAAGCACAAUAAAAAAAUAUCAUAUUUAUUUUUGUAUGUAAUAUCAUGUUGUGUUUAUCCGCUGCAAUAUAUUUUUUACGACCCAUUAGAAAAGACUGAAGUUUAUCGUUUUAUUUUUUUUGUCCGAAAUUUAUUUUUAGGCUAAAUUACAGAAAACUUCCCUAUGAAAACUCGAUUUUCACUUUCUCUCAUGUCAUUUAAAACCUACACUUUACCACUUGUAAAAUAAAAAAUGUGCACUUCAUUUUAUUAGUGAUCCGCUAGGGUUCUGUUAUAAUUUUUUUUUAUGCUAAAAAUAUCCCUCCGCUUUCUUUCUUGUUGCUUCGCCUUCCUUCGCCUCCACUGCCUCGCUCUUGCCUACAUCCCCGUCAUCGCCCACAAACACCCCUUCGCCCUCCUCCGUCGCCUCACCUACGCUCUCGUUGUCGUUAUCCACCUCUCCAUCCACGCCCACCUCGAUUUCCUCCUUGCUGUCGCCGAAAUCGAGGGUCGGCGAACGUGCAGGCGGAGAAGGGGAGCAGGUGGAGGAAAAAAUAGAGAAAAACCACGACCGAUCGAGGAUGCUGUUGAGAAAGAUGAGGGAGGAGACAAAAAUGGUGAGGAAAAAAAUAAUCAUUUUAUCAUCACAGUACACACCGUACCCCUUGUGAACAUUUUUUAUUUUACAAGGAAGUAAAAUGUAGGUUUUUAAAUGACAGAGAGGAAAAAGUGAAAAUCAGAUUUUGACAGAGAGAUGUUUUGUAAUUUAGCCUGAUUUUUAUUUAUAUUUAGACUAAGAUUAGAUAACUCGAGUAAUAUAUAUAUAUAUAUUUUUUAAUCUUCAGGAAAAUAAAAUCACGGCAAAUCGAACUUAAAACCGUCCAAUCGAUUUGUACUCUUCAAAAUCCACUCAAAUUUAGGUAUAAAUAAACAAAACUCUUAAAUUUAAGAUUUAGGAAUUUGAAUUCCUUGCCUGCGGAGUCGUCGCCAAGUCAAAAAGCAUUAAAUAAAGUAAGAAUGAAGGGAAAGCGAUGUCUAUAAAGCACAACCGACGAUCGUUUCCGAGCACAACGAUCUCGCUACGCAGAACCCUCUUGGUAAUCUCCGAUUUUCCCCUCAAUUUCUCCUUAUUUUCACUUUUGUUUGUCGAUCUGUAAGUGUUGUUCAUCGACUCGAUUGGCGAUUUCGCGUUUUCGCCGCGAAAAUUAGGGUUUAAACUAGGGUUUGUGAUUCAUCCUAGUUAGAGUGAGUGGUUCUAGUUUUAUUUCUCUCUCGAAUUUUGUUUUCCUUAGCUUAGUUGCAAACAGUGGGAGAUUAAGAAGAGAUUGCUCUUAUAUUUUUUGCGUGUUUUGAUCAUAGGAUUCUUAGUUCUCCUUUGUGAAAGGGACGAGUUACGUAGUUGAUGUUGAUUUAUAAAAAUCCAUGUACAUGUUUUAUUUUUGCAUUUAUAUGUACAGAGUAAACAUCGAGCACGAGCCACAGAAGGGGUAACUACAGUUUACUUGUGAUGGAUCUUCACCAAAACUACAGUUUAUAUAUGUGUGUGUCUGUAUAUAUAUAUAUAUAUGUGUGUGUGUGUGUGUGUGUGUGUGUGUGUGUGUGUGUGUGUGUGUGCAUAUCGAACUAACAAAUCUACAUUUGCCUUGUAUUCAUAUUCUCUUCUAUUUCCUGUUUCUUUGGAGCUAAUCCUGUUGAUUUUUUGUCUUGAGUGGCUUAGGUUUGCCCAUCAUGGAGUACUACAAUAUGUCCACCCGUCGGGUUUCAUAUGAUGUAUUGGAUAUCUGUCUCAAGGACAUCCUUUCUACGAUCAAACCCUCAAGUGAUGAUGAAAGAAAACGAAUGCACGCCAUCAGUGAGCUUGAAACUUGCAUUAGAUCUAUUGUGAUCUUGAAAGGUAAAUGAUAUUGAUUAAUGUUAGGGUCAAAUGAAUGGAUAGUCCCUGUACUAUCCUACCAGUUGGACUUCGUUCCUGAACAUUUCACUUGAACAGUUUAGCCUAAUCUUCCUCAUAUAUUGCAAUGCCAUUCUUGACCACUAAAAAAUUUCAUCCCUAAACUUUCUCACACAUUGCAACAUUUUUGUCCCUAAACUCUCUCUCGGGAAGUGGGUCGGUGGGUGGGGGAGCACACGCACGUUCAGGCAGGCGUGUGUGCAUGCAUCCUUACGUAGUUUAAUAACUUAUAUUUGUCUAAUUUCUGAAACAGGUGCUGCUGUGAAGCCCUUUGGAUCUUUUGUGUCAAACCUCUAUACUAGGUGGGGAGAUUUGGAUAUUUCCAUUGAACUUCCAGAUAGCUCACAGACACCAUUAAGUAGAAAAGGAAAACAGCAUGUUCUACGGAAUAUAAUGAGAGCUUUGCAAAGAACAGGUACUUAUUCUCUGUUGUUUGCUCGUUAUGUUGCUAAUUAACUAUCCCACAUUUAUUUAUUUUAUUUGGUGCAUUGUAGAAUUACUUCCUAUGCUGCCUGUCGCUGUUGAAGUCCUACCAAUUUCUUGUUUCCUUGUUACAAUUGUUGUCCUGAUCCAGUUUCUUCUUGCGCACAUUUAGGCAAUUAAUUUAAGCAAUUAUUUAUCAUAUUUUGCUGCACUAGAGUGACUUUUUAAUUUCUUUUCUGUUAGGUGUUGCUCAUAGUCUUCAAUUUAUACCCCUUGCGAGAGUUCCUCUGCUCAUAUGCAAAAGCACCUAUGAUGGUAUUUCUUGUGAUAUUUCUGUUAAUAACCGCGCUGGUCGAGUUAAAUCCAAAAUCCUCCAUUGGAUCUCUGACAUAGACACCCGCUUUCGUGACAUGGUUCUAUUGGUGAGCUUCAACUUGUCAAUAAAUUGAUCUGUGAAAUGUAUUUACAGUUCUUGUACUAUCCCGAUGUUGUAACUUGGUCCUUGUACUUCUCACUGUAGUGACUUAGUCCUUGAACUUCUUUAUUUAUUGCACUUCAAUCCCUGGCCAUUAAAAAUCUAUUUUCUUGUAAUUUGACCAUUUCAUUCCUCUCUGUAACACUCAAAACAUGGUUGAAUCGGUUAUUUUAUAGCGAAAAUCAACAGAUGUGACAAUAUUCUCUUGCUAAUCAGGGAUGGAAUUGAAAUAUAUAGAAGUUCAGGGACUAGGGUUUUUUGAGUGAGAAGUUCAUGAACCAAGUCCCAACAUUGAGAUACUACGGAGAAUAUCCAUAUAUUUUGUGCUUAAUAAUUUUCUAUUUUGUUUGUUAUUUUGUCUUUAAUCUAGGCUUGAUACUUUUGCAUGCAGACUAAAGAAUGGGCAAAAGCACAAGACAUUAAUGACCCGAAGUCGGGGACAUUGAAUUCGUACUCACUCUGUUUGCUAGUUAUCUUCCAUUUCCAGGUUUUGUUUCCAAUAGCUCAGUUGGUAGUUUGAUAUCCUUUUCAUUUUUCUCCUCGCAAAUAUUUGCAGCAACUUUUUAAUUUGGUACUUUUUGGAGACUUUUUCUCUUAUGCUACAUUUGAUGUAUUACUACAGACAUGUGAGCCUCCCAUCUUGCCACCUCUUAAGAAAAUAUAUGAAGGGAACGCUGUUGAUGAUAUUAGGGGUAUGUUAUGGGUACAUUAUUAAUGGGCUAAUUAAUGCAGGAAAUCUGCUAUAAAUAUCACAAUUCCUGUAUUGGCCCUAUGAAAUUUUAAAACCUGGUCUUUACUCCAUCAGCUUAUGAGCAUAGUGAUAGAUACUGGCUGCUCGGAGCACUAAUAAAGGAGCCAAAGAUGAAAUCUUCUAGUUUUUGUGGGGUAAUACACAAGUUUUAAUACUUCAGGGGAGAAAUAAAAAAUUGUGAUAAUUGAAGGGGGGUUCCUUGCAAUUUAGCCUUAUUAAUGCCUCAUUUUAUACUACCUUUCUGGAUGUGCUUUUGUAACAGGUCAUGCGUGUUGGACUAACUACCCUUUUAGUAUUUGAUAGUUUGUAUGUUCAUGGCUUAUCUGAUGUAGGAUUCGAGUAUAUUACUGAGAGACAUAUUGCGGAUAUUUGUGCUGCAAACAUAAGACGAUAUAAGUCACAAUAUCCCAUACAAAGAAACCGAAGCUCUCUUUCUGAACUUCUCAUGUCUUUCUUCGAUAAGGUAAUUUUAUCACUUGAUUUGCUGCAUUAAUCUUGGUGUUGCUGUAAUAUGAGACACAUAAAAAUGCACAAAUUUUCGGUUUUUGGGACUCUCUUUCUUUGCACUUACGGAGCCUUUCAUUCUUAUGCUUUCUGUAGUUCUCCCAAAUUGGAACUUUAUCUCUGGAAUAUGCGAUCUCCACUUAUACAGGCGGGUGGCAGAGAAUUAACCGCAAUCCAGUUUUGCUGGGACAACUUCCUAGUAUUAUGGUAAGAACUAUUCUUGAAACCUAUAAACAAACACAGUAAAUUGUGAAAUUCGUGAUAGUGCUUGUUUGGCCUUAUUUUUCCCUUUGUUUUGAGUUGUAGCGACCUUUUGUAGAGAACUUGGUAGACAAAAAAAGUCUAGAGCUUCUGCUGUUGCGGGAGGCUCAACUGACAUCCCAAAGCCCAAAUAUAGAUGCUCUGAAUUUGGAGCUUUGUGAUUCAGAGAGAAGCUUUUAGGGGGAUACUUAUGUACUGCAUCUCCUAAUACACUCCUCAAAUAGCUCUGUACUCUAUAGGCUUGUUAGAUCCUUUGGAGAAUUGCCUUUUGAUUAUGGUGGUUCGAAGAAGCCCUAGCAGUUUUUCCAUUACCGCUUGAAACACUCCUAUCUCCAAACGACUUCCACCUGUGCAACUAGAAACUUUAAAUUGGAGAUUUUGCUUCUUUGGGUCUAGAAUCGGAAUUUACCUUAACUUCCAUAGGGGCUUAAGGGCUGUUUUCUGUUCUUUUAUUUUUUUUCGGGAAGAGGGGGGUAAGUUAUGUGAUCCUUCUUCCGCGAUAGAAUCAGGAAGUUCCUUGUUAGAGCAAGUCCAUUGCUAACAGAGUUUGGUUAUAAAUUACUAACUAUGAUGCAUUGUUUAGAUUGAAGAUCCUUUCGAGCGGCCAGAAAAUGCUGCGAGAUCGGUUGGGUUUCUAGGCAAAAUAUCAGAUGCAUUCAGGGAUGCAUAUCACAAACUCUCCUCUCGGUCCAUGCUCUCGAAUCGCAACGCCUUGCUUGCACUUUUAACCAGACCUAGCAUAAGCACACAACUUAACGCAAGAGCACCGGAAAGAUCCACACCCAAGCAAAUCAAUCAUCAACAUUACAGGCACACUGGUACUGCAAAUCGGUUUAAAAACUCGGAGCAAAUUCAUGAGCGAUUCCGCAGUGCAUUGAGACUGGAGCAACAGGGGCCGUCUUCAUCAACAGCUGGCUAUCGAGAGGAGCGACGGAAGUCAAGAGUGAAUAAUUAUCGAGGCCAAGGUUAUGAAAUAGGGUAUUGUGGAGUUGCAUUUGCAGAUGACCUUUGAUGCGGUUUUGGGAGUACCAUCCUUCUUAUUUUGACUUGCCAUCUACACCCUCAAUCACAAAUUGCAGACCGAACUUGAAAAGGUUCAAAUAGAUUAUAUAAACUUCGUAAUUGUUUUGUUCAACCACACAGCUCUGAACUUUGUUUAUUUUUCUACAAAUCUUCAAUCACAUGAAAGUCAUAUAAUUCAAAUGCUUCUCUUUCAGCUGAAUUCUUAUAUAAUUUUAGAGAUAUUCCCGAGUCAUUUGGCUUUCAUAGGAUUGAAGAUUAUUAAGAAAAAUUAUCAAAAUGCAGAGUUAGAUGGUUGGUUGAACAAAUUACAAAGUUUAUAUCGUUUUAUUUUAACUGUUCAUUAAUCGGGCUGCAAUCUGUAAUUGAUCUACCGUCUUGAGGUUUGGCAUACCUUUCGUAAUUAUAUUUUAAGCUUCAACUUGUGUGGCGAUUCUAUUUGGUUGGGUAGUUUUAGAGUCGUACUCGGAUGGUGAUUUUGAACAGUUGUAAUGUGACUGCUUUUAGUAUCGUAAUGCAGGUGGUUUACCGUGUAAAUAAGGUCUAGUUUGGAAUAGUUAUGUUCAAAUGUACCAUUUUGUGCUUGGAAAAGUAAACAUUUUAAAAAAUAAAAAUCUACGAGUAUUUUUGAGUCUUUCCAAUAUUGUUGAUAUAUAGUCGGAACCGCCACAUCUAAGUAACUGUUGGUUGCUUCUCUAGCUGGCUGCUCUAUAAGUGAUGGUUUUAGUCUACUUAUUAAUCUUUUAAAAAAUAGUAGUACGUUAUCCAUUUCUUUUAUUUAUUUAUUUUUUAAAUUUAAUGCAAGAGUAAAGUAACUAAACGUCCAACUUAGAAACUUGAAUAUCAAAUAUCAAUUUUUGGCCGUCGGUUUCUGCUGCUAAUUUGUAGCGUCAAAAAGGGUAGUUUGCUGAAGUCGUAAAUUUUUAUUAAAUAGCGUGCGGAGACUGAUGCUGUUUAGAUUUAACUACUUGACAAAUUGUCCGUUUUUGUUUAAUUCAUGGUCCUGUUAUCCUGUAAAGCUAGACUUGCUAUGGUUUCUGAAUGUUCGCAGCACUCGCUAUUAUUUCUCUAGGAGCACAAUAGGAUUAGGAAUGAACUCUGCAAAAUCUCGAACGCUAUUUAAGUUGUGACCAUAAAAUCUAUUUGAAAGAAAGUCAGUGGCACUAAACGUCGUCCCAAGCUGCCUCGAUGCUUUUACAUGAGUUGCGUACCCAGAUUAAACUCGGUUGAAAUAGCGUACCAGAUUAAACUCAGUAGAAAUAUCAUAGCCUCUUCAGCUCGAUUCCAUUAAAAAAUAGUUGAGAAUACCAAAGUAAUAAUCAAUACAUGAAUAUAAUAUCACCUCUUCUUCCACUAGAAAGAAAUCAUCUAUUUUGAUUACCAAAAUGCCACGACCGAAGCUGAUAAACAACUACAAUUGAACAAUAACAUUACCACUGGCUACGACAAGCAUACAAACAAAAAACGUGAGAAUCGUCUGGUGAAAGCUGUAUUAUCCAGAAGCAGAACCUUUAUUAAACACACACUUUCAGAAACCUAUGUAUGUUGAUCGAAAGAACAAAAGCAACAGAAACAAGUUAACUUUUCGAAAUUAUCAUCACAAGAAAUAACAAUUCGAAACAAAAUGACAAACAGUUUACACUGUUAAAACCUGGAUCUCACAGCCCUACAAAUUUAUUGGCUAGCAGGGAGAUGGGCUAUCAAGCCUUUUUUCCAAUACCGUGGGACAUGUUGUAUAUCCCGCGCCCCUGUUCACCAAGUAAGAGAGAAUUGGAUAAACAUACUAAAAUCUCACGACCAACGUUUGGUUAUGCAUGCAGUUUUUACUUCUCUUUUAGUUUUGUUUCUUUUUAUCAACACAAAUGCUUUACGAUCUAAUGUGCUACCUGAUUAAGCAGAUUGUUUGGAAUCUAUACAUUAGUUUGUUUGAUCACAAAAAGUAAAAACUUGACUCAUUACCUUUUCUUGCUUCUGUGAUUUUUUUUUUUUUUUUUUGGUGGGCUAAAAAAAAAAAGGUUGAGUAUAUACAAGCUAACCAACAACUGAUGCAAAGUACUCCACCAGUUGAUAUUUAGUAGCAUAUGGUUUAAGUUUUUCUAAAACAAAAAAAACCUAAACAAUGUAAUUGUAGUCAGAUGAGACCCAAAUAAGGAUAAGAAAAAAAAAAUUUUAAAAAGAAAAAGAAAAAAAGGACUCACAAUGAGAAACAGGCUAGAGGCUGCCAGUGUAAGAGGAAUAGCAACUGAAGUGACCAUAUCAUAACGGCCUUUCAAGUAGGUGUGCUUGUGGAGGCUUUGGAAAUACUGCUGAUACUUUAGAAUCCUCUCCCUCGGCACAAAAGGUGGCUCCGACAUCCUGCAUUAGAAGAAUAUAAAUUUAGAUGAGAUCAAGCUGUUGUGUUUUACAGUCAUAGGCAUUAUUGUCAGAACUAUUGUCAUAGUGUUUACACAUAUACAUAAUAUAUCUUCUCUUGAAGAGUUCUAUAUGAAAUACUGUACAGGUACAAAUUAAAACAGUUUCGCUCUAAUUGAGAAUUAUUUGCCAUAUACGAGACAAGAGAACUUGAUUGCUGUGUGAACAAUAGGGUAUUAACCAAACAUACUAGUCAAGUCUCACAUGCUGCAACUUAAUAGAACAAAUACAGCUGCUUCUCUGAACUUCGAGAAUGGCUAAAUGUUGCCUUACAUAUCUAUCCAGUAAUCAUUUUACGAGGGAAAAUGAUUAUGGGUUAUAGAACAUCCAGAACACAUCAGAAAAAGAAUGCUAAAAUCAUAAGAUAUCACUAUUCAUCAUCAAGUAAAAUCCACUGGUCUUACACCAACAGUGACAGGAAUAGAAGAGUCAAUAAGUCAGUGCAUCCAAUCACGUAGUAUUAAAGUUAAAAAGAGCAGCAAUAGAAACAAAGGAGGUCCAAGGAAAAAAAACCCUUUAGCUCCAAUCCUCAAGGAAAUAAGACCACCUCUGCACUGCAAUAUUCUAGAACAUAUUCACAUGAUGCAAAGGCAGAAUCAAAUAGAACUAAACUGACAAAACUCUUAGGGGGCGUUUGAUUCGCACUAUGAACGAUUACUAGGAAUAAAAAGAUACCUAAAGAUUUUAUUCCUACUCAUCCUAUUACUAAGAAUGUGGCAGUCCGGUGUUUAAUUCGCACGAUCAUAUUAUUUAGUCACAUUAUUUAAUAUUACGAAAAAUAUACAAUUAAUGUAUUUGUUUCGUCAAUUAAUUUUAGAUAAUGCUAUCAAAAAUUUCACCAUCCUUUUAGAGAAGGAGAAAGAACAUAAGUUAGAGAGAGAAUAAUUAAAGAAAUAGGGAGAGAGAUAGAGAGAUAGAGUCAAGAUUAGAGGGAGCGAGAGAGUUGAGAUUUUAGAAAAAAGGGGAAGAGAGAGCUUAGUUUAGAGAGAGAAAAAGCGUUGAAGUUUAGAAAGAAAAAGAUAAGUUGAGGUUAGAGUGUAAAGAAAAACAAUACCAACUAGCCAACGGGUGGGAAGAAAGAAAAAGAUUAGAAAUAUUAUGAUUACCCCAAUUCAUUAAUAUGAGGAUAUCGACCCUCUCUCGUUCAAAGGAAUGAGAUUAGUAGUUUUGGAUAAAUCUCAUUCCCAAGUAAAUCCAAUAUUACCAAUUAGAUUACUUAGUGCGUUUAGUCAAACACCGUCAUAUUUUUUUUUAUUCCUAUUGAAUUAUUAGGAAUAUUAAAAAGAAAGCGUGAACCAAGCGCAUCCUUAAGGUGCGAACCCUCUUUUUACUUGCAAUGAGUUCUUUCAGAAAAGCACAGCUAUGGCUCUUGUAUCAGUUUCUAAUCUCACAUUAUACAACUCCAUAGCCUUUUAAGACCUCAUCUAUGAUCCACUCCACAUAUAUUCUCAUUAAUCUGAUAAAAUUACAGCCUAAAUUACUAAUAUCACAGAUCUUAUACCAUAUCAAUCAUACAAAAUUUAGGAAAAUGCAUCUGACCCACACCUAUCUAUCGAUUAUAAGCAAACCUCAAUUAUUCUCAUUAAUGUGAUCACACUCCUGCAUUAAACGCUAAUAUCACAAUCUUAUGUCACAAAAAUGCACUAAAUUAGGGCAUACAAAAGAUCCAGACGUUUCUAUCAACUAUCAACAACUUAAUACAACGAACAGGUCGAUCAAAAUUAUAAACAACCCAAAAAAUGAAGAAAAUAAGAAUAUAGAAGUCCCGGAAUCGCUAUUCAACGCCUAUAUUAUUCUCAUAAAUCUGAUAUCAAACCAGUUUAAAUAGCCAUUAUCACAAUAUUUAUUCAUAAAAAUCGUUAAAAAUAAGGACAUAAACAGAUCCGAACCGAUCUAUCUACUAUCGCGCACCAGAAAUCAAUAGAACUGUAAACAAUCCGGGAAAUGAAGAAAAUAAGAAGAAAAUUAGAGCCAAAAUCACAAUAAUCUCUAUCUCAAACCCUGAUUGAGGGAGAGAAAGACCUGGAGACGAAGAUCGAUGGGGGGCGCAGGGCGAAUCGGGGCGGUGAUCGCUCGAGGCGAAGAGGGUCGAGAGCGGAGGAGGAGGAGGAAAUGAGAUUGGGGGCGCGGACGCAACGAGGAUCGACCUUAGAUGAAGAACCCCUCUGGAAACCACGCUGCACGAAUCACGAGGUUGGCGAAAUUGCAUCACAACCGUCCCUCAGAUCUGCAUACUCCGAUAUAACUCUAGCUGGUUUUAUGCGGGGGGAAUUUUCAUAUUUCCCCCUCUAAAAUCAUCAAAUUGUAUACAGUGGUUAAAUUGUACGAUUGGCUUGGCCUCUUAAUUAUUUUUCUUUGGAUUAAUGCCAUUUUCAUCUUCUAAUUAUUUUAGCGUAAAUUAUUUUUAAAAUUAAGUAUAAUUUUGUUAUUAAAUUAUUAAAUUAUAAUUAUAAAAUUUAUAAGCCCAUUAGUUAAAAUGAUAUGCCGAAGAGUUGAAUUCAAUGUGUACAUUUAAUCAAUAAAAAUAACUUAAACAAAAAGAAUUGUGUAUUUUCAAAAGAGCUUCAGUUUAUUUUUAUUUUAAAAAAUAAAUUAGUUUAAGUUAAAUCUCUAUGUUUUCAUUCAUUUUAUUUUAUAUCUGAUUGAUACCUAUUAAAUAAUAAUAAUUUUUUUUUAUAAGUAAAAUUUGAAUGGUCAAAAUAAACAUGAUGAUGUGAAUAAAAGGGUGGUCAUAAGUUCAUGUGGCAUAAAUAUAUAGUAGUGACACUAGGUAUAGACAUUUAUUUCAAAAUAAAAAAUUUAAAAUUCUUCAAUUCUUCAAUAUGAAACAAAAAGGACGAAAUUAAGCAUUGAUCAAAUAUACGGGGACAUAUAUUCAAUUUUCCUCCCGAACUCGGUAGCAAAAGUAUUUGCUUGUGUACAUACGCAUUUGGUAUUAUUAUACAGUAUAACAGCAGUACUCGCAAACUUUCCCUUCUCCUUUCCGAUUCCGCCUCUUCUCCGAAUACUCCUCCGCAACGCAACAACAAAAAAACGCUCCCGAACCCUAGUCUCGCACAUGACACCCAAUCCCCAAUCCCUUCUCCAAAUCGCGAAACCCUAGUUCCCCUCUCUUUUCUCGCUCUCUCGUCGAUCCAGGGCCCAAACUAGGGUUUCCGAUGGCGAAGCUCGCGGAGGACGACGACAAUGGCGGCGACUCGGGGUCGAGGUCGGUGUUCGAGACGGUGAGCGGGUCGCACCGGUACGCGGUGAAGGGGUUCUCCCUGGCGAAGGGGAUGGGGCCGGGGAGGUUCCUGUCGAGCGGGGCGUUCGCGGUGGGGGGCCACGAGUGGGCGGUGUACGUGUACCCGGACGGGAAGAGCCCCGAGGACGGGGCCGCGUACGUGUCCGCGUUCGUGGCGCUCGCGAGCGAGGGCACCGACGUGCGCGCCCUCUUCGAGCUCGCCCUCGUCGACCAGAGCGGCAAGGGCAAGCACAAGGUCCACAGCCACUUCGCCCGCGCCCUCGAUGCUGGUCCCUACACCCUCAAGUACCGCGGAAGCAUGUGGUGUGUGCAUCCUCCUUCUUUUCCUUCUCCUUUUUGGCAAUUUUUGUUCUCGAUCCGUUGUUUAAUAGGUUAAAUUUUCCUUCCUUUACCGUAGUUUAUCGGUUUUUUUCGCUAAUAUGGUAUGGGAACUGGUUAUAAUUUUGCCCAUUGUUUCGCAAUAUUUCUCGCCAUUGCAAGUGGCGUGGUUUAUCUACUCUGUGCCGUGCACAUGAGUGGCGUUUCUUAUCAUAUUGAUCUUUUGUGAAACUUGGUUUGCUAAAAUUCCCUGCAGUUUCAUUUUUCAAGAGUUUGCGGGUUCAAUUCUCUAUAUCCAUUGUAUUUAAUGGGUUAAACUUUUAUCCUUUCAUUGUUGAUAUCUUCUCUUUUCAAUGCAAAAAUGCAAAAUUCUCUCUUGUGCUAUUUUGCUAAUUUUUAAUGGUUGUGUAAACUUAAAAAUGUUUUCUACUCACUUAAUGAUGUUGACACCCCAGUUUGAUUUUCUAGAUAUUAUGGAUAGCUCCUCUUUUUUUUUAUAUAAAUAUUUUAUUUGCAAGUUUGUUUUUUUUUACUAUAUAUUGAUUGUCAAUGUUUCCUGUUUCUUAAAGAAAUAAAAAGAAAAAAAAAAAAGAUUGUCAUUGUGUGCUUUGGCGUGCUUGCAUUCGCUUAUCUUGCAAUUGUUAUCUGUAUUUUAGAGAACUGUCCUUUCUCAUUUUAUGUACAAUGUAAUCUAAUAAUUGUAAUUAAAUCUUCUUCCAUUUAAUGCAUGCGCGUGCUUGUAUCAGUUUGUUUGUUAAAUGGGCUUAAAACUAGCUUGGGGUGAGCUCCUGUAAUAUAUUUUACAUAUGGGGAGCUUGAGUAGCUUAUAGCUCUCUUGCUUUCCUGAUACCGUGCUUGAUACUAUGCUCUAAUUUCUUAAAUUACAAUCUUUCAUGGUUAUUGUCAAUGUCUCUUUUUUCUCUUUCCCAGUUCUCUUACUAAUUUAUAAUUUAAUUUUUUGGUUAUAUCAUAGGGGUUACAAGCGUUUUUACAGAAGAACAUCCCUAGAAACAUCGGAUUAUCUGAAGGAUGAUUGUAUAAUUUUGAACUGCACAGUCGGUGUUGUUAGGAACCGUGUGAAUUCACCGAAGCACUUAUCAAUUUCUGUACCAUCACCUGAUUUGGGGCACUGCCUCAUGGACCUGCUGAAAUCUGGUAUUGGAUCUGACAUAGUUUUUGAGGUUGGCGAUGAGAUGUUUAGAGCUCACAAGCUGGUUCUUGCUACUCGCUCACCAGUAUUUAAUGCUCAAUUCUUUGGUCCAAUUGGAAAUCGGCAUCUGAACAGGGUUGUUGUCGAAGAUGUGGAACCUCUCGUGUUCAAGGUAAUGACUGCUUAUAUUAUAUUUUGCCAUUGCAAGUAACAGUAACUAGCAGUAACAUGCUGGUUCAAGGAACUCUUUUAAGAUAUUUCUUUCCUGAGUUAAUCUCUUAUCUGUUUAGCUUUUUAAAUUCAUUAAAAUAAUGCUUUUAUAUAUAUAUAUAUAUAUAUAUAUAUUUGGACUUUGCAGGCCAUGCUUCACUUUAUAUACUCGGAUAAAUUUCCAAGUGUCCAUGAACUAACUGGACCAGAUUCAAUCUGCACUUCGACAAUAAUGGUGCAACAUAUAUUAGUGGCGGCCGAUAGAUAUGGAUUGGAGCGUCUGAGGCUGCUAUGUGAAGCAAAGCUAUGUGAGGAACUCACCACUGACACAGUGGUGACAACCUUGGCUCUAGCGGACCAACACCAGUGUGCUCAAUUGAAGUCUGCCUGUCUAAAAUUCAUGGCUGCUCGGGAAAAUUUGGGAGGUUGGUGUUCUCUCUUUAGACUAAGAAUAUAUGCUUUCUCCUACUUGAAUAAGAUUGCCUAUUUUGCUCUAGGUACUUCUUUCUCUGUAUGUACCUGCAAAAUUGUGAAAUCUGAAGUUGUGUGUUCGCAUCAAAAACUUAAUUCCUUACCUAUACGACCUUAUUCAAAAAUGCCCCUUUUAGAGAGCAUUUUCGGGCACAGGACCAAUCUCCUCCCAUGAAUUGGAUGAUGACCCAAUCUAAGAAAAAAUUUACCAUUAAAAUAUACAGUUACGAAAGUAUCAUUACGUAAGUUGGGGAGUCAUCCAUCUCCUAUAGGUUUGUACUAGAAAAAGUUGUGAAGAGGGGCAUCUUUGAAAGUGCGAACGUUUAUUUUUAAGAAACGAAAGGAUUCUUUUAUUGAAAACAAUGAACUUGAAGGAUUAAUAUGUAUCUUAUGCAGGGGUGUAUAUUAUGUAAAUAUCUCCAUGUUUCAUUAUCAAGCUUCCAGCGAUAAAUUUACAUUUUCCUAGUGCAUUUUGCGAUUUCAUCACAAAUAUACUCAUCCUUGUGUCACCUAUUGUUUGCAGUUGUCAUGGAGACCGAAGCCUUCGACCACUUGAAGGAGACAUCCCCGUUGUUACUUUCCGACUUGUUGGCGACUGUUGCCAAUGCAGACAAUGAUCCUACAUCAAUUGGGCAGAAGAGGAGCAGUAGCAGCGUCGUAGGGCUCGACUUAAGGGACCCUGUUGAACUCUUCGGAAGGCGAAUAAGGCAGCGACUGUAACUUGCCACACCAAAAACCCAGGUCCUAAUCGGGGCGGAGAAAGAAAAGAAAAUGCCAAAAAAAAAAAAAGAAAAGAAAAAAGAAUAGCCUAGUUACUAACCAUGGCCUUCAAUGCACAUAUUUUAGUUUUUCAUAUUGAUGUUUCAGGAUUGUGAGGUAAAAAAUGGCAUUUUGUUUUGAGUAGAAUUGUGGUGAAAUUGUGAAUAAUUUGGUAUUCCUCUUUUCUCAAGUCACUAGCGAAUCUUAGCAAAAUUCAUGAGAGUAAAUUACAUCAUAUGUUUUUGAGUUUCUUUGAUAUCUGUUUUUGCAGCAACCAUGUACAAAAUAAUAACUCGUGAUUGGGAAGUUGCGUUAUUGCCAACCAAUAAUAACUUAAUAAUAAUAACAACAACAAAGCCCAAGAAAAGUAAACAAACAUCUUUAUUGAUUCUACUGCUUCACGGUUGAAUCAUAUUCUGCAGCUUCUGGUGAUUACAUAUAUAUUUUUUUUCUCUUAGCACUUGGGAUCGCAUUUGCGGCAAUUUCUUUGACACAUGUCUUUGGUGCCGUAGCAUCCCUGCGAUCGCAGAGACAAGCAGCAGUACGUGUAACCACCCUCAUCACACGUGCCCUGCGUUUGUGGAAGAACAUCUUCGAUCCGCGCACGUGCGGGGCUUUCUUUCCCGGGAAGCGCUUCCUACUGGUGAUGUUCCAACAAUCUCUCGACCUUGGGCGAAAAAUAAAAAUAAAAAUAUAUUCAAUUAAUCGACCAUUUUUAUUGUGGAUAAAUAUUGUUAUCAGCUUUUUUUUUUUUUUUUUUUUUUGACAGUGUGUUAAAACUCGAAACUGUGGUUAUGAACUAAAAAAGAUGUUGGGUCACGAUUCAACCGAUUCUAUCACCGGUUUGACCAGUUAGACCAGUAACAUCUUAUAAAUAAUGAAUUAUUCAUUUCUAUGUGUUUAAUAAUAAAGAUAAAAAAAUAAAAAAAAUAAAUAUUUUAAAGCUUCUUUUAAAAAAUAAUCUAAACAAAAUAGGUUGAACUGUCCCAUCAAUAAUCUAUGAUAAAUAAUGGUUCAAAUCGAUUUAAUUAAAAUUAUGUCGGUUCACCAUUCACUAGUAUAUUAGUUAGACCGCUAUAUCAAACGGUUUUAAAAUUUUCCGGUUAUAUGGAUCAAACUAAUCCGACCUGUGAAUUGGGUCACGAUCUGACUGAUUCGACUUGACUUUUAGAACACCGUUAUUUGGUAGUGGUCUCCUCAUGUAUACUUAGGCGAAAGUUUACUAUGUGACAGCCACAUCAUAUAAUCUAUAACCAAUCAAUUAUUUUUUUAAAAAAAAAUACAAUAAAAAUAUUUUUUAAAAUUAUGAUGGAAUGGAUAAAUUCAAUGGUGUAUUUUCAUUGGCCGGAGACACUACAUCCACAAUAUAACCAUCAUAUUUUAGACUUUUUAGUACUUGAGGGGCUUUCUUUAAAUUGUGUCGCUAGAAUUUUUUAUCGACAAAAGUAAAACGAGGAUUAGAAAUUUGGGAUAAUUUUUUAAUCUGUGAGAGCUGAUGUUAAAUAGAUCUUGUUUUUUUUAUAGAAAAAUGGCCAUCUCCCAGUGGAAAAAAGGCUAUGUUAAAAUUUGUGAUCUUCAUUUAUGCAAAUACGAAUGUAGUACAUGUUUUUUGAAAUUUAAUAUGAUUUUGAAGAUCCAUUUAGCAACCUGCUACUAAUAUCCGAAAAGACCGAAAAUCAAAACUCCGUAAAUAUACACAUAACGAGGUUUGAUCACCCAAUUGAGUCUACACUACGCACAAAUAUACAUUCAGAGUGAGUCUCUUAGAAAAAGGAAUAGCCUAGUUACUAACCUUGGCGUUCUAAUUUGCGUAUUUUGUUUUUCGUAUUGAUGUUUCAGGGUUAAUGUGAGUUGAAAAUGGCAUUUUGAUUUGAUUAGAAUUGUGGUGAAAGUUGUAGAUAAGUGGAUGUUUCUCUUUUUUCAACUCAGCACAGUAAUGGCUAGUGAAUCUUAGAAAAAUUCAUGAGAGUAAAUUACAUUACAUUACAUUAUUUGUUUUUGAGUUUUCCUGGUAGUCCUUUUGUGGUGGAAUAUUGUUGCCACAUCUGUUUUCUCAUCAACCAUGCAUGUACACAGUUUAAACUAUUUGAAUCAAAAGGAUCAAUCAUUCAUUCUUUUGCCGUUUAAACACAAUAUAAAUUAACCCGAGUGUGGCACGACUAACAUUUUCAGCAUCAGUAGUAUAUAAAUAACAAUGCUAGAGACAUACACGUACUACUUUAGAUAAAAUAACUAAAGAAGCAGAGAAAAGAUACACUAGAGACAAACACUACGUACUAAGAUGAACUAACUUCUUAGGGAGUAGAGAAAAGAUUUCUCCAAACUAGUUUCACUUCACUGCUAGUCAUCAGUAAUUCUCAUGCUUUCGCACGCGCCCGGAGCAUGGUGAGGGCCGAGAUGUAGCUGAAGAACCACGCGAGAAGAGCGAGCCCCGCGGAGGUAGUGUAGUGGCGGCAUGCGGUCGCCAUUUGCCCACAAAAAUUCACGUCUCUUUGUAGGAGCGUCGCUGCUGCCAAAGAAGAACACCCUGCUCCGAGUGUCGACUGCAUAGUCACCUAUGAUUUGAUUGUGGGGCGACUUAUUAUUACUUCAUAGUUUUAUGAAGAAGCUUUAAAUAUAAAGGGUACUAACUGUAAGUUGUAAUUCCAAUUUCUUACAUAUAUGUGUAGUUUGUUAUUUUUGUUAAGUUUCUUAUGAUUACAAGUUCUAGGGAAUGAACUUCUUGACUUUUGUUACUGUUCAUUUCGCUGCAAACUCGUUACAAUAUGAUAUACCUUCUUAUAUAUGUGGUAAUAAAGGUGUAAAUACACCGGGAGUGUUAUAUUUGCUUACUUUGAUACUUUGUAGAGAAGUUAUAUGAAAUAAAAACAAAAUAAGGAACUACUGUUCUUUUUAUUUCUCUUUUCCACGUAAUUAUAUAUUGUGGUAAACAGUAAAUACAGCAUAAACACUGCAAUGAGUUUUUGAAAGUUUACUCACUGUAUUGUAACUUUGAAAAUAGAGGAACCAGAAAUAAUCACGAGUGUGAGUUAAUUACCCAAUCUAAGAUAACAUAUACUGAUAGAAGAUUACGCCUGUGGUGAUUAAUUCCAUAAUAUAAGCAUAACAUAUCGUACGAAAGGCGCACAGUAAUCCAACAUAUAUGCCACGCCAUCGCCACGUCCAAGAACCUAAAAAAAGACAAUGAAUUAAAAAUAAUACAUUAAAAUUUCUUUUCUGGAUAAGAAUAUAUAGUGCAUUAAAAUUCUGUUGAGGAAAAUAGUGCAUUAGAACUAUAAAACCAUGCAUGCGAAGAUAAAAUAUUGACGAAGAGAAUCAAAAAUGAUAAACAAUUUGCAUACACAAAUAUAACAGAGAAGUAGGAUCGAGGGGCCGAGAUCAUAAUCGAUAAGGAAGCUGCAGCAAAAAUGAACUGCGCUAUCCUCAGCAACAGCCCAGAUACGCUUCCAGGGCCUCCUAUUACGUUCAUCUCCCUCAGUCUCAGUCUCAGUCUCAGUGUGGGUAUAUAGGAGUUUCUCUCUCUAUGUGUGCAUGUUGGGGGAGGGUACGUGUACCUCUUUAUAUAUAUUGCAACAAGUUUGAAUUUUUUUUUUUUUAAAAAAAAAAAUCCUUUGAUAGAAUAGUUAUUGUUUUUUUUAUAUUUGUAGAAAUGCAUAUUUGUCUCUAGAGGGUCAAUACCCCUUUGGAUAGAAAGCUCAAGAUGGACAAGCACUUAUUAGAGUUGGUAUAGUAUGCAUAUAUAUAAUAUACGUUAACUUAUAUAGUAACUCCAUUUUUUGCAAAACAUGGCUUUGGGCCUUUGGCUGAGUGGUUCACAUGCAAUUUUUUUUUUUGAGUUUGGACAUUGCCAGAACUUGGUGCACCUCGUCACACCAUGCACCUUUCUCGUUAAGCUGUUCAUUUCAAAUUAAAGUGUAAUCCAAAGUUCAGACACACUACGUACUUAAAUGAAAUUUAUUUGUAAUAGUAGAAUCACUCGAGACCAUAGAAUGAGUCAUUAAAAUUUCAAUCACUGCCUCAAAUUAAGAUUGAGGAGUUGCAACAUUGCUGCUAACCCAAUAACAAGACUAUCUUAAUUAUUAGUUUCCACAGUCCCAUUUUUCUAAAGCUCUAGAGAGUUAAACACUUUAUUGAUUGAUUCUAUGGUGGAUCGCCAAAUUAAAUUAGAUAAGUAGCAGCAGCUGCUACUUCAUGGUUGAAUCAGAUUGCCUAGCUUGUGGCGAUUUUCGCUCUGGCACUUGGGAUUGCAUGUUGGGCAAUUUUGCUGACACGUCUGCCUGCUGCUGUAGCAAGGCUCCCCCUGCUUAACUACGCAGCAGUAGCAUGUCUGAUCAUCCAAUCUCCCAUCCAAACUCGCGCACGUCGCCGGCAAACACGGAAUCACUGUGAUCUUGCUCUCCUUCCGCGCGCUUGCGAGGGAAGCGCUUCCUAUUCCAGUUCCAAUAAUCUCUCGACCUGGCGGCACAAAAGGGGGAAAAAAAAAAAAAUAAUUAAUUGACUAAUUUUAUCACGAAUAAAUAUUAUUUACGAAUUAUUUGUGGGGCGUUACAGACUUCUCCUGUUCUUUAGAUUCUGACGAAAUUUAGACCAGCAAUGUGAGAUUACGGUUUUAAAAGAUGCAUGGCUCCUACCAAAUUGGUGGAAUACUUUAUCUUGCGUAAUACUUAACUCUCACAUUUUUUACUAGUAUUCGGUCCAAAUACUAACUUGUUGGACGCAAACCAUCGACUCAGAAUAUUUAAGUCCGGUUAUUACUAUCAGCAUGUGAGGUCUCAAAUAUUUUAAAUUAGAAUAUAUUUUUUAUCUUAUAUGAGACUAGCUAUUGAGACAUUACAGUUUGGAAGUGGCCUCAUCGUUUGUACAACUGUACUUGAGCCUUCUUGUGCUGCUACGAUUAUUCGACUUUUCGGAAAAGACUAGGAUUGGAGUAAUUUAUUAUUCGGAACUGAUAGUAACGUGUAUUAUUUUUUAUACAAAAGUGGCCAUCUCCUAGUAAAAAAAACGGCGUGUUGUAAAUUGUAAUUAGUAACUUUCGUUAAUGGAAAUAUAAAGUGAAACAUGCUUUUUGAAAUGCUUUUUGAACUUCAAUAUUUUUUGGGGAAACGUGGAGCUCUCAUUUUUUGCAGAAAGAAUCCAUGCAUGCAUGUGAUGGGUAUGGAGACUUACAAAUUGUAACACAUAAGAUGCGAUUCAAACUUUCUCUUAGGUCUCUAAUAAAUUCAUAGGAUUGAUCAUCUAUUACUUAAGGGACUUUCUUUAAAUUAAAGCACCUUCUUGCGCUGCUACAAUUUUUCGAUUUUUCAGAAAAGCUGUAGAGUUACAGAGUUGGUAAAAAUUUUUAAUCAAUGAGAGCUAAUAUUAAUUAGCAGAUCUUGUUUAAUUGUAGAAAAGUAAAAAUACGCUAAUAUUAAAAGUAAUGGUCUUUUUAUAACACAUAUAAAAGUAGCAUAUGCUUUUUGAACUUCAAAUAAUUUUGGGAAGGCAUUGAGUGAGAGUGUCAUAGUGCUUUACUGCUUUUGCAAAAGUGAAGCUUACAUUUUUUACACUAGGAAAAAGCUAUUCAUGCACUAUUAAUUUGCACUCGCUUGAAGUGUACGGGUAAUAUAGCUCUGAGCAUGAAAAGAUUGCAUUAAGAUAUGUGCUUGUUCACAUCAAAAAUUCAAAAUGAUUAUUUAUGUGAAGCCCGUUAAGACUUACUAAUAUUGGCGAUUAAAAUUCUUAUUAUGUAAUAACAACACAUGAAAGUAAACCUUUAAUCUACAAAACUCAAAAACAAAAGUGAAAGACAUAGACAAAAGAGAAAAUUUUGAUGCUUGAUUUUUUUUUUUUUGGGUGAUCUUAUACUUAUAUGAUAUAAAUAACAAACAUAAAAGAAGGGAUAUAUAGAUACAAUAUUUAGACAUACAAAGGAGAAAGUUUGAGUGGAUCGAAUAAAAGAACAUCAUUUUAUGACCAAGGUUUUCUUUUUUAUGUGUGUGUUUUAAUGUUCUUUUGUGAGAUCUAAAAUGCAAUUAACAGCAUAAUUAAUAUGAAAAAAGAUUACUAACCUUGAGAAAGAAUCAAAAAGCAUCCAAGCACAACAAAAAUUAGAGACACCCCUGUGACCUUCAUGGUUGCUCCAAGGACUAAAGAAUACGCUCCAAACACUCAAUACUUGAGAAAAAAGAUCUCUCGUGUUAAUUUAUAAAGAGAAAAAUUGAGAGGAGAAUCUCAUAAUAUUUGGUCAAUUAAAAUCAUUAGAUUUGAUUAAGGGGAUAUUUAUUGAAAAUAAUAUGUAAAAGAUAUAUAUAUCUCGGGAAGAUCAUAAAAAAUAUUUAGUAAAUUAAAUUCCUUCCAAUUUUAACAAAUUUCUUUCUAUAUUCCUCUGAAUCUAGGGGUAGCGAAUUGCUACACGGAGUGGGUCCAACUGCAGAUUGCCAGACUCUACUUCUCCAAUACGUGGAUGAUACUAUCUUCUUCUCUGAGGCUAAGGAGCCGGAUAUGCGUAAUUUGUUGUUCCUCUGGAAGAUGUUUGAAUGGGGCUCAGGUCUCAAGAUAAAUAUGAGCAAAACUGAACUCCUGUAUUUAGGACCUAAUGCAAGCAGAGCCAACGGUCUUGCAAAUAUUUUAGGAUGCAGAGUAGGCAAUUUACCUCUACGAUAUCUUGGGUUGCCACUCCACAUCAGGUCCCUUAGGAGGGAUGAUUGGGCUCCAAUUAUAAACAGUAUUGAGAAGCGCAUUGAAGGGUGGAAGGCGAAACUCCUCUCACAGGGGGGGAGACUCACCUUGGUCAAUUCGGUGCUCUCGAAUCUGCCGUUAUUCUACUUUACCAUUUUUAAAGCGCCACAAUGGGUUCUGAAACGAAUCGAAGCACUGCGAAGAUCCUUCUUUUGGAAAGGGUGCUCCCAAAUUUCUGGGGGGUCAUGUCUAGUAGGAUGGAAAUCUAUUUGCAAAAGUAAAAAGGAAGGAGGGCUUGGGAUUAAAGAUAUGGAGGCUAUGAAUAAGGCUCUUCUAACCAAAUGGUGGUGGCGAUUCUUCAACGAACCGCAGUUGAUCUGGGGGAGGUUGGUUACAGCAUUAUAUUACACCAGAAGAAGGCCGUUACACGAGGGAAGGGCUUUCAGACCUUUCUCGCAGUGGUGGAGAGGUGUGUUGAGUUGCCGAGAUUUGUUUAAGUGCGGUGUUUCAUAUGUGCUUGGUGAUGGAAAAAAUAUCAGGCUGUGGUCCGAUAUUUGGAUCGAUCAAAUCCCUCUGAGUACUUGGUUUCCAGAAAUCUACUGCAGAAUAGCCAAUAAGGAGGUCACGGUCUCACAAUGCUGGAAUGCUAAUGGGUGGAGAUGGCGUUUCAUAGCUAGAGGUCUUGCGUCGGUCACAGUGGAUGAAAGGCAGAGACUAUUUCUGAUGCUAAAAAAUCUCCUAUCCCAGUAUAGUCCGAACAGCACAAAUGAUAUCUUAAAGUGGCGUUGGUCCUCCAAUCAAAGCUUUUCAGUGAAAUCGCUCUAUGACUUCAUCACCGACGCAGGCCAGAGAGACCCCACGUACGCUCAUCUUUGGAGGUUAAAAAUUCCGGGCAAAGUUAAAAUCUUCAUCUGGAUUUUACUUCGCAAGAGAUUACCCACUGUGGAUAGAUUGAUCACCCGAGGAUGCCCUGUGGAUCAACAGUGCAUUUUUUGCGCGGUCUACCUAGAAAAUUGUGAUCACCUUUUCUCUGAUUGUGUCUUCGUCAGAUACCUUUUUUGGAUUGAGGGAGGGAAUGAGCUGACCGUUGUACACUCGGGGGAUGUCCGGUGCUUAUGGAAUGAGAUAUCUUGUAACCUCAAUGCUGUGUCUGCUGCGAAGAGAUUAACCCGACUGGCGGCGAUCUGGUGGGUUGUUUGGACUGAACGCAAUAAUACUAUCUUUCGUGAUAUGCCUCCCAACGCAAACCGGGCCGCGGUUCGCGUUGAGUCUUUGUUAAAGGAUUGGACUGAUGUUACGUGAUUCUCGACGUCUCCUGCUCUAACCACAUGCUCUUGUUUCCGUUUUCAUGUUUUUUUUGGGCUUUUGUUUUUCUUUUCGUUGAUUUCUUUUCGGUUUCUCUAGGAGGCCCUAGCUGCUUCCACCUGUAUGCUUAGUUCAUUUUACUUUAUGAAUGAAGCAGGUAGCUUGCUACCUUUUUCUCAAAAAAAAAAUAUUCCUCUGAAUUAAUCAAUUCAUUAUUUGAUCUAAACAGGGCAAAAAAAAGGCUCUUGUUGCCGAGUUCAACUGGUAGCGGUCGUAAAGCCUAGUUGUUUCCUAUUUUUUAUAAUAUCAGUUGAUAAAUAGGAAAUAAAUAUGAAAAUCAAAUUAAAUAAAAUAAAAGAAAAUUUACAUUUAGGUAAAUGGAAAUUCUCAAUAUUAAUGUUUUACUCUCAAAAUCAACCCAUCAUAUAUAUGAGUGGUGAACUACUUGACUUUAUUUGAAGAGCACAUUUAUUUACAACAUAUUAAUCUUACAAACCAAGUAGUUUAUAAUUAUCAGCAUGGAUACAAGCUCUUCAAUUAGCACCCAUGACCCAUUUGAGUCUACAUUACAUACAAAUAAACAUUCGAGAAAUGAUUAGCACUUUAUUUUAUAAAAAAAUAAAAAAAAAAUCUUAACUGUUGACCAAUUGAGGGUAAAUGUGUCAUUUAACAUGUAGCAGGGUAAAACGUUAUUUCAUAACGGGGGUAUUUUUGUAAUUAAACAUCACAAAAUUUUAAAAAAGUUUUGAUUGAUAUCCCAAAUCUAAUUAUUAAUUUUGCACUAAUUUAAGCAUUAAUUUAAUAAAUUGAUGGAUAUGUCAAAUUUAGAUAUUAAUUUGCAGCAUUAAUUUUAGAAAUUUUAGAAUUCCUAUAAUUUAGGCAUUAAUUUAAAUUUUAGAAAUUUUAGAUAUAGUACUAUUUUGAAUAUGUUGAAUUUAAAUGUCUAAAUUUAGAAAUUUAAAUUUAAAUUAGAGGAAUUUUGUAUUACUAUUUUAAAAAAUUUUAAUAUUGGUAAAUGUUUAAAUUCAACAUAUUUUAAUGUGUUUAAGAAAUUUUAAAAUCCUCUAUUCUAGACAUUAAUUUUGUAUCACUAGUUUAAAAAACAAUUGAAUUUAGAUAAAUAUUUAAUUUCAACAUAGUUAACAUGCUUAGAAAAAUUAGAAUUUUUCUAGUUUAGACAUUAAUUUUGCAUCACUAUUUAAUUUUUUUUAAUAUAGGUAAAUAUUUAAAUUCAGUAUAUUUAAAGAGUUUCCCUGGUGAUUGAUUGUCUUCUUUGGGUGAAAUACUGUUGCCACAGAUACCAUGUACAAAAUACUUACUCUUAUAAUUGAACACAAUUUGAAGUUUAAACAAUUUAUACCGAAAGAUUUAAACUAACAACAGAAGUCCAAGACCGACCGUCCCUAGAGCAAGUGGUAAAGGGCUUGAUGGUUGGUAUUCGAGACCCAAGUUCGAAUCCUAGUUGAUUCACAUUUAUUGCUAAGUUUAUUUAUAAAUGAAAUAAACGAAGCAGGUAGCGUGCUAUCUAUCUCUCAAAAAAAAAAAAAAAAAAAAAAAUCAAUAGAAGCCCAAGUGUGGCACAACUAACAGUUUCAUCAUCAGUAACAUGUAGAUAAGAAUGUUAGGGACAACCACUACUUCGUUAGAAGAUGUGACUCAAGAGAUAAGAUAAUGCUAGAGACAACCACUACUUAGAUGGAGUAACUCCAGAAGCAGAGAAAAGAUUUCUCCAGACUAGUUUAAAUUCAUUACUAGUCCUUAACAAUUCUCAUGCUUUCGCACGUGCCCAAAGGAUGGUGAGAGCCGAGAUAUAGCUAAAGAACCAUGCGAAAAGAGCAAGCGCUGCAGAGGUGGUGUAGUGGCUGCAUGCGGUCUCCUUGUACCUGCACGAAUUCGCGCCUCUUCGUAGGAGCGACGCCACCGCCGUGAGCUUGCGAAUAGUGCGGCAGCGGACAAACUUUUUAUGCGGUGUGAGCAUAUAGUACUGUCGCAGCGACGGCAACAACAACAACGGCGGUGGUAAUGGUGCAGAUCGAUUGGGGCGGUGGUGGGUUAGUAGCAUAAAAUGGUGAGCGCAGGAGGUGGAAGUGGUGGCUAAACAUAGCAUUUACUAUGAAGUAUGAACCAUUGCAUGCCUCAUAUUUUGAUGCAGGCAAGGAGGGAAGUGAUAGAGCUUCAGUAUGCAUAUGCGUGUAGUCGUCGCGUUAUAUAAUGAAGAGAACGAACAUACACUGUAUAAAUAUAAUGAAGGAUUGUUGCAUCCGGGUAAAGGAAAUACGGGAAUGUGUAAAUGAUCCACAAUGUAUUGUUUUAGCAAUAGGCAAAUAAAAAAUUAGAUAUGUUUUUUUAACUAUAAUAAAAAUUAAAAAGAAUUGUGAAGUUGCAAAGCAGGAGUUCUAAUGCAAAUACGUUACAUUUACACAACAAAAUCUAUUCCAGAGAAUUUUAUAUAAUGCUUACUCUAAAAGCAGCACUCAACAAUACUACACCGUAAAUUAGAGCCAAACUGCAGGCCCUAAAAUAAGUUUUAAUUUAACGCUCAAACCUUCUGAAAACUUUCAUUUUUAGGCCUAGUUUGUAACGGGGUGGUUAUAGGCGGCACUCUAUGCACUUGAACUCGGAACGAUCAAACUCAGUAAACAUAAAGUAUUCCAAUAAACAGAACCAGCAUACUUCGCUGCAAUUUCAUAUAUUGUAUAAUGAACUAAAUAGUACUAUUGCUAUUUAGAGGAAAACUCAACAGGAAAACAUGAAAAAAUUGGAUUGUUAUGGGAUUGAACAAGUUAAAGAGCACAACAGAGGACACCAAAUCAUUCAAUUUUGAACACAUUAUUCAAUAUAGUCAUUCUAAAGGAUUUGCUAUUAAAAGCUAAGCACAAGAAACGGAAGGAAAAAAAAUAAUAAUAAUAGCCAACACUCUGCAUUACACCAAAGUUAUCUAACCUUCUGAAAAAAAAUCUCUUCUAUGAGCUCCUGCCUGAAUCAGAUAACGCACACACAAUAGAAAGGAGAAAUGAAGAACCGAGUAAUCUACACCACCAAUUGAAAAUUCUCUAAAGACCAAAUUUUGUUCUCUUCUUUGGGAGGAAAGAAAUUUACCUAAGUAGAGCAGCAUGUUCUCCUUGCACCCCCCGACGAAUCGGUGACGUUGAUCGUAGUCCCUUGGAUCGGAGGGCCGGCAUUUCCCGCCGCCUCUUGCGCGGCGAGAGCCUUCUUGCUUAUUAUGUGGUAAAUCUCAGUUAGGAUUGUUUGAAAAGCUUUCUCGAUGUUAAAUGCCUCCAAUGCCGAGGUCUCCAGGAACGAGAGCCCCUCCUUCUCGGCCAAAACCUGUGUGGCAAAAAUUAUAUACUUUAAGACCUCAGAAAAGUGAUAAUUUCAUGGACAGCCUCCAGAAGCUAAAGAAAUAGUACAAACAUAUACUAUAAAAUCAGAAUUUUCAUACCUGAGCAUCAUCCUCAGAGACAGAUCGUAGAUGGUUGAGAUCGGACUUGUUACCAACCAUCAUGAUGACUAUGUUGGAGUCCGCGUGGUCGCGGAGCUCACGCAGCCACCUCUGCACAUUUUCGAAUGUCUGUUUCUUUGUAAUGUCGUAGACAAGGAGGGCACCCACUGCCCCACGAUAGUACGCGCUAGUUAUGGCGCGGUAGCGUUCUUGGCCAGCAGUAUCCCAUAUUUGGGCCUUGAUUGUUUUCCCUUCUAUCUGCAACAAUAGUUGAUGAACUAAAUUUAGAAAAGGAAAACAUCUAAGUAAAGGAAUCGGUAUAGCAAGGUAAUGACUGAUAAUUAACUUUUAAUUUUUCAAAUAUUCAAUUAUUUGUUCCUUUCUAAGUAACAAGCACUAUAUUUUUUGAGAGAUGUAACAAGCACUAUAUUGCACAAACUCAGAUAGUGGUAUAUGCAGGAAAAUUUUAUUUUACAUAUAUAUGCAUAUCCCAAAGGACUAAAUGGAAGCAUAACAGAGCAUCGGACAGUAGUUAUUAGAUAAAAGAGCAGGAGGAAGAUCAUAAUAGUUUGGAUCAAAUCAACUUGUGCAGAUCCAAUAUGAGAUCAUUGAGAACAUAAUGAACAUCGUCAAGAUCCAAAUGAGAUCAUCAAGAGCAUAAUGGCAGAUUCCCUAUAGUAAUGGUAGGGAAGGUGAAAAGCUCACAAGGAAAAUUCAUUUAAAUCAACAGAAAAACCGACAAGAUAAGAAGAUAUAUCAUUGAUUAAUAGAGUUUCACAACCAUCCAGGAUCAGAAUACUUCCAAUAAAACUAUGAUAUUAUAAGCUUCCUUGAUUAAGUAUCUUAAAAGACUAUGUUGUAACAACAGCGACAGCAAACAAACACCGACCGUCCCUAGAGCAAGUGGCAAAGGGCUUGGUGGUUGGUACCCGAGACCUAAGUUCGAAUCCUAGUUGAUUCACAUUUCUAGCUAAGUUUAUUUCUAAAUGAAAUAAACGAAGCGGGUAGCGUGCUACCUUUCUCUCUCAAAAAAAAAAAAAAAGACAGCAAACAAACUUUUUAUCUCUAGUAUUACACAGAUCUACUUCUGCAACCUCCACAUAACCUUCUAUAUACUUUUCAAAAACUAAGACUGCAGUCGCUUCUACUAGACAAGAUUGUAAUUCCAUCUAUCCCCUUCCUGAAAUUCCCUUUUAAAGGGAAAAUUCUCAAUUUGUCUGCACCUGUAGAUAAGGCUUAAAUAUGAUCGAUCAUUUUCAAUCAUUUUCUCAUACAUGCCUAUAUGUCUCAUUUAUAAUGUUGCUGAUCUAUCUGUAUCUCCCACGCGAGAUCCUGAUAAAUUUAAUAACACACAUGCCAUUCUCCACUAGCAAAUUGCAUGGAAUUAGAGGAAUAAAAUGCUCUUUCGAGAGAGUUCACCAUUGGAUUUAGUUAAAUUUCACCUUCGCAACAUCUAAACACACUAAAAUUCGAAUCAAAACAAUAAUAAAUUAAUCAAAUGACGAGUAAUUGAUAUUAUAAUUAACAAUUAUUCGGUAGAUCCUAUCAAUAGUUAUUAACGGAACAACAGUUUAAAAUCAAAGGGUUAAAUUGACCAAAAGAAACUGAUCGGAGAAGGAAGGGUGGACCUGAAGCGUCCGGGUGGCGAAUUCGACGCCGAUGGUGGAUUUGGACUCCAAGCAAAACUCGUUGCGCGUGAAUCUCGAGAGGAUGUUGGAUUUACCCACGCCCGAGUCGCCGAUGAGGACGAUUUUGAAAAGGUAAUCGUACUCGUGAUCCACUCGGUGCGCCAUUUCUCCUCCUCCUCCUCGAUUCUCCUCCCCUAAACCCUAGGAUCUGGAUGAGAUCCAAUCAAAACAACACCAAAAUCAACAGAGACCGAUAGAGACCGAUCGAUCGAAGCAAAAACAGAAUUGAAAACGGAGGGAUCUGAGAUCUGGGACCGGAGAAACCCUACCUGAUGCGGGAUCCGAUCGGAGAAGCGAACACUCGGGGAUUGGAGCGAUCAAUGGGAACGCGAGAGAGAGAGAGAGAGAGAGAGAGAGAGAGGUGUGGGGUUCCACGACGACCGGUGACGAGGGAACGGAAGAGAGCGAAGAAAGGGCAUCUAAAUUCUGAAACGGCCUACACGAAUUUUUGGCGCAUUAAUAUAAAAAAGAAAAAAUAAAAUAAAAACACCCGCAUAAUUUUUCCUCAUUGUUCAAAUCUUUUGACCGUAUAAUUUUUUAGGAGUGUUAUCUCUACACUCCAUUUGGACCAUUUGUAACAUCAUAUUUUAUAUUUUAUGUCCUUCAAAUUUAAGUGUUAAUUUCUUUAAACAUGCUAAAAAUUCUAUAAAAAUAAGUAAUUUUGUAUUAUUUUUGAAAAGUUGGUAUUUGCAUUUAUACCCUUGCUAGAGGUAUGUAACCAAAAAAUUUAAAUUAAUAAAGUUUACAUAAAUACUAAUUCUACAAAAAAAAUUAAUAUGUAGGCAGAGCUAUGAUUUUAUAGUCAGCAGUGUGUGAAUUUUCAGUUAUGUAUCGAAAUUCACUAUCGACAUCGUUUAAUAUAAUUUGUGUGAUUUAACUAUCUUAAAACAUUCUUAUUAUUUUUCAACACUACUUAUUAGGUAAUUAAUAUAUUUUCAGAAUUUGUUUAGUUAUAAUAUUUACAUUUUCACCACUUGCUGUAUUUGUAAAUAAUAUUUAAAAUUUACAAAUUAUAUUUGUUAAAUAAUUUAAAUACUUUUGGGGAAAAAAAUUAUUAUCUCUUUCACAUUUGGGCAUGUUUUAAUUUUCGAGCAUGCUAGUGAAAAAAGACAAAAGUGGAGGACCUUUUGGUGUUAGUGGUUUGACCUACCUUUAUUUUUAAUUUUUUUUCUUUCGUUUUUGGAAAGUGCUUUAUGACGAGGGGUAAGAAGGUAAUUUUAGAUUACUAAUAGUAUAAUAAUACAAUAAUAAUACCCAUGAUUCUACCGAAUUAAUGUGUAAAAUAAAAUUUUUGUUUAAAAUUGGUAAAAAUGCGUGGAGAGGCUUAUAACUAUACUUAUUUGAAACUGGUUCCAGGAGCUUUUAUGUGUCUUUGAUGGACACUUUUUUGAAUUUCCAAUUACUUUAAUUUAAUUUAUUUAUAUUAUUUGAAUCACAAAUUUUUGUUAGAUUAUCAGUAUUUUUAGAAAAGAUUUUAACUCUAAUUAUUUUUUAACUAGAGAAAAUACAUAUUUAUUAACAAGCAACGGCCAAUGACCAAUUAAACUAUAAAAAAAAAGUCGACCAAUCAUAAUAAGCGUUUGUGAUUUGUGGGUGGAAGGAAAGUCACGUACCAUAUUAUGACACAACAAAAUAUUGCUGGAAGAAGACGGUGAGUGAUUCAUCGGACGUUGGCAUCUUAACGGGCGACAGCUCGCUCAGAUUCUCUUCUCCUUCUGUCCUUGGCAUGCCCCAUGCCAGGUGAUCAUUUGCAUGGACGCAGCAAAUUCUCUCGGUCCCCACACAAAGAUGAUGAGCAAAUUAAUGCUAUAUAUAUGUACAAGCAUACAGGUUCUCCAGAAUACUCUCUUUAGCGCUCUAUCUGUUGUGCGAUCCUAACUUACAUAUGAAAAAAUUCAAAAUAUAGCAUAUGACAAGGCAGCUAAUGUGAUUCCCGGCUUUUCAAAAAGUCAUUCAUCGUAAGAUUAUUCUAAUCCUAAUACACUUAACUCUUUUAGCUUUUUAGAUUUAACCAUCCCCCAAAAUGUUAUAGUCGGAUUAAGAUUUAGUCCUAAUUAAUAAUGUAACACUCUGAGAAUUUAAAAUAGUUCUAUAUAUGAGAUAUAAUAGGGCUAAUUUUUUGACCCGGUUAUAAUAUUUUAGUCAACGAUUAGAUCCAAAAGGUUAAAAGAGUUGAGCGUGCUAGAACUAUAAUAGUUUUAGGAUGGGUGACCCUCUGGGAAGCGAGACAUCACAAUUGAUUUCAGAACAAAUUUCCAGCAGGAAGUUUGCGAUGAGUCUCGGCUGAAACAGGAUUAUGCAACAGAUAGAGCGAUGCUGAUGACUGUUAUGGAUGGACAUCGCCUAAUACUUGAUACUUGUUAGUGUGCCUGACGAAAAUGUCAGGGUUUAAAGGGAGAGGAACGUAACACCCCGAGGAAGAAACAUUACACCUCGAGGAUUUACAAUAGUCCUAUAUAUAAAAUAUAAUAGGGUUAAACCUUUUAAUCCGAUUAUAAUAUCUUGCGAUGAUUAGACCCAAGAAGUUAAAAGAGUUAAGCAUAUUAAGAGUAGAGUAAUCCUAUGAUUGUUGACCCCGACCAGUAGCUUAACCAAACGACUAUGCUUUAACUUCUUCCUCAUAAAUUGUUUAUUAAUGGGGGGUUGGACAAACAUGAGACUUAACCACCACAAAAAUGUUUUGGCUAUUUAUAAAGUCUCUUAAUUAUCAUUUUCUUUAUUUCUUAUUAUAAUUACCAUUUUAUCCACAUAUUACAUUUCUUUCUUUGUAACCUAUGUAUGUCGACUAUUUAAUAAAAAACUUUAUAGAACUUGGUAAGAAGUGGGUAGGAACUUAGUGAGAAGUGGGUACGGUGCUACUACUCUAAUGAAAUUGCUCUAGAAUAAUUGAAUUGGAUGGUUUAAUUUAAAAGAGUUCCAAAGUGAUCGAGUCACAUGCACCAUUGCUUCAUUAUGAAUAGUUUAGCUUACUCCCACGUCAUGCAUAAGCCUCUAAAUUAUACAAUCACGGGAGCCGUCCCUCCACUAACCGCACUUUAGUAGUUUUUCUAUUGUAUUAAUUAAGCUACAACCACUUCGAGCUACAUGAAAUUAAGAAUAUAUAUAUAUAUAUAUAGAGAGAGCUAGGCUACUAUACUAUAUCUAUAGUACCGAGCUCCGGUACUAUAGUGUUGAUUUUCGAUCUUAGGGCGUUCAAAUCAACGAUCCACACCGCUAAAAUUGAUUUAGGGUAUUUAAAGUUUCUAGAAAUAAAAUUAUAUAUUUUUUCGACAUAGUUUACUUUAUGAUCAAACUAUUUCAAAAUUGUCAAUUUUUAAUGGCUAUUAUGACGAGUUUUGAGUUUAACGGUGUAGAAGAAUCUAAAUUUCUUCAAAUUUUGAUAGAAAAUACUUUAAACUAUAUAGAUUAAGGUUAACAUUCUUGAUCUUGAAUUUAAAAGUCCUAUGCUCAAAUUUUAAAGAUUAUUCAAUUUUCACCGUCCAUUUUAAUAUAAUUUAUUUACUAAGUAAACGAUAUCGAAAAAAACUAAAAUUUUAUUCUUAAAAAAUUCAUAUACCCUAGAUCAUAUUUAACGGUAUGGAUCGUUAAUUUGAAUACCCUAAGAUCGAAAACAAAUACUAUAGUAUCGGAGCUCGGUACUAUAGAUAGUAUAGUAGUCUAAUUCUAUAUACAUAUAUCCUGUUCGACUAAUGUUAUCCAUCUACUCAAUUGAAUACAUACAUACGCGAGAUGCAUUUGAAAGCAACUGCUAUGUUUGGAGUACAUUUUGUUAUUCUUAAUUUGCGACUUACGCCUGCGCAAUUGUGAUGAUCAUCUAUUUUAUUCAAAAAGGUUUGAAUCUAAUGUAAUUUUUUAUGAUCGACCUACUUAACAAGCUUAUCGUUGUUUCACAACUUUUUAGCACGGAAAGGGCUUAAGAAACCGAGCAUCAGUGUCAACUUGCCCAUCUUGUGCCGUCAUUUGAGAGCUCGCAAAAACCUCUUUACUAGUGUUAAUAUAUAAUUCUAAAUUUAUUUUCUAUUAGAUUUUUUUUUAAUAAGUAUGCAUAAGUAUGAGUGUUAAUAUAUAUUUCUGAACCGUUUGUUAUUAGAUUGAUCUUUUGAAUAAUAGUUAGUGUUAAAAAAAACUUCAAAUAUCAUUCAUGUUAUUUCACACUUUCUUACUUUAGUACCAUAUGGUUUAAAGUGUAUCACUUUCUGAUUUUAUUUUAUUUUUUUUGUUAUCCCCUCCACUAACUUUUUUCAUUAAAUCAAUGAUAAAAUUAAAACUAAAAAGUACUAAAAUGAAUAUUUGAUAAAUUUAGAUGAGAUAUUGAAACUUUUUUAUAUAUAAUUAAUGAAAUAUUAACGGAGGAGCUGACGAAAAAAAAAAAAUAAAACCACAGAAUAUUAAAUUAAUACACUUUAAAUUAUAGAAUACUAAAGUAAAAAAAUGCCAAAUUAUAAAAAUGAUAUUUGAAGCUUACCCCUAAGGCCCUGUUUGGAUGCAUAGUUAAAAAACUCCAUGGAAUUUUUUUUCUAUGGUUUUGGUCUAAAUGAAAUACGGAAUCCUGUAACUACAAAAAAAUUCCACAGCUUCAUUUUUAAGUUGUUUGGAUACAUAUCAUACAAUUCCACAGUAUUUAUAACAAUUAAAUUUCUAAAAUUUUAAAAUUCAAAAUUCAAAACUCAAAAUUCAAAAUUCAAAAUUCAAAAUUUAAAAAUAAAAUUUUAAAAAUUAAAAAUAAAAAUUCAAAAUAUAAAAUUAAAAUUUAAAAUUUAAAAUUUAAAAAGUAAAUUAGAUUUUAUGUUUUAAAUUUGAAUUUUGAAAUUUGGAAUUUGAAAUUUCAAAUUUGAAAUUUGAAACUUUAAAAUUUAAAACUUAAAGUAUACCAUUUAAACUUUAAAUUUUGAAAUUUAAAAAAUCUAUAAUUAAAAUUUUAAAUUUCAAAUUUAAUAAUUUAUAAAUUUACAUAUUUAUAAAUUUAAAAUUUUAAAUUUAAGUUUAAAUUUAAAUUUUGAAGAUUGAAAAUUAAAAAUUAAAAAUAAAAUUAAAAUUUGAAAUUUGAAAUUUGAAAUUUGAACUUUUUGAAAUUUGAAAUUUGAAAUUUGAAAUUUUAAAAUUGAAAAUUGAAAAUUGAAAAUUGAAAAUUGAAAAUUGAAAUUUGAAAUUUGAAAUUUGAAAUUUGAAGUUUUUGAAAUUUAAAAUUUAAAAUUUAAAUUUUGAAGUUUUUGAAAUUUGAAAUUUGAAAUUUAAAUUUUGAAAUUUAAAAUCAAAAUUAAAUUUGAAUUUUAAAAUUUUAAAAUUUGAAAUCUAAAAUUUUAUGUUGAAAUUUAAAAUUUAAAAAUUAAUACAUCUUUGGUAGCCCAAAAUGGUGGAAUUUUUUUCCUUUGGUUAAAGUUGAUUGUAAGUUUACUCCAUUUUUUGGAGUAUAGUAUAACUAUACUCCAAAAAUUACUUCAUUUUUUUUUCUUCCAAACGCUUCAUAGGAUUAUUUUCCUACCAGCGUAGCAUAGUUUAACUAUGCUACGUUUUUAGAGGUAUCCAAACGGGGCCUAAGUGUUAUUCAAAAACUUAAUAGGAUAGAAAAAGGUGUCAUAGUCUCAUAGAGGCAAAUAUUUAAAAACUUGUACAGUAUGACGCGUGGUGGCUUUUAGGAGACACGCCCAAUAAUCUUUGUUUCUUUUAUUGAUGCAUGGUCGGCGUUGAAAGUUCUAGUUCGAUUAAGUUCAAAUCUUUUUACACCAAGCUCCCUAAGAACUUUUCGAAAUAGCCUUAAUUAAUUAAUUAAUUAGAUGCACAUGGAACUGUUCUCUUUUUUUCUUCUCUUUUAAUUUUCUUCUUUUUUGAUUUGUAAAUAAGCCACACACAAGAAUAUUUGGUCCUUUUGCAUUCAAAAUCAAAUUAUAUAUUAAAUUGAAUAAAAUGAACAUAACGACCUAAUUGUUUGCCAAUAAUAGUAGAGUUAGACAAGGAUAAAAUAAGAUGCCAAUAUGCAAGGAAACUGGGGAUAUGAAAUUCGUAUUUAUAUAUAGUGUCUACUCCAUGACAUAAAUGAGGAUUAAUUCUCGAUACAAAUUCAACGAGUAAAAGCGUACAGAACGAUACCAACGUAGAUCAGCAUGGCCGACGGGACGAGGGUGAGGAGUACAACGACGGCGGCGACGGCGGCGACGCCACCUUCGCCACCGUGGCAGCCGAUCCUCCCGAGCCUCACCUGCACCAGGUUUACGAGGGCAACCAUCAGGAACCCGACGGCGAACGUCGACCCUGCGGCGGAGGCGACGAUCCCCGCGCGCAGCACCGCCCGGUUGAUCCGGGCAGUGGAGGCGGCAGACCGGGGGGCGGCGCACCGGCAGGUCACGGCCUGCUUGAGGCAUAGGGCUAUGAUGCUGGAGAAAAGGAAGCAGGCGAAGGCGACAACGUGGCAGGUGACAAGAUGUUCAACUGUGCGAACUCCGGUGCUGCACUUGUCUACUCGUGUUGAAUAUAAAAUAUAAAAAUACUGUUAUUCAGCGACAAAAUUAUUUUUGAAAGAUAAUUAUUAUUUGACAAUUCUCGACCUUUGCCACCAGAGGAGGAGGGGUUCCAGGUGAGGCCGACGAAGGCGGCGAAGGUGAAGAGGGAGUUGGCAUGGAGGAUGCCGUCGAGAGCAGUGACGUGGAUGGCAGUGGAGCCGCCAUUGGGGCCGGCAACGGAGGUCGGGGUUCGGCCGCGGAGGAUGGUGCUGGUGGUGGCGCCGCCGUCCAUGAAGUGGUGUGGACUUUUUACUUCCCGCGCGCUAUACUUCACGAUGCCAAAUCCUAGCGUUGCAAAAAUUUCGAUAGCGGAGAAAAUUACCGACGCUUUUUAAAUACGUCGGCGUAAACGCAUAUGUCGGCGAAGACUUUUUUUUUUUUUUUUUUUUUUAGUGAGCUGGUUGGAGAAAUGGGAGCUAGGAUUCGUGACUAGCCACGAGAAGUGCUUGAUGAAAAGAACAAACAAAAGAAAAAAAAAAGUAAAAAGCAAAGAAGCUCGUGUUGGAUGCAAAUCACUUUUCAAUGUAAUUUAGUCGGAUUAAAUAAAAUUAGUCCAGCAAUUUAAUUAGUUCUGUCUCAAAUAAGCCCAUUUUUUAGAACUUUUUGUUUAUUUUAAGGGCGCCAUUCUGAUAUAACAUUUGUUUAAAUUUAUUUUAAUCUAGUCCCUUCUUGAGUACACCUUUCAAGAUUUAAAGAUCCAAAAUAAGCGAUAAAAUAUAUUCAUGCAUGAAUAUUCAAGUGUUUUUAAUGCAAUCAAGUCACUUAUCAUGUCCUUAUUAUAAGUGUUAAAUAUAAAAAUAUAUAAACAUCAUUUUCUAACCGUUUAUGUUUCAGAGUAUAAUAAUUGUUUCACAUGGUAUCAGAACAGAAGGUUUUGAGUUCGAGUCACACAAUACUCAUAGUAUUAUUAAUUUUCUCUCAUUUAAUUUAAAUUCACGUCAUGAGCCUAACAAUAAGUCUCGAGCUCAAACACUACGGUUGUUUCACAGUAUGCACUUUCACCAAAAAUUAAUUAAUGAAAUUUCAAAAUUAUUAGACAUAUGAUAUAUGACUAAAAUACAAGAUUGAUAUUUCUUAAAUUUUUUAUGGAAAAAAUAUUUGAGACGAGAUGUAAAGUUCAAGUGGGAUUUGCAUAGUAGAAGAAAAGCAAAAAGAAUUAAAAAAAAAAAAAAAAAAAAAAAAACUUAGAAUGGUGAUCUUCUCUUUUUUUUUUAUUUUAUUAAGCCUUCUAUAAAUUAGCCGUCUUAUAGAGUGUUAAAAUUUAGGAAAAGAAUUUUAAGAUUUAAGCAAAUGUUUAAAAAUCAAAUUUGAGAUGAAUCUCACGGUUCACCAAAUUUGCUCAAAGAGAUGUCAUUGACAAAAUCUCAAUGAUAGCACACAAGUAGUAGAACAUUUGUUAACACUCAUGCAGUAGACUUAAUUAGAUUUUAAUAAAUAUAUUUUACUUAUAACUAAUUUAAUUCAUUAAUAUCAACAGCUGCUGGAAAAUGUUUUAUAAAAGUGCUUCUCCAUAAUCCAAAAUAAUUUAUUAGUGCUUCACUGUCUUGAUUUUUGUAUGAUUUGGUAGUAGAGUUUGAAAGUUCUUUUGAAUAUUAUGAGGUUUUAAAUUGAGAAUCAAUAACUAUUACAAAAGAUAAAGGCUAGUGCUUUUGAAUAUAAUUCUCUGCCUAUAGUAAGAGCAGUGCACAAUGGAAACAGUCUAGAAUGCACCAGUUAUAUUACUGAUGUGACAUACUCUGCUAAUCAUAUUAUUUUUUUUGAUUUAUCCAUCCCAUUAGAAUUAUUAGAAAUAUUUUUAUUGUACUUUUCUUUCAAAAAAAAAAUUAUACAUUGACUGAUUAUUGAUAAUAUGGUGAUAAACUUUUUCAUGUUUGGUGUAAUUAUAAAAUUAAAUAUGUUUUAAUAAAAUAUAAUCUGAAAGAUAUAAUUAGAAAAUUAAUUUCAAAUUUUGGCGGUUAUUGAUCUGGGUAACUCUUAUAAAAAAUUGCUCGGACUUGGUUCACUUCAAUUCGUGAAAUGUAAAAUGCAUGACCAUCUACUGGAACAAAAUUAUUCAAUCACCAAUUUAAGAAAUUGAGAAAAUAACUUAUUAAAGAAAAAAUAAUUUUUAUAAUCUUUAUUUAAGAAAAAUAAUUUGCUUCAAAUAGUUAGUAGGCAAACCAAUUAUUCAAUCAGAUAAUAUUACCAUAAUUUUUAUAAAAUAUUUUUCAAAUAAAUUCAUACAAAUAUAUAAUUUGAUAUUUUUGACAAUACAUAUGGCAAAAUUUUAUACCUUCACGUUCAUAACUCAUUUACCUAAUAAAUAAUAUAUUAAAAUAAAUAAAUCUUUUUACCAUCCCAAGAGACAAAGUCCAUAACCCAUUUACCCAAGAAACAAUAUAUUAAAAAAAUUAAAUUUCUUUAUCUUCCCAAGAGACAAAAAGCAAUUUCACUCCCCACAUUGCACCUCUCUCUUCCCUAACUAAUAAAUUAUCGCUUCAUCUUUUCACCUUCCUAAAAAAUAAUAUAUUAAAAAAAUAAAUCUUUUCACUUUUUUUUAAAAAAAAUUUAUCUCUUUGUACCUCUCUCUCUCUCCUACCAAUAGAUCUCUUUUUCUAUUCACCUUCUCAAGAAAUAAAAUAUUAAAAAAAUAAAUUUUUUUACCUUUUCAAGAGAUAAUAUACUAAAAAAAUAAACUCCUCUCUCUUUCUCUCUCUUUCUCUUUUUCUCCCUCUACAAGAUCCAUGCUGUAACAACCCUGAAGAAUAAAUGGUAGAAGUAGUAGUAGCAUUAGUAGUUAGAUGUAGAAGAGGAGUAAAGGUAGCAGCUUUACUAGCUAGAAGAAGAAUAAGUGGCAGCAGCAGGUGGAGAGGAGGAGGUGCGGCAGGUGGGCCGACGAGAAGCGUCUUCGAAGGGCUCAGGCGAGCUUAACGGAACAGUCGGGCGAGAGGUAGUCCGGGUGGAGCUCUGGUGGGGACGACGAAGCUAGGGCAUCCUCAAAGCUCGGAGAGGGCGCUGGGAUGUCCAAUGGAGUCCAUGGAGUUGGGGCGAAGAAGAGGACUGGCGGAUCGAAGCUUCAGGAUCUCGGAGCGGAGGCAAAACGCGAACCCAGUACCCGCAGGGUCGCGGAUGAUGCGGAGAAGAAGGAGUCCGACGCCGAUUGCCCGUUUAUAGGCGGAUCGGGUGGGCCGAACCUCGGAUCGGGUGCAAUUAGCGAACCCAAGGCCCGCCGGGUAGCGGAUGAUGCGGAUAAGGUCGAGCCCGAUAUCCAAUCACCCGAUUACAUGAUGCUCAUGGACUUGUCAAGCCAACGGGGGCCCCAUUACCACAGAAUUAGCAGCCCAUGAGGCCCAUAUCUCAUAUUAGCACUUUUGCUGUUUAGCCCUCAGAUAGUAGUUAAUUUUCCUUUCAGUUCAAGUCACCAAGUAGUAUAAAUGUCAAGUGUAAUGUAAACAGGGAUCUAUCGAUGAAAUGAAAUAUUGCUUAUCUUCUUCCCCAAUCCUUCUCGAAACCCUUCUUUGCUUCUAAGCUCCCUAAUUCUCCUCUCUCUUCUCUACUUCUAAUCCCUACCCUUAUCUCUCUGUAUCUCUCUCUGUCUCUCUCUCAUUCCCAUCAUCUCCCAAUUCACGCUCCUCAAUCCGAGGUCUCAUCGGAUCGCGAUUGGGAUCAGGUUGGUCACGCCAUCAUCCCGGUUAGCCAUCCAUCUCCAUCGAGGGUUGCUAACAGGUCCGGUACAUAACACAUGCAUCCUAACCAAUAAGAUUCUGAAAAAUUCGAGAUCACGAAUCUCACGUCAUUCUCACAAAUUUUCUAAAUUCGCUCUAGAUUUGAAGAAAUCUAAUAAAAAAAUCUAAAUUUGGGUUUUGGAACUCUAUAAAUUCAUGAUGAGAAAGAAGCCAAGAGGGGAUGGAGCGGACAGCCAAUAGGGAAUCCGCGAGGGCGCAUGAGGAGAAACGCGUCCAUACCUAGCCCACAUCCAUGUAUUAACUUAAAAAAACAAAAGGAAAAAAAAGAAUGCAGAGGGAGAAGAAGGAGAAGGAAUAUAUAUAUAUAUAUAUAUAUAUAUAUAUAUAUAUAGUUGUGCUGGUAUGUUUAUGAAAGCACGGAGGUCUCCGUGCUUUCAAGUUGUUUUUGAUGUUCGGAUUUUCGAAUCGACGAUCGGCUCCGUUAGAGUUGAUCUAGAGUAUUUGAAGUACAUAGAAAAUAAAUUUUACGAUUUUUCGAUAUCAUUUGCCUAGUGAUCGAAGGAGCUCAAAAUCAAUAAUUUUAACGGCCGUGGUGAGCCGGUUGCAAGUUUAACAGUGUAGAAAUAUCGAAAUCAUAUAAAAUUUUGAUAGAAAAUUCUUUAUACCUUAUAAAACAAGAUCAAUAACUUUGAUCUAAAAUUUUAAUGUCAUAUCGUCAUAUUUUAUAAGAUUUUUAUUUUCAGCCGUUGAUUUUAAGCCACUUCGAUCAAUAGGCAAAUGAUAUCAAAAAAUCAUAAAAUUUAUUUUCUAAAUAAUUCAAAUACUCUAAAUCAAGUCUAACGGAGCCGAUUGUCGAUUCGAAAGUUCAAACAUCGAAAAUAAAAUGAAAGCACGGAGCCUUCCGUGCUUCCAUAAGCAUCCUAUAUAUAGUUGGCAGGGAGAAGUUGACACCGCCACCGCCGCUUAUCUCCCGCCACUGCCGCUACCCUGCUGUUGCGAAGCCGCCGAGUCUGUCGUUGCCGCAUCCACCGCCAUAGUUGCUACCAUCGACGCUAAUGCCAACAUCACCGACUCCGACGCAGCUGCAGCCGCAGCCGCAGCCGCGUCCCCCAGCUGACGCCGUCGAGGCAGAAUCUUAUUAAAAGCAAAUAAAAAAAAGGAAAAAGGUGCGAAGCAGUUUUUUUUUUUUAAAAAAAAAAUAUACUAUUUUUUACUCUCUAAUUAGCUUUCCAAUGAAUUAAAUUUUUUUAAAAUUUUUUUAAAUUAUUUUAUUUGAAACAUAAACUCUUAAUAUUGGUUGGUAAAUAUUUUGAUAUUGGAAAGUUAACGAUUUUUUUCGAUAUAUUAUAUUUUUAAUUUUUUUAAAUAAAUUUUUAAUUUUUAAUUUUUAAUAAUUAUAUAUUAAUUAAUUAAAAUUUUGUUUAUUCGCAGCGAAGCGCGGAUUUUAUACUAGUUAUGAUCAAUUUCACAAUUUAGUCUUUUUAUAAUUGAUUUUGAUCUAAUUUUUGAAACUUUAUGUAUAAAUAAGUCUUUUUAUAAUUGAGCUUGACUUUAUAUUUUUUUUUUCUAAAAAUUAAAUAAUAAAAAAUAUAUAUUAUUUAUAUAAUUAUAUAUUUAUAUAUAUAUAAAUAUAUAUAUAAAUAUAAAUUAAAUAAAUUAUAUAAAUAUAAAAUAUAUGUAUUCGAGCUGUUAUCGAGCCGAACACGAGCGAGCUGACCCUGACUCGUGUUCGACUCGUUUAUUAAACGAGCUGAAAAAUAGCCAGCUCCAUCUCACUCGUGUUCGGCGCGUUAACACCCCUAGCCUAGUUGGUUCUUCUUUAUUAAACGAGCUGAAAAAUUCUGCUCAUAUUCGGCUCAUUUACUAAACGAACAAUUCGAUCUCGAGCUCAUUUUAAAUCGAACACAAGCUGGCUCACAAACAGUCGGUUAGAUUGCCGUCCCUAGUUUGGACAUCCACCCCUAGUUUAGACAUCCAUGUGCGAUAGUAUAGUUUAGACAUCCAUGUACGAGAAAAGGAUGGAAUCACAUGCAGUGAUCUUGUAUCCCGAGCCUUCUAUUUGAAUAUCAAAAAAUAUAAUAUUUUAAAAUAUGACAAGUUAGUUUUUCUACUUAUUCAAAUACAGGGCAAAACAAUUUUAACUGCACUUAAAUAAAAAAAAAAAUUAAUAAAAAGUUGAGUGCAUCUUAGAGGCUAUUUGGUUGCAUUUAUUUUCAACUGUAUUACAGUUAAAAAUACAUACAUCUAUUAAUUUUUUAUUUGAUUUGGUGCAGUUAGACCCAACUGCUGCAGUUGCAUUUGUAUGAGAAGACCCAACUACAGCAAUUGGUACUGCAGCAAAAUUGGCCGCAGUACCAACUGCAGUAGUUGAGCCGGAGUCCGCUCACCGAUUAAAAAAAUAAACAAAGUGUGAAUUUUUUUUUCAUACAAUUCUUUUUUAGCUUUUUUUUCCAAAAAUAUAUAUUUAUGAAAUCUAAUAGAAUUUAGUAAUAUCUAUUAGGAUCAAUAAAUUUUUUUCAUACGCUUCUUAUUUUCCAGUUUGCUAAUUUAAUAAUAUCUUAAUUUUUUUUUUGACCAAAUUUAUAAUAUAUUUAUAUUUAAAAUUUAUUAAAUUCAUAUAUAAUUUAUAAUACAUAAAUUAUACAUAGAUAUAAAAGUCUUAAUUAAUAAUUAAAACAUAAUUACGUUAUACUCAGAAGAGGUAAUAUCAUAUUUCUAUCUAAAAAUUAAUAAAAUUUAUAAAUAUAAAUCUAAAUUGCAGACUACCAAACAGAAGAAAUAUAAGUGCAGCAAUUGUAACUGUAUAAAACCAAAUAGACUAGAUAUAAUUAUGACUGCAGCAUUUACAACUGUAUGUACUUCAAACUAUAUUAUUUUUGCAAUUACAUCCAACCAAACGGCCCCUUAAAGGGUAAGCUUUUUUAAAUUUUAUUAAUUAGCCAGUAUUUUUAAUUUAUUAAUAAAUUAUAUAUUAUUGCUUAUAUCAUUUUAAAAUUAUAACUUGAUUUAAUUAAUAUUUGCAAUUUAUUUACUAGAAAUAUAACAGUGGAGACCUACCUCGGUUGAUGUUGUAAUAUUUUGGUGCAAACUGAUCCAGGCUGAUCCUAAAUCACACAUCCAUGUUAUUUUUUAUCUGCACGGGACAUUGGCUGGAAUUUUUUUUUUUUUUUUAAAAAAAAAACUCAACUCAAGUGCUUCUUAUUUUGGGCACAUGGGAUAAUGCAGUCUCGUAUUAUUUAUUUAUUUAUUUUAAAAUUUUAUUAAGCCGACGACAACGAGACAAAGCUGGAAUUUUCAACUUUUUGCUCAUCUUCAGACUUCAGUAUACCUAAUCACUAAAAUAUUUGUAAAAAAAAAUUUAAUAAAUAUAUAAUUUUUCGGACCUAUCACUUUGCAAAUAGCGUUCACUGCACAUCUCAACCCCUUCAGAUGCGCCUUAUCCUCUCUAUCCAUCGCCGCCGCAGCCGUCCCCUUUGUUCUUCUCCUCCUUCUCCGCCGCCUACAAGCUAGUCGGUCAUAAAAUUACCAAAAUGCCCCGUCGGCAAUUGCUCCUUUUCCCCCUCCCCUUCCAGGGCCACAUCAACCCCAUGUUCGAGCUCGCUGCGCUCCUCCACUCCCGCAGUGGCUGCAGCGGCGGCGGAGGAGGCGGAGGCGAUGGGGUCGACUUCUCUAUCACCAUACUCCACACAACAACACACCCCAUAACUUCCCCCAUGCAUCCAUCCUACCGCUACGUGUCCUUGGCGCCCGUCGACGACGAACUUUCGAAUAGCAACUGCGACCGCGAGCUCCCCCCGAUCGUCGAAGACGUCGUGCUGCACAUCUUCCACCUCAAUGCGCGAUUCGAAGCAUCGUUCCGGGACCGGGUGGCGGCGAUGCUGGAGGACGCCGAAGAGGAGCCGGUUGCGUGCGUGAUCGCCGAUGCGCACUGGUUCGCGGUGCACGCGGCGGCGAGGCGGCUCGGCGUCCCCAGCGUGGCGCUGCGGACCGGAAGCGCCGCGAGCUUCUGUAGCUUCAUGGCGUACCCGCUUCUCAUGCAGAAGGGGUAUAUUCCGGUCAAAGGUAAAUGUGUGUGUAUAUAGGUUGUGACCAGUUAAUCUCUCUCUCUCUCUCUCUUUCUCCCUCGUUUUUUUUCCCUUUUUGUAAAAAAAUAUCUACGCUUCAAUUAAUUAUUUUGCGCCAGAAUCUGAAUUAAACGAGGCAGUGGAGGAGGUGCCCCCCAUGCGGGUCCGAGACCUGCCCCGCGUGGACCAGAGCGACCCGGUCGCGGUCGCGGAGCUGCUAGCCAAAGUCGUCGCCGGAGUCCGAAACUCCUCGGGCCUCAUCCUCAACGCCGCCGAAUUAAUGGAAUCCGCUGAGGUCGACAAAAUCCGGCGCGAACUUGCCCAUAUUCAGGUCUUUGCCAUCGGCCCCCUCCACAAGUUCACACCCCUCGCCGCGCAGCCCAACCAGCUUCCCCCCGACCGCACCUGCCUCGCUUGGCUCGACGCGCAGCCCGCGGCCUCUGUCCUGUACGUCAGCUUCGGGAGCGUGGCCUCGCUUCCCGAGAAGCACUUCGUCGAAACGGCGUUCGGGCUCGCGCUCAGCGGCCGCGCUUUCCUGUGGGUGGUUCGCCCCGGCUCGGUCCGUGGGCCCCGCGGGGCGGCGGUCGAAACUAAGUUGCCGGAAGGGUUCGAGGAGACAACGCGUGGCAGGGGAAGGGUGGUGGAGUGGGCCCCGCAGCAGGAGGUGCUGCGGCACCGCGCGGUGGGCGCGUUCUGGACGCACUGCGGCUGGAACUCGACUCUGGAAGCGAUCUCCGAGGGGGUGCCGCUGAUCUGCGCGCCGCAGUUCGGGGACCAGAUGGGGAACGCGCGGUACGCGACGCGCGUCUGGGGAAUCGCGGCGGAGGUGGAGGGGGAGCUCUGGGAGCGGGGGAGAAUCGCUGCGGUGAUUAAGGCUGUGAUGGAGGGGAGAGAGGGGGAGGAGAUGCGAGAGAGGGCGAGGGAGUUGAAGCAGAAAUUAUCGGCGAGCGUGAGUAGAGGGGGGUCUUCUCAUGCGGGCGCAGAAAGAUUGGUGGAAUAUUUGAAAAGUUUGUAAAACAUCAAGCGCGUUGGUCGCCGCACCUAAUGUUUCAAAAAAAUUGGCGUCUAAUCGAGUUUGGUUCAGUCAAUUAGACCUGGAUAUGGUUAAUCAGUUUGGAACAAUCAAGUCAGAUUCGAUAGGAAUUGGGUUUUGCCUUGUUGUAGUCGAAUUGACGGAGCACGCAUCAAGUCCUACUGAUUAAUUAGAUCGAGCCUAAAUUCAGCUCGUGGGUCGGGUUCAACCUACAUGUUAUUCAGGUUUUGCGUAAUUUUCAUGUCUUAAUUAAUUAUAGCUACUGAUGCAUUGGGUAAUUGAAGUUACAAUGGUUUAGUCGUGUCAAGCCUCAAUUUAUUGCCAGUGAAAGCGCUUGCUUAGUACGGGUUUGUUUAACGCUGCUAUAAAAUUGAGUGUUUUUAAUAAACUAUUACGUAACCGAUCGUCCCUAAAGCAAGUGGCAAAAGACUUGGUGGUUGAUACCCGAGGUUCCAAGUUCUAAUCCUAGUCGAUUCACAUUUUCAGCUAAGUUUAUUUCUUAAUGAAAUAAACGAAGCAGGUAGCGUGCUAUCUAUCUCUCUAAAAAAAAUUACGUAAAUAAUAAUAUUAGAAAAGGUGUUGGUAGGAAUAAUUUUAUCUGAUUAUUAUAGAUAACUGAGAACUACUAUAAAUUAGUGUUUGGGUAUAAAGGAGGGACCCUUAUUCCCAAUACAAACGCUACCGUAGAAAACAUUUUGUCCCACGACAAUUUAACAUUCCAUAAUUUAUUAACAAUUUAUUUUAUAUAUUAUAAUUUCAUUACUUGAGAUAUUAUUUUGUUAUUCUACUUAAUGAUAGAAUUAUAUAUUAAAAUUAAAAUAAAAUUAUAAUUUAGUUAAGUACUUUUUUGAAUCACAAGGUGGAAAAAGAAAAAUGAAAAUUUUAUAAUUUUGAAAAUUGGCUGCUGCAAGCCUGCAACCAAAGCGCACGAAGUUCACAAAGAUUUCAAAUAAUCCACCAACCUCUCUGCGCCCGCAUGAGAAGACCCCUCUCGGCUUACGCUGACCGCCAACUUCUGCUUCAACUCCCUCGCCCUCUCGCGAAUCUCCCUCCCCUCUCUCCCCUCCAUCACCGCCUUGAUCACCGCCGCGAUUCUCCCCCGCUCCCAGCGCCCCCCCUCCACCUCCGCCGCGAUCCCCCAGACGCGCGUCGCGUACCGCGCGUUCCCCAUCUGGUCCCCGAACCGCGGCGCGCAGAUCAGCGGCACCCCCUCGGAGAUCGCUUCGAAUGUCGAGUUCCAGCCGCAGUGCGUCCAGAACGCGCCCACCGCGCGGUGCCGCAGCACCUCCUGCUGCGGGGCCCACUCCACCACCCUUCCCCUGCCACGCGUCAUCUCCUCCAAUCCUUCCAGCAACUUAGUUUCGACCGCCCCCCCGCGGGGCCCACGGACCGAGCCGGGGCGAACCACCCACAGGAAAGCGCGGCCGCUGAGCGCGAGCCCGAACGCCAUUUCGACGAAGUGCUUUCCAGGAAGCGAGGCCAAGCUCCCGAAGCUGACGUACACGACCGAGGCCGCGGGCUGCGCGUCGAGCCAAGCGAGGCAGGUGCGGUCGGGGGGAAGCUGUCCGGGCUGCGCGGCGUGGGGUGUGAACUUGUGGAGGGGCCCGAUGGCAAAGACGUGAAUAUGGGCAAGUUCGCGCCGAAUUUUGUCGACCUCGGCGGAUUCCAUGGAGUCGGCGGCGUUGAGGAUGAGGCCCGAGGAGUUUCGGACUCCGGCGACGACUUUCGCUAGCAGCUCCGCGAACAAGCCCGGGUCGCCCUCGUCCAUGCGGAACAGGUCUCGGACACGCAGCGGGGGUAGCUCCUCCACUGCCUCGUUUAAUUGAGAUUCUUGUACCGAAACUAUUGGAGAGCAAAUAUUUAGUUUUAAAUUAAUUUCCUCAAUAAUUAAUCUUCCCAUUAGUUGUAACCAUUUCAGAUUAUAAAAUAUUAUUAGUGUUCUUACAAAUAUUAAACUACCGUUUGGUUCGGGGUUAAGAAAAAACGAGUUAUUUCAGGGAUAGGGUUAAGAUGAGGUUAGAGUAUUUUUGUGUUUGGUUGGGGGUUUGAGUUAGUUCAGGAUAGUGAAAAAUAAUGUUUGGUUGGAGUAGAUGGGAUAAAAAGAAUAGUAGGUUAUUAUGAAUAGAAAAUAGUGUUUGUUUGGGGUUUGGUGGGGUUAGGUGGGAUUAGCUAAUCCGGAAUAAUUCAUUUGAGGUAGGAUUAACUAACCCAAUCCAUUUUUAGAAGUGUUUAGAAAUAAAAUAGGGGUUAAAGGGUUAUUCCACCCCCUAACCCUGAAUGAUAUUUUAGCCUCCGUUUGGUUCGGGGUUAAGGAAAAAGUAGCUAUUCCAGGGAUAGAGUUAAGUUCAGGGUUAAAGUGGGGUUAAAGUUUUUUUGUGUUUGGUUGGAGGUUGGAGUUAGUCUAGAAUAAUAAAAAAUAGUGUUUGGUUGGAGAAGGUGGGAUAAAAAGAUAAUGAUUGAUAAAGAAGGAUAAUGAUUGGUUGGAGUAUGUGUGAUAAGAAAGAUAGUGAGUUAUUAUGAAUAGAAAAUAGUGUUGGUUGGAGUUUGGUCGGGUUAGGUAAGGUUAGCUAACCCGGGAUAAUUUAUUUGAGGUGGGGUUAGCUAACCCCAUCCAUUUUUUGGGAUGUUUGGGGAUAAAAUGGGGGUUAAGGGGUUAUUCCACCCCUUAACCCCCAACCAAACAAAGGCUUAGAGUUUGAAGGAAGGGUUAAUUGCAAACAGGUCUCACUAAAUAUAGUGAAUUGCAGAUGUAUUUCUGUAAAGUUCAAUUUUUAUAAAUUAUUCCUGUAAAAGUUCUAAUAUUUUAAGAUAGAUCCCUUUGCUUUGUUACCGUUAGAGAAUACUUUAUCCGAAUUAAUUUUUGACAUUUUAAGAAUAUUAAUAUUAUUAUAAUUUUUAGAGGGACAUAUUUGUGAUUGUAAAAUUAAAAAUAUAAAGUUUUCUAAUAAUUCUUUAACGAUAAUAAAUCAAAAAGACAUAUAUGAAAAUAUUAGAUUUUUGCCGGAAUAAUUUAUUAAAAUUAAAUUUUACAAAAAUAUAUCUAUAAUUUACGCGGGAACCUGUAUGUAAUUGACUCUUGAAGGAAUGCAUCUAUAAUAUUUUUAAAUUUUAGAAAACUAUAUCAGAAAUUGUCCCGAGCAUAUAUGGAGUGGUCCCCAUGCUGACAAUGAAGCGGCGUACCGCAUACAUAGUCUACACAAAGCUACUCAUACUUUUUUCUUUUUCUUUUCUUUUUUUAAGAAAAAAAUAGCGUGCUUACUGUUUUAUUUAUUAAAAAGAUUAAUUAGGCUCUCGUACAUUUUAUUACUAGAUGUAAAAUUAAUAUUUAUUAAAUUUUUUUGGCUCAUAUUAAUUUAUUUAUUUUAUUAUUUUUUACUAAAAAUACUUUUAUAAAGAAUGUAUAUACUAUAUAUAUAGUUUUUUUUUAUAGAGUCCUGUUUGGGAGUUCAAAUUUGAACUUCACGCCCUUAAUUUGGGAUCAACAAAAUAAAAAAGAAAAAAAAAGGUUUGCGAUCUGUGACUGUGCAAUUUUUUUUUUUUUUUGAGAGAUAGAUAGCACACUAUCCGUUUCGUUUAUUUCAUUUAAAAAUAAACUUAGCUGAAAAUAUGAAUCAACUAGAAAUCGAACUUUGGUCUCGGGUACCAACCGCCAAACCCUUUACCACUUGCUUUAGGGACGGUCGGUAUGACUGUGCAAUUUUGGCCCUAUCUUUUUAUAUUUUCACACUUUUUUAAGAUGCUAGGAGAUUUUUGUCCGGAAUUGAAACAUUUCUUUUUCUAAAAAAAUAAUUAAAAUAUUAGAUAAAAAAUAACUUAAGGCCCUGCGUAUGGUUGUUUCUCUUUUUCUUUUUCUUAAUAGAAUUUUUAUACAAAAUUAUAUAAGAGAAGAUUAUUUGUAAUUUUUUAUAUUCAAAAUAUUUAUUUAAUAAUAAAAAAUUAAAAAUUGAAAAUAUUUUUAAAUGUAUAAAUUUUUUUAAUAAAUUAUUUUAUUAUUUGAUCGGUAUGCAUAAUAAACUAGCGAAUAACAAUCAUAAAAAAAUAAAUAAAUGUUUUGUAUUAAAAAAUGUCACAACUUUGCCUAAUAACACAAAAGUUUGUGGAUAUUUAUAAGUGAUACGAAUGAAAUGCACGACCUAUAUUUAUAUAUCUCACAUUUCUAACUUGUUGAUCUUGUGGUUCAACUUGCGUACCAAAAUCAUUACUUGGACAUAUACUGGAUUGCUUUUUUUUCUUUUCAAGCAUUAAAAUUCUGCAGUAAAAAUCUAAUUUUACAGCUGAAAUCAAACGUAAGAUUCUUACUAUUUCUAUUUUUGCCGAUUACCAAAAACAAAAAUUCAGGAGAAAGAGAGAGUGAGAGAUAAAUAGAAAGAUCAAGCUAUUUACAACCAUAUAUAUAUAUAUAUAUAGAGAGGCUACUAUGCUAUCGGAAGCACGGAGCNAUAUAUAUAUAUAUAUAUGGAGUCCGGUUAUGGUGCUUGUAAAAGCACCAAGUAUUUGGUGCUUGUAAAUUUUUUACCGUUAGAUCUACGUCUUUGAUCAUUUUCACCCGUUAGAUUAUACUAUUCAACCAACUACUCACUCAACUCUAGGGGGCCCACAUCAUCCUAACCACACAUCUCUUAAUCCAAUGGUGAAAAAUCUACAAAUACCAAUAACUUGGUACUUUUAAAAGUAUAGGAGCUCAAUUCUAUAUAUAUGUAUAUAUAGUUGAGCUAGAAUACUUUCAAAAGUACCAAGAUGGUGGUGUUUUUGAGUUUUUAGCCCUUGGACGGAGAGACGCAGGGUUGGGAUGAUGGUGAUAGGUGGUGGUAGUAGGUGGUGGUAGGUGGAAUAGUGUUUGAUCUAAAAGGUAUUAGUAAUCAAGGAGUAGAUCCAAGGGUUAGAAACCUAGAAGCAUCAAGGAGUUGGUGUUUCUAAAAAUAUUCUAGCUCAAUUAUAUAUACAUAUAUAUAUAGAGUUGGACCGGGCUACUAUUAGUAGCAAAAUUCCAUUGUUGCUACUAGUUUUUUAGCCUUUGGAUCAACUCUUUUCAUCAUUCUAACCAUUGGAUUAAAUACUAUAACCCAGUGGGAAUCAGUCAACCCUAGGGGGACCACUCAAUUUUAACUGACAAAUAUCAUCCUAACCCUACAAUUUUUCAUCCAAGGAUUAAAAACUUAAUAGCAAAAAGAGCGUUUUACUAUUAAUAGUAUUCUAGCAUAAUUCUAUAUAUAUAUAUAUAUAUAUAUAGAGAGAGAGAGAGAGAGAGAGAGAGAGAGAGAGAGAGAGAGAAAGAGAGAGUGAGUGGUAUGCUUCUAGAAAUACGGAGCCUUCCAUGCUUCCAAAUCGUUUUCGAUGUUGGACUUCGAAUCGACGAUCGGCUCCAUUAAACUUGAUCUAGAGUAUUUGAAGUAUCUAGAAAAUAAAUUUUGUGUUUUUCAUAUCAUUUGCCUAGUGAUCGAAGGAGCUCAAAAUCAAUAAUUUUAAUGGCCGUGGUGAGCCGUUUGCAAGCUUGACAGUAUAGAAAUAUCCAAAUUACUGAAAUUUUGAUAGAAAAUUUUUAUAUUAUAUAAAAUAAGAUCAAUAUUUUUAUCUAAAAUUUUAGUGUCAUAUCAUCAUAUUUUGUAAGAUUUUUAUUUUUAGCCGUUGCUUUUGAGCCACUUCAAUCACUAGGCAAAUGAUAUCAAAAAAUUGGAAAAUUUAUUUUUAGAUACUUAAAAUACUCUAUAUCAAAUAUAACGCAGCUGAUCGUCGAUUCGAAAAUUUCCAAUAUCGAAAACGACUUGUAAGCACAAAACACUCCGUACUUUCAGAAGCCAUACUAGGCGCACUAAUAUAUAUAUAUAUAUAUAUAUAUAUAUAUAUAUAUAUAUAUAUAUAUAUAUAUAUAUAUAUAUGGAACUAGACUACUAUACUAUUAAUAGCACCAAUUGGUACUACCAAGUUUUUGACCACUAGAUUAAGAGAUGUGCAGUUAGGGUGAGGUGGGCCCUCUAGGGUUGUAUAUAUGGAACUAGACUACUAUACUAUUAAUAGCACCAAGUCAUUGGUACUACCAAGUUUUUGACCACUAGAUUAAGAGAUGUGCAGUUAGGGUGAGGUGGGCCCUCUAGGGUUGAAUGGGUGGUUGGUUAAAUAGUAUGAUCUAACGGAUGAAAAUGAUCAAAAGAAUAUAUCUAACGACAAAAAACUUGGUAGCACCAAAUGCUUCGUACUAUUAAUAGCAUAGUAGCUGGACUCAUAUAUAUAUAUAUAUAUAUAUAUAUAUAUAUAUAUAUACACACACACACAUUUAUAUGUGUACCUUUGACCGGAAUAUACCCCUUCUGCAUGAGAAGCGGGUACGCCAAGAAGCUGCAGAAGCUCGCCGCGCUUCCAGUGCGCAGCGCCACGCUGGGGACGCCGAGCCCCCUUGCCGCCGCAUGCACCGCGAACCAGUGCGCAUCGGCGAUCACGCACGCAACCGGCUCCUCUUCGGCGUCCUCCAGCAUCGCCGACACCCGGUCCCGGAACGAUGCUUGGUAUCGCGCAUUGAGGUGGAAGAUGUGCAUUGCAGCGUCUUCGUCGAUCGGGGGGAGCUCGCGGUCGCAGUUGCUAUUCGAAAGUUCGUCGUCGACGGGCGCCAAGGACACGUAGCGGUAGGACGGAUGCAUGGGGGAAGUUAUGGGGUGUGUUGUUGUGUGGAGUAUGGUGAUAGAGAAGUCGACCCCAUCGCCUCCGCCGCUACGGGAGUGGAGGAGGGCGGCGAGCGCGAACAUGGGGUUGAUGUGGCCCUGGAAGGGGAGGGGGAAGAGCAGCAAUUGCCGCCGGGGCAUUUUGGUAAUUUUAUGAUCGACGUGUAGGCAGCAGAGGAGGAAAAAAAGUUUAGAUCGGCAAAGUUACUACCAAUGCUAUGUAUAUUUAUAUAUCAUACUAGAUUAAAUUGAAAAAUAAAAGAUUUUGUAUUGGAGCUCCGCAUUUUUUGUAGGCUUCAUGAAUUUUUUUUUAAAAAAAAGCAAAAAAAUAUAUAUAUAUAUAUAUAUAUAUAUAUAUAUAUAUAUAUAUAUAUAUAUAUAUAUAUAUAUAUAUAUAUGUCAGCACGCAGCAUGUACCAAAAAAAUAAUAAUAAUAAUAGAGGCUCUGGGGUUUCCACGUGUGUAGAUAUAAAAUAACGAGAAGAACAAUUAAUAAGUACAGCGGAGUUAGUGGCAUUUGAGUUAUCACAUGGAUGUGUGAUUCACGGGAACAUAAUUUAAUGAGGGUCGACUGGUAAAUAUUGUAGCAUCAACUCGGAGUAGGUUUCCAAGUUUCUUAUAUUUCUAGUAAAGAAGAUUCUUUCAAAUAUUUAUUUUUAAAUAAUAAUUACAUUAUUUAUAAUUAAAAAAAUAUAAUAUAUACUUUGCUAAUAAAUUAGAAUAAUGACUCAUUAACAAAAAUUUAAAUUGCUUACUUAUGAAGUUUUUACAUUUUCAAAUGCCACUAAGAUGGUUUUAACCUAUAUUGAAUAAGUAUAAAAUUAACUCAUCAUAUUUCAACACUAUGUUUUUAGAUAUCCAAACCAGAAUACUUGACUUGAGAUCCAAGAUCGCUGCACGUGAUUCCAACCUUUUCUCUCACAUGGAUGUUCUGUUUUUCUAUUUUUAAGAGAAAAUUAGUAAGCUCCUGUUUCAUUAAUUUUUUUAAAAAAUAAAUUUAGCUAUAUAUNAUAUAUAUAUAUAUAUAUAUAUAUAUAUAUAUAUAUAUAUAUAUAUAUAUAUAUAUAUAUAUAUGAGGUAAUUAAAUUUCGAACUUGAAACUUCUCAUAUGAAUGUUAAAGUACAUUAAGGCAAUAAAUUAUUUAUUUUUAUUCAUUUUCUGUGAAAUAAAUACAUCGUUAAUGUGCAUUGAGCAGCUAUCAUACAUAUUAUUAUAAGAUUAUAAGAUGCUUAGACAAAUCAGCAUGUGAUCCUGAGGAAGAUUUAAUGGUUUUUGAGUUGGAUUUUGCCUUUCUUGCUCUGACCCUUUUGUCUUUUUUACUUGUCCUUUUUGUCGCUUCAAGUGUGCCUUUUUAAUUCAGGUACUAACUCUUUUAUUGGUUUACUUGACCUAACAAUUAAUUCCAAAAUUCGUCAGGUUCAGCCGGAUCCCAUACGUGCAGUUUAUAGGAUUAGACAGCUGUUGAACCUGUGGGAGCAACAUAUCUCAUCUCAGAAACAGUAGUUAGUUUUUUUCUUUUUUCUUUUUUUUUUUUUAAUGGCAUGCUCUUCGAGGCCUAAGUUGCCUCACCCCUGUAUAGUUCAUCUUUUCAAUGAAUGAAGCAGGUAACAUGUUGCCUUUCUCUCAAAAAAAAAACAAUUAAUUCCAAAAAGAUAGCGUUUAAAUUUGUUGAUAGCUCCUUAUCCAUUAAAGAGUUAGAUAUUCAACUUUAUUUUUUGAAAAAAAGACGGGAUUGGUCUCUAAAUAUAUGAUCAUUUGAUCUUAACCUCGUAAGUAGAGUGAUCAAUUUGUUUGUGUCUUGGCAGUGUUGUUCAGGAACAUAUUCUUCAGGCCACGUAUUAUUAAAAUUUGCUAGACUCGAGUUCGGUUCCGUCGAUUAGACCUGGUUGUAUUUAAUAAGUUCAGAACAAUCAAAUUAAGUCGGUUUGAUUCGAGUUGGGUUUGCUCUUGUUGUAGUCAAAUUGGCCUAGCACGCGCCAAGUCCUACUGAUUAAUUAGAUCGAGCCUAAAUGAAGCUCGUGGGUUGGGUUAAACCAACAUGUUAUUCGGGUUUAGCGUGAUUUUUAUGUCUCAAUUAAUCAAGUUACACUAGUUUAGUCGAGUCGAGCCUCAAUUAAAUUUUAGUUGUAAGUAAUUUUUUUGAGAAAUAGAUAGCAAGCUACCUGCUUCAUUCAUUAAGGAAAAUGAACUAGGCAUACAAGAUAAAGACAGCUGAGACCUCCUUAAAAACCGAAGGCAACCAAAAAGUCACUAAAAAAAGUACAGUGUACAGAACAAACCAAGGAAGUAACUAACUAAAAGAAGUAAAGAAAUCAAAGACGAAUGCUGAAGACAGAAUUUGAUCAAAGGACCUCGUUCCAAACUUUGGUCAAGCACUUGACACGUUCAAGAGCCCGGGAAGCAUUGGGACUCGCGUCUCGGAAGAUAGUAUUAUUACGCUCCGUCCAUAUCACCCACCAAAUUGCCACCAAAAGGGUGAGACUUUGUGUCCUGAACCUUGCGUUGUGAAUGCUCGCUGUCUCCAUCCAUAGCCAGCGGACAUCCCCUAAUUCCAGUUCGCUUCUAUCUACAUUUCCAGCACUGGCUAGAAGAUAUCUGACGGAGACACAUUCCCGGAAGAGGUGAUCACAAGUUUCUGGAUAUAGCGCACAAAAAAUGCAAUACUGAUCCACCGCACAUCCUCGACGAAUCAAUCUAUCCGCUGUAAGUAAUCUCUUGCGUAGAAGGAUCCAUAUAAAUACUUUGUAUUUCGCCGGAAUUCUUAGCCCCCAUAGCUGGACAUAAAUUGUGUCUGUCUCACCGCCAUCAGUAAUGAACUCGUAGGUGGAUUUUAGUUGUAAGUAAUUAGUCACUAAAUUUUAGUUUUCAUUUUAAUUGAAACAUAACAUUAAACUAUAGUUUCAUUUUUUCUUUUCAAUAGAGUAUAUUCAUUUUAAAAACAUCUAGUAAGGAUGUGCAAUUAAGUUGAUUUAACUAUCAUAUUGUUUAAGAUUAAUUAUUUAGAUUUAACUUCUAUAUUAUCUUAAGAAAAUGAUUCAGUAGUUAAAUUAAUGUACAUGGCGGUCAACCAUGUCUACUUCUAAGCUAUUCUUCAAUUGGAGAAGUUGAAAUUGACUGUAAAGUUAUCGGUAGCAAAUGAGUUUUGUUGGCAAUUAUUUGGUUUCGAUGAUAGAGUCUUUAAAUCGACAAUUGGUACCGUUAAACACGAUUUACAUUACUUGAAGUAUUUAGAAAUCAAAUUUCAUACUUUUUUGAUAUUGUUCUCUUGUUCAUGAAGUAGAUACAAAAAUGAACGGCUGAAAUAAAUAUCCUUCAAAAAAUGAUGAUAGAAAUCUUAUAAUCAAUAUCAAGAGUAUUGAUAUUAUUUUAAUUAGUAAUUAAAGAAGUUUCUAACCAAAAUUAAAUUAAUUUCAAUAUCUUCACACCUUUAAACAAAAAAACACUUUAUAUUGAUUAUUAAAACUAUAAAUUUCGAAACCCUUUGAUCAUUAGCUCAAUAAUGUUGAAAAUAUUUGAAAUUUGAUUUCUAAAUACUUUAAGUAUCAUAGAUCAUAUUCAACGGUACCGAUUACUAAUUUUGAGGCUAUAUCAUCGAAAACAAAUUAGUGAUUUUCUUUACUACUAAUAGCAUUCCUGUUCAACUCAUUGAAUAGUAUCUGAUAGACAUCGUAAUUAAUGGAAACAAAUUUAAACUCGAGGGACUUAAUUAUUCACAGCAAAUUACAAUUUUGUGAUGUAAAUAAAACUUCAUAGUUAAGUUCAAUGAGCAGUAGCAUAUUUUUACCCUUUAUGUAUGGAAAGUGGCUUUGAUCAACAAGAUCAUUGGACUCCUUCUGAUGAGUGAGCUGCUUUUCCUGAGAUUGUGGUGGCAAAAUAUAAUGUGCUUGCAUUGUUGUAUGCAUUACAGGUACAGUGCAUCAGUGCAUGAUACAAUAAUGGUUGUGAUUCUCAUUAGAUGGUAUAGCACUCAAAACUAUGCACACUACACAGCUAAUAAAAGGAGAAAGAAAAAGGAAGAUGAUAAAAAUGGCUUUUUCACUUUUGAUCAACUUUAGCAAAAAAGGUCAGAGAUGCCAUCAUUCUCUCUCUCUCUCUCUCUCUCUCUCUCUCUCUAGUUGUGUAUUUCUUUUGUUGGAGUUUGCUUUAAUCCAACCUGUUACCAAUAGUGAGGUGCACUUUCAAAAGCUCUAGCACCUCUUUAUUAACUCAAUCACUAAAACACACUCAUCUUUGUUAGAGAAAAUUGCUUUACUAGUUAGCUCUAUGUCACGGACUAAACGAAUUUGCUCGCAAAAGCCCGUGCGGCGCUCGCCUUCCUCCGCGAAGUGAGCAAGCCUGCCUCUCCACUUGCUAAGUUAGGACCUCGCUCGCCCUAGACUAAGUACAAGAAAGAGAUAGAAGAAAGCUCUUCUAUUACUUUAAUAGUUUGAGAAUACAAAUGAGGAUUCUGAAAUGAGAGGGGGUGGAGGCCACACUAUUUAUAGGCCACUCGCCGCCCAUAAAGUCAAUGAAAAGGUGCCAAGUGGCACAAUACUACUAGCCAAAAGGGGAGGCCACGCGGUUUCCCAAGAGUCCUAAUAAAUAGCAUAGAAACUCGAAGAGUCAUAUAUUUAUUAUCCUAGAAACUCUAAGGGACUCUUGAACCUCCGGUAUCCGCACCAUCAGUCUCGAGAUCCGUGUAGAAGCUUCCAGAAGGCUCCAAGCCAAAACCUUCGUCAGAUGUCCGCUUUGGAGUUUGGGUGAUUGCAAAGCGAAAUCGCAGAGAAAAUCUUUGUGCCGUGACAUCUAGCACUCUCUAUGAACUAGUUCACUUGUAAAGUUGUAAUUACCUUUGUGGGCAAAAAUGGGAAUUGACAAGGUACAAAUCUUUGUUGACAUUCUCACAACAAAUUAUGUAAUGAAUUAAUGUGGCUUCAACUUAGAUGGUAAGACAUUCUAGUGAAUUAUCUAUUAUUUAAUAACAAAUUUUAAUGCACACUUCAAAUUGAAAACAAAUAUUACAGAUUGCUUAAAAAACCAUAAAAAUUCCAUGAAAAAAUUCUAUAUUUGUUGGCCUCGACGAGUCAAUACAAGUAAGAGUUCGGAUAUUGCUAGCUUAGUACUCCAAUUAGAACUUGUUUAUUCUUAACAUAUGGGGUAUAGUGCUGUUUUAAUAAAUACUUUGUAAGUAUUGGUAUUAACAAGAAAGUACCGGUCACUACUUACAUCAAAUUGUAAAUUCCUCCUCGCAACCUUCGAAGCGUAAAAAUAAGUUUCAAAUUAGAGCUUUGAGUUUUAAAAUUAUAAUACUCUGUUUUUAGCUAGUGGAGCAAAGUGUUACGGUCUUAGCAUUUUUAUUUGCAAAGUUCAUGCGACAUCCACCUUUCUGUUCAAAAAUGGACAAGUCUAACUCUCUAUUGUUAGCAUGGACCUUCACAUUAUAUGACUAAGUAUGCAAAUAGUAGAGAAAAGAGAGAGGCGGGAAUUCUCAAAAAACUAAAUUACUUAGAAAAAUAGCAUUACAAUACAUAAUUCCUCGUCUUUGGCCAUUAUCAUCCUCACAAUUUAUAGACCUAAGAUAUAUUAAACUUAGCCUAUAUAUACUAACUUAUCACUAAACAUACAUUAACUCACCCAUUAUCACAUAAUAAAAAAUUCUAAUGAAUAUCUCAUGAAUACAAGAUGAUCUCAAAGGUUACUCAUGAACCUUGGAUUUUCACAAGUGAUCUUGGAGCCAUUAAGUCUAGCAAUUAUAUAAUCUUUUAUUUUCAACAAUGACAACUAAUUUUGGACCUUUUUGACAACCCGCUCGGCUAGUAAAGUGAAAUCAGAAACUUGGCUGGACUGAAAAGUCGCUAAGGGGCCGUUUAUGCUAGUGUAAGUGGAGGGGUGGAACUCAAGUUCUAUUACUUUCGGUAUUUGUUUUGGUGUAAGUUAAAAAAUAGUGUAACUCAAAUUACGUUAGAUCUCUACUUCACCUAUUCUCGACUUCCCUCUCUAAAGUGCCGAACUUGACUUCUGCCACACUCAAUCUUCUCUAAAAAAUUAAUGAAAAUAGUAAAACCUAAAUUCUACUUUCUUUAUAAUGGAUUAGAAUUGCCUUAUUUAUAAUAAAUUAGAAUUAUCUUUAAAUAGUAAUAAAAAAUUUAAUUAUUUAAUAGGUUAAAUUUUAUAGCAGUAAGCUUAUGACUAUAUUUAAAAAAUAACGAGAUCUACUUACUUACAUAUCAAAAAACUAAUUUUAUCAGUACCAAGUUACAUCAAAACAAACAGAAAAAAAAAAUGAAUUUAACUUUCAGACUUUCGAGUUACGUCAAAACAAAUAACACAAAAAUAAUUAGACUUUAGAAAAAUUUAAAUAUCACUAUAUUUAGUUAUUUUGUAUCUACAGAUUCGUCGAUCCAAACGCCCGGGUCUCUGGCAAAAGGCUCCAUACUGUCAAAUAUUCAUCAAAUUUUUUAGCUUUUCGCUGCAGUAAUAAUGAGAGAACCUUUCCACCGUCUGAUUAACCUGCGGGAACGUGGACGGCGCUGAUUAAAUAAUACUUUUAGGACUUUGGACCACGCGCGUCCGCAUGCGCCAUACCGUUACACGCUCCCCGGUGGUCCCCCGCACGGGAGUCGCCCCGGACGUAAAAGCCGAAGCGGAGCGAAUUCAGGAGAGUAGUGCAGCGUGAUGCCCGGAUAAAGUAUUUAUUAUACUUAAAUCUUCAAAAAUGUAUGGAAAGUCCCUAUCAGUCUUAUGUAUUGCAGUGUGUAUCUAAAAUUUUAGUUAAAUCACUUCAGUCUUUCUUUUUUCUUUUGCUUUUUUUACUUUGUGUUUUUUUAUUCGAAUGCUAUAAUUUUGAAAAUUGUCUUUCCUCUGUAGAGUGCCGUGCUAACACAAAUUAGAAGGACAUAUUUUUUUAAAGAAAAACUUCAAAAACCCUCAUUGCGGUUUUAAUUUUUUUCACUUUAAUAUCCAGUGGUUUAAAAUAUAUCAAGUCAGUACCCUAUAGUUUCUCACUUUAUCACUUUAAUACCCUGUGGUUUAAAGUGUAUCAAGUUAGCACCAUGUGGUUUUAUGCUUUAUCACUUUAGUACUCUGUGGUUUUAAUUUUGUAUUAAGUUAGUACCCUGUGAUUUUUUAAACCAUAGGGAGCUAAAGUGAUAAAGUGUGAAACCACAAGGUACUAAAGUGAUAAAGUGCAAAACGACAGGGCACUAAUUUGAUACACUUUAAACCACAGGGUACUAAAGUGAUAAAGUGAGAAAUCAUAGGGUACUAAGUUGAUACACUUUAAAUCAAAGGGUACUAAAAUAAAAAAAUGUGAAACUACAGGAGGGGUUUUUGAAGUUUUUUUUUUUUUAAUAUAUAUAAUUAUAAGUAUAAAAGUAUAUAUUUUUAAGGUAAGAUGCAAUUACAAU
rnacentral:lncRNA from 1 species